rnacentral:lncRNA from 1 species
GGGCUUGCAACCGUCACUUGUGUCUUGAGCAGUUAAAAGAUAGAACGGUCAAGUCAAGCGCCAUGUCUCUUGUUCUUGAUCAACUAUAGCUCUGGAGUUUUUUUUGCAGAUUUUCAAAUAAAACCUAGAGAUUCCUUUGAAUGACUCUCUCAAAUCUCUCUUUUGUGGUAUUUCUAGAUCCUUACCAAGGAAGUGAUGGUAUAUGCCUUCUCUCAAAGCAUUUGGUAUUUGUGGUAUGAGGCAUAGUGACAUUGCCUUCUCUCUCAUCCUACUCUAAUAAGGCUUGAUAUCUGGAGCUCAUAGGUGGGAGAUAGCUAAUACAUACUUACAAGACAUUUAUUGCAUAGUCAAACCAUGGAUCCAGAGAAACAAGUCAAUAAGUCAAAUCAAGAUGUGCAUGUGUGGCGAAUGAAUGGUGUAUGGUGAUAAUGGUGAUAAUGGUGAAAACAAUGGUGAAAGUCUAAUUCUACUUUUGCUCUUUUGAGGGGAUACAUACCUUUCUUGCACUUUGAAGCUUUUUUGAGGAGAAUGAGAUGCUCUAUAUUUUUUUUCUUUUCUCUUAGGUGGGUAUCUUGUACCCCUAAUUCUACUGUCGGACACUUGUCCAUUUUUACCUCUCGUCUCACUUUUUCUUUUUCUUCGAGGUUCCGGGCACUUGCCCCUUUUUAUUUCCUCGUAUUCACUUUUUUUCAGAGCACUCACCCUCCUGGAAUAAUGUAGCAAGUGGUAGUAACCAAAAUAUCUCGAGCAUUUAUUUCACGAGGAAUAACAGGGAUAUGAUAAUGUUUUGGCUAUUCUCUUCCGGAUAAGAGUAGACUAAUUUUGGGUGAAUCUGGAGAUGGAAAUGAGUGGAUGUAUGUGGAUGCGUAGUUCCAGAGUAGAAGUAGCAUGUAUGAGUGAACGUGCAAGUGAAUCUUGAUUUUAACCGCAUGACAAGCUCCUAAGGGUCUACACAGCUUGACCACACUCAACGCUCAUAAGUAGUAAAAAGUAAAUGUAUGGUUCCUAGUCUAAUAAGCAUGUAUAUAUGGCUGUGGUAUGGUUUUAAACUCUCAUCAUACAGGAACUCAUCAUGCAACAUUUUACAUAUUUUCAAAGAUAAAAUUCUCUAGAAUUCUAGCAUCUCUAGGAACAGAUAAACAGCAGCUUGUUGACGGUCCUUAAGUACCAAAUAUAAUCAUCAAAUAAAUAAAGAAAAGGAUCCAAAUGCAACCAACACCCAGACUUAGGGUUUUAUCUGACAGAAUUCCAUGAGUUUUGGUGUUUGUCUAUUUCUGUAGAGGGUUAUCAGGAAAUAUGGAGGAAAGGCCCACACGUCGGGUUUACAUAGAGAUAUUAACGUGGCGCGCAAUUUUCAACUUCGCGGAUUACGCUCCACCAACCUAAAGGAUCAAGAAUAACCGUUCGAUCAAUGUCGGUUUGAUCCGACGGCCCAGAUUCACUUGAGGGAACUAUAUAACGAGACCCCCUGGCCCCUGGAGGAGGCACCCCUUGAUCAUUAUUCAUUAUUCAUAGACAGAGCAAAAGCUAGGGUUUAGAGAUGAGAGCUCUCCUCUCUUCUCUAAACUAGAGUAGAUAUAGAUAAUAGCGAGAUGGAGAGCGAAGGAGGAUUAGAGGAGAGGCCGGCCUGUCGGUUCUUCCUCUGGUUGUACUUCGCCAUGAUCAAGCUCUAAUCAAGCUUGCUCAUGGGAUGACUCUGGUAAUCGACUUCUAAUUCAUUAUGCAAUUACUAAUCAUGUAUGUUCUGGUUCGCAACUCUUUUGAGUACUUUUAAUCUAUAGGACCCUAUAGGUUAGAGUUGUAGUAUAGGUGUAAGCGUGGUGCUUAGACCAAGAUUACUUGUGGAUAUCCCCUGUCUAGCUGGAUCAUGUGGUAGGCUGCAUAGGUGACACUUACGUUGGUCCCCUGUAGUCCACCUCUCGUUAGCAGGACGGGUAGGGUUUAUCGGCCUAUGGAUAAGCAUCCUUUGUGGUGUAUUCUUAUCACGUGGUUCAUCCCAGACAUAGACAUACCCCUUUGAAGUAGAGAAACCAUAGUUAUCCUCUCUAUUCUGCUACCAUCGCCCAUAUAUUAGAUUGCUCUACUCUCUAUUCCCAUAUUAUCACCCAUUGUUAUCCUAGCUUUAAUAUUGUUCUUAUUCAAUUCUACCAUCUUUCCUAUUUACACUUAUCUAUCUAUCUUGGUUAAGUUAGAGCGUAGUUGGUUCUCCUGUUUCCCUGUGGAUACGAUAAAACCUUUAACCGGGUAAAAGGCUACAACGGUAUCCGUGCGCUUGCGGAUUUAUCUGUGUGCGUAUAAAUACCAUAGUACACUCUAGUGCCAUGCUAGGGAUGACAACCUAGUAUUCACGUGGUGUUAGCAAGUGUCAACAAGCAUUUUUGACGCCGUUGCCGGGGAAACGGUUGUUGAGUUGACUACGAACUAGCUUAAUCAUUUUCUAAAAAAUAAAAAUAUAUAUAUAUAUACUUUUCCUUUUAUCUUUUGCCUUAUCUCUGCUAUUCUUUCUUCUUAUCUAAUCCUUGAUAUUUGGUCUAUCAUGAAUUCAAACAUGUCUAUCUAUGAAUUUCAUAGACCUACGGGCACACAUCUCGAACCACCAAAAUCUUCAAAGCCUAUCAUAGCAUCUAGUUUUGAGAUAGACCCCGAAUACAUAGAAUUUGUUCAAAAACAACCUUUCUCGGGAUAAGGUGAGUAAAACACAUACACACACCUAAGAGAGUUUUAUCGAGUCUGUGACCUCCUUCACAUAGAAGGCAUGUUCGAUGAGACCCUUAAAUGGAAGCUCUUUCCGUUCUCUUUAACAGGAAAAGCUAGACAUUGGUACAAACUCAAAGUAAGGAGUGUUCAUGGAGAUUGGAAGGAGUUAUAUAGUAGUUUUCUUUCUAAAUAUUUUCCAAUCUCCAAACUGGUGGAACUUCGGCGUGAGAUUCUUUCUUUUAGACAACUGGAAGAAGAAUCUCUUGGCAAAUCAUGGGACCGCUUUAUUAACCUCACUCUCACUGGCCCAAAGCUUUCUAUUCGAGAAGAAGUUCUUCUAAUUCACUUUUUUGAGGGCCUUAGUAGGAAAAAUAAGCAAACCCUUCAUGCGGCCUCUGGAGGAUCUUUCCACCACCUAUCCGCUAGUGAAGCUUGGAAUUUGAUUGAUUUAAUGAGCGGAAAGUCUCCUAGCUUUUAUAUCCCUGAGAAAGAGAAAGAACCAGUUCCUAGACAAGAAAAAGAAGUUUUGAUAGCCAGAUCACAACCACUUCAAUCCCAAACAUUAGUUAUCGAUCCUAAACCAUCAAUACCCCAAAAUUCUCCAAGGGAGGAUGGAAUUCCGACCUUAAAUAUUUCAGAUGCUGAUGGUUUAGACUUCUCGUUCCAUAAGAGACUUUCAAGCAGUGAUAAUUCAAAUCCUUGCAAUAAUGGUUCUCUUAGAGAAUGUCCAGGUUCCUAUUAUGAAGAAGUCGAGGAUGACAUAUCAAGUGAAGGAGAGCUAAGCCAUAUAGAAAAUUCUAACUCCUCCCCUUUCCUGAUCACAAGUUCUAAAUGGCUAGAAUGUGUAGAAUGGAUGGAUAAGGAAGAAGACUUAAUGGAUUCUGACUUUGGCUCAAUUUCAAAUGGUGAGUUCUUGACUCCCUUUGAAAAUGGGAUUCAUCCAACUAUAGAAGAGGACAUAAGUGAGACCAAUCCAGGAGAAACUCCGAACAUUCAAAUUGGAGACGAAGAUAACAUUAAUGAGCAUGGAAUUUAUUUCAUAGCCACUUCAUUUACUCCAUGCUUAUAUGCAACAUCUUCCCAAUCUAUUGGUCCCUCCAACAUCACCACAUUUGAGAUCUCCAACCCCCUCUUCCUUUCUAUUUAUAAAAACUUUAAAAGGGCGGUUGUCGACGCAUAUGUCUAUAAUAAAUAUUGCAGAUCUCAUUGAGUUGAUCUUGAUAUAGGUCAGCGUUGGAAGGGAAACCACUUCGCCGACAUAAAUGGAUGGUUUCCCAAGGACAAGCUUAGUGUCCUGAAAUAAGCACUGAUUAGAUUGUAACAUGAGCUUUUAAUUAUUUGCAACAUUACCUUGUGUAUUGAGCAUAUAAGGAUAAUUGUAAAAAUAUUCCUUCGGGUAUUCUUGUCACUAACCUUUCCAGGGUUGGAGCAAGAAGAUCGGAUGAACGACAAGCACAAGGUAUGUCCAGCCAAUCAUCAUGCAACAUUGAAUUAAAUUCAUCCAAUCUUGAAUUUUGCAAAGUUCAAGCUUGGGGGAGUACUUCACAUGAAAACAUCCUUUGCCAAGUUGCUAUGUUGGUUGUCCCUACCUUUGAGACAUGCUUGAUUUGUUAAAUACUAGUCACACUACUUCAUCUCCACUCGAGUAGAUCUCUAUAAAAGCCAUCAUGCUACCUUUGUUUAUCCUAGUAAGUGUUGGUUUGGAAGUAUUGGACAUUUCCAUUGGCAUUUAAAUUAAGCAUGGUGCUUAGGUUAAAUAGCCUUCCUUAAUUUGAUUAGACAUGGAGUCUAGUUCGGUUAUUGAACUAAAAAUGGCUUGUGUAGACAUUGGUAUAUUUUGUUGGACUAACCCUAUAGGAAAACUUUCAAUAUCAACCUGGGGAGUCCUGAGAUACAAACUCACACUGGAGACAAAGGAGACACAUAAAGUUUAACGAUUUGCACAAGGAAGACAUAGCUCAUUCAUCAUAGAGAGAUGAUCCAUGGAACAAGAUGAAGAGUGCCACAAACACGAUGCACAACCGCUAAGAAAGGAAAGCUUCCACAAGGUGAUGUUGUACCAACACUCUUCAAGUAAGGUAACAUCUUAAGGUACUUGACUAUCGCUUUUAUAAGUUUCUCCUUGGUUCUGGCGUUCACAUAAAAUAAAUAGACAAACAUGUAUGAUUUGUAACUCCAAAUUAACAAACCCAAUUAAUUCAACAUGUUUAGUCCUUUAAUCUUUGUUUAUAGUACUACCUUCAUGAUCCCACACUCCUAAUCAUAUAAGCUAAAAUGUUGCAAAUUCAAUCUUUGGAAGAUAUAAGCAAAACAUAAAUAUAGAUAGAUUAUCUUUCCAUUAGGUCAAGCAAUCUGAUCUGACAAAUGUUUUAAAUGCUACACUUAUGAUCUUAUUAUCUAUCAACUUUGUCUUGCUCACUAUGCAUAAGGUUAGAGAAGAACAAAUACACUUUUGGUUCUGUUGGUAUUUUCACCAACAGGGCCCAUGCACUUGAUCUCUGCCUUGUCUCUAUGAGCAGGUACACUUCGAGCAAAACCUGAAGAAGUUUUACAACUCCCAGACUCCACCAAGUGAAGGGCUUGGAUCUACGAGCAUAAACACACUGGAGAUACUAGACACUCAGGAAAUCACUGCCCUGAGAUGCUUGAGGACGUAAACUACAUCAUCAACAACUACUACUACAACCGCCCUCAACAAAAUCAAGGUUGGAAUCAACAGAGGCCUAACUACUAAGAGAGGCGAUCCAGGACACCCCGUCAUCCCGAUCUCCAUCGGCAUGGUGGACUUCCCAGAAGCACUCUGCGACUUUGGCUCCGGCGUCAACAUUAUGCCCAGGCUUGCAGAUCCGACACUAAGUUUCCCAAAGGGAAUAUUGAAGAACCUCUGCGUCCGAGUUGGUACCUUGUACACCCCAGUGCUGCCAAGAUUAGUCUCUACAUCAAGAGGAGGAAGGAGACGUUUACCUUCAAGAACAAGACUACACAAAUCUUAGAGCAAUCUCGAUAUGAACCAAGGAAGAGGACCAACAGGAGGAACAGGAACAAGCAAAUGUGGACCGAGUCAGCUAAGAUGGUCACUGCAGUUUAGGGAGGUCAAGAUCAUCGACUUAAGUCACCGUUUCUGACCAAAAAGGAUAACCCAGCUCUAGAUGGCAGAUUAGACAUUCCGAAAGGUUGAAGGUUAUUGACAUGGGAGAAGACGAGUAUGAUCCACCCAUCAUCCUUGAGAGACCGUUCCUCAGCACCGUUAAAGCAAUCAUCUACAUUGGAACCGGAGAAGUCCACAUGCACUUCCCCUCUAAGAAGGUACGCCCCUAUUUUACUGAACCUAACUAUAGUUGAAGACUCUAAGCAGGUCAGGACAAGAAGAAGACAACGCAACCGCAACUAGAGGAGGAAAAUCAUCAAGGACGGAUGGGCAAACUACGAAGGAGAAGUGGUAAGGUCUGAAGACAUACAACUUGAACAGAACUGUCCUGAGGAGACCGUAGCACCGAGUCAGGUGUGGAGAAAGAAGAUAGUUAUACACGAAGAGGAGGCGCCACCGGAAUCACCGACUACGCCAUCCAGCGAAUCCCAGGACGACUGAGAAAACGGAGAGUCCCGUUCGGAGGACUUAAAAACACCGAACGCCUUGCCAAGAGGUAAACUUGAUAGUUAUCUUGAUCCUUUCAAUUAUUUAAAAUAGUUUGCUUAGUUAAUCAGGUUCAUAUCAUCUUAAAAAGAAAAUAAAAAUGUUAACAAUAGUAAGCCCCAUGUGAGUAUGCUCAUGGCAUAAAACCCAUAAGUACAUUCACUGUGGUGGCAUAAAAAUAAAAGAAAUAUAUGCCUGUCCUAUAAAAAUGAGAAUAUAAAAAUAAAUUUAUGAUCCUACCAAAGAGAGUAAUAUUUAUUAGAGGAAGCUCAAACAUGAUAAAGGCAAAGAGAAUUUAUGCUAAGACUUAACCAGUUCCAUAAAGCUUUGUUGUCUAUUUGAGGUCCACAGAAUUCAAGGAUCAAAGAAGAUUAGCAGACAGAGGACAUCCUAAUUGCUGUCAGGGUCCUACCGACAUUCAAAUACACCUCCAUCACCUGCUAGCUACAUCAGAAGAAAUUACGUCAAAAUCCAGCUUGGGGGAGAGCACCCCCAUUUAUCCAGCUAAGUGUUUCUACUCGCGUUUAUACUUUACUCGAAUAAUAAAAAGAUGCAUAAUCAUGAAAACCCAAAUAAAAAUUUUGUGCUUAUAUCUUUGCUUAGUUUGCUAAAUAAAUAAAUAAAUAAAUAAAGUUUGCUAUGAACCCUCAUGAUAAGCUCUCACAUGGAAAUGAUAAAUAGUUGCUCUGCCAUGUACCAAGUUUCGAAGUUUGAGCUCUCUCUCAAGUUUAGGCAUGACUGUUGUAAUUUAAACCUGCACUAAACCGGAACUUGUGGGAAGAGUACUUGAUCUGAAGUCUAAGUCGUUAACGGAUAUGAUAUGGGAAGGUUGAGCUGCUGUUUAUCUGUUCCUAGAGAUGCUAGAAUUCUAGAGAAUUUUAACUUUGAAAAUCUUUAAAAUAACACAUGAUGAGUUCCUGUAUGAUGAGAGUUUAAAUUCCUACCACAGCCAUACAUACAUGCUUAUUAGACUUUGAGCCACAUAUUUACUUUUACUGCUUAUGAGCAUUGAGUGUGGUAAAGCUGUGCAGACCCUUAGGAGCUUGUCAUGCGGUUAAAAUCAAGAUUCACUUGCACAUUCGCUCACACAUGCUGCUUCUACUCCGGAAGCACGCAUCCACAUACAUCCACUCAUUUCCAUCUCCAGAGCCACCCAAAAGUUUUCUACUCCUAAUUCGGGAGAGAGUAGCCAAAAACAUUAUACUAUCCCUGUGGGGGUAUAAACCCCUAUACCCUUACGGCUAGACUUGGGCCAGGAGCCUUGGCCCAUCACGAAUAUGGUCUGAGGCUUGAUCCAACUGCUUGGAGUUUCGCGCAAGGAAACAAGACGUGGAGAUCAAGCCAGAUCCUGGUCGGUUAGAAUAGAGAUUGAUAUCAAAAUAUCUAUGGCAAUUGUAACCGACUAGGAUUAGUUUCCAGAUCUGUAACCCUGCCCUCCGGACUAUAUAAGGAGGGGCAAGGGACCCCCCUAGGCAAUUCAUCUCUACACAAUCCAAUACAAUCAGACGUAGGACGUAGGUAUUACGCCCACACGGCGGCCGAACCUGGAUAAAAACCUUGUCCAUGUCUUGCAUCACCGUCGAGUUCAUAGCUUGCGCUCCGUCUACCGAUAAACUACUACCGUGGGUAUACCCCAAGGUAGACUGCCGACUAGCUUUCAUCGACAGUGGCGCGCCAGGUAGGGGGUGUGCGUACAGCUCUCCCGGCGAACAAGAUGGUUAUCGUUCCAGCUUCCGCGGCCGUGCCUGAAGGCCUGACGUUCACCGUCGGCCAGAUCACGUGGACGACUCACGGCGGCGGCCUCACGACCACGACUUUUGAAGAAACCCAGAUCCGAUCUGGGACGACAGCGGCAUCGACUCCGAUCACGCUGACACCUUGCACUCGACCACCACUCCCUCGUUACAAGGGAAAGAAGGUCGACGGCUCGGACCUUUUCCGAGCCCUUGAUCGCGCCGAUCUCAGGCUCCUCGAAGCUUCUCGACUAAUAGAUGGGAUCUCGCGCCAAUCUGAUCAAGUCGCGCUAACGGACUUUUUCGACUCCUGCCGGCCAACUCGUGUCGUCACACACGAACGGCUGGGGACGUCUCUAACAAUAACUUCCACCCCCACGGGGUGGUCCGUUGAACUCAAGGCAGACCCAGACCAGAGUCCUCCUGAUGGGCUAAACAACUCAGCCGUUUACUACUCACUGUUGACGGUCCUUAAGUACUAAAAUUAAUAAUCAAAUAAACAUGAAAAAGGAUCAAUAUGAAACAAACAUCUAGAAUUAGGGUUUUAUCUGACAGAAUUCCACGAGUUUUGGUGUUUAUCUAUUUCUGCAGGGGUUUAUCAGAAAAUAGGGAGAGAAGGCCCACAUGUCAUGUUUACAACGAGAUAAUUACGUGCCGCGCAAUUUUCCUUGAUCUGGAAGGAUCCAGAAGCCACGGGAACGAACGAGAGGGGAUUCGGGCUCGGGGGCUGGGCGGCCGCCCACCCCCCUUGGGCGCCCGCCCAGGUGGAGAGUCCAAUCAGGACUCUGCUUCGGGACAAUCCUCCACCGACCUAAAGGAUCAAUCUAAACCAUACAAUCUAUGUCGGUUUGAUCCAAUGGCUCACGUUCACUUGAGGGGACUAUAAAACCAGACCCCCUGGCCCCUGGAGGAGAGGAGGAGAAAUCAUUAUUCAGAGGUAGCCAUCAAAGUUAGGGUUUAGAGCUUCUCUCCCACAGAGAAUUAGAAUUAGCUACUCCCUAAUCCUUCAAGUUUAGAGGUUUGAUUAGAUAGCAAUUAGAGAAGUAGAGCACUACGCUCUGGAUUCGGAUCUUUGGUAAUAAAGAUUGGUAUUAUUCAUAUCUUUCUCUAAUUCUAUUGUUCUAAUUGCAUUAUGUCUCUAAUUAUUAUGUUCUUAGUUUGCUCUAGUUCUAUAUUUGAUAUAGUUCUAAUUGAUAAUGAGUUUAUGUAUAAGUUUGCAAAGCGCUUAGCUCUUGUCGCGAGGGAGUUAGGUGAUAGAUCACAUGUGAGCGUGGUGCUUAGAUGUUAUUUAUCUGCAAAUGUAUCCUAUUGGCCGAGUCGUGUGGUAGUUCGCGAUAGUGACAGCUUCGUUGAUUCUUAUAUAGUCCACCCUCCGUUGAUAGGACAGGCAGAACCGGUAUUGUGGAGUAAGUCAUGCGAUGUUCUGAUUUACUUUAUCAAUGUUCCUUAUACAUGAAUGAAGAGUCUUUUAUGCUAUAUAUGAUCUUGUAGAUAACUAGAGUAGAUUAUGACUUAGUAGUUAGUAGAUAACUUAGAAUCCAUUCUCUAGCUAAUCCGACAUCACCUACAUAUAUGAGGAGUAGUCUAUUUUCUAAUCGCUGUGCUCUUUACCCCAUGAACUUAUACUUUAUUAUCAUUAUCUUUAUGGUUUACCCCCUGCUAAAGUAUGUGAUUGUGUGACGAGUUUCUCAUUAGUAAUCAUGUUCUUGCAAGUUUAUCUCUAGUCUAUGCCUUGAUAGAUUUUGCCCCCUUUGAUUUAAUUCCAUCUUCCUCAGAUCCCUAAGCAAAAUUAUAAAUAACGAUACCUGUAAUACUUAUCCUGGUGAAAUGCUACAACGAGGUGUUUUAUCUUUGCGCUUGCGGAUAGAAUAGAUUAUUUUCUAGAGAGCCUUUACAUUUAUAAAUACCUUUGUACACUCUGGCGCCAUGCUAGGGAUGACAACCUAGUAUCUAAGUGGUGUUAGCUAGUGUCAACAAGCAUUUCUAGCGCCGUUGCCGGGGAGUUACGGAGACAUGUUAGAAUUAUAAGAAUUAUAUGAGUCUCAGGAAUAAGUCGUAAAAGGGGAACAAAGGAGUAAUAUUGAGGAAGGCCAGAAAAUCAAUCAAGGUUAUUCAUAUAAAAUUUUAGACUAGACUAUAGAGAAAUAAUUGCAUAAAACAGCUACUAAGUGAGAAAUCAUAACAAGGCACCGCUGCUUUGGCAGGUUCACCCUGUUGUUUUUCUAUGUUUAUAUUUUUAUACAGGGUAUAACAGGAUUGACUUUGGGUACAUUCAACUCUUCAUCAUCAGAACCAAAGCAAUCAAGAGAAGAAGAAGCUAGUUACCAAUUGCUGAAGCUAUGGCACAAAAGACCUUGCAAGAAUUCUCUGGUCCAAGUCUUGAGAACAUUCCAACUGGUCCAAGAUUUGCAGUAGAAGAAGGAAUACUUGAGUUUGAGCUCAAGUCAAGCCUCAUCAAUUUGGUACAAGCUACACAAUUCAGUGGAAAGGCACAUGAAGAUGCCAGUGCACACUUGCAGAAUUUCUUAGAGAUUGGAAGCACAAUCCACAUCAACGGAGUUGACAAAGACGUCAUACUGCUUUGCCUUUUUCCAUUUUCAUUAGAAGGAAAAGCGAGGAAGUGGUUCUACACUCAUCAAGAUAACAUCAACAACUAGACGAACUUGUUAGAUGCCUUUCUAUCAAAGUUUUUCCCUAUAGGCAAAACAACUGCCUUAAGAGGAAAUAUUGUCAGUUUCCAACAGUAGAAGACAGAAGCCAUUCCAGAAGCAUGGGAGCGUUUUCAAGGAUACAUAUCAGAUUGUCCUCACCAUGGAAUGGCCACAUGGUUACUUAUGCAGACCGUCUACCAUGGAUUAACCCAGAAGGCUCGUGAGUGCCUAGAUGCAUCUGCUAAAGGAUCAUUCUUGGAGCUUACAACUGGAAAAGCAGAGAUACUUUUGGAUAAGAUAGCAGAAAACCAAAGCUGGUUCCAAGAUAAAGCUCAACAUUGUCAUCAAACUGAAGAAAUACCAGAAGAAAUAAAUGCAUUAUCAACUAAGAUGGAAAAUUUGCUCCAUUGGAUUGACCAGAGGGCCAAGUUCAAAGAAGAUCAAAGGGCCAUUGAGACAGCAUACAAAUAUCAACCAACUUCGAGUCAACCCAAUAGCAAAGGUAUGAAUUCAGGUAAUACUGUCAAGCAACUUUCAUUAAAAGAGAUAAUUGCUCAACAAACCAAAAUUAAUGAUGAAGUUAAACAAAGGCUAGAUACAAAUGAAUCAUCUCUAAAAGAUAUACACAAUAAAAUGGAUUUUCUACUAACUGCCUUUGAUGAGCAAAACACUCUUAAUAAAAGGGUAGAGCUUAAAUUAAUAAAGUUAGCUGCUGCACUGCCUGUUGCUACUAACAUUGAGCAGGUAAAGAAUAUAACUACUAGAGGAGGUAAAGCUACCAGAGAUCCACCAUACCCAAAAGAGAAACAAAGAACAUCAGCACCAGUGCAACCAGCAGUGAUAGAAGAAGAAAGCCCAGUUGAAGCAGAAGAUCUGCUCCAACCACCAAGAACUGGAGAAAUGAGGAAAGAUUUUUACGACACCAACUAUUUGCCAUUUCCCAGAAGAAACAGAGGACUGCAGUCGGAUGAGCAGUUUGGUAAGUUUGUAGAGGUCAUUCAGAAAUUAUAUGUCAACAUACCUCUGCUCGAUGCCAUACAGGUACCUACAUAUGCAAAGUACAUCAGAAAUAUUCUUAACAAGAAGAGACCACUGCCCACCACUGAGGUUAUCAAGCUGACGGAAGAAUGUAGUGCGGCCAUCCUCAAUAAGCCACCAAAGAAGAAGGAAGAUCCCGGAUGUCCCACUAUAGAUUGCUCGAUCGAAAACCAACACUUCAACAAUGCACUUUGUGAUCUCGGAGCAAGUGUCAGUGUGAUGCCAGUAUCAGUCUACAAAAAGCUUGAGCAUGUGACCUUAGAACCAACAUCAAUGUGCCUACAACUAGCGGAUCAAUCGGUUCGACACCCGUUGGGCAUCGCCGAGAACAUUCCAGUCAAGAUCAGAGAUUUCCUGGUGCCAGUAGACUUCGUAGUACUGGACAUGAGUCCUGACUCGAAAGUGUCCAUCAUCCUUGGAAGGCCAUUUCUGAGCACUGCCAAUGCCCACAUUGAUGUCGGGAAGGGAGAAAUCAAGUUCAACAUAAACGGUCAAGAAGAACACUUCACAUUCAAACCCAGACCAGAGAGAGACUCUACAGUGAAGGAAGUUCAAGAAGAACCACUGGAGACACCAUCUCCAGAGGAAGGUAACUCAGAAGAUUAAAAGAUUUGGAGGUCCAGCUUGGGGGACCUAAAAAUCCCAAACCCUCACCGGGAGGUAAAUCGGUAUUUAUCCGCAUUAUCAAUUUUCUCAUUCUUGCAUAAUUAAUUCUUGCAUUAGUCAUAGCAUUAUUAUAAUAAUCAAAAAGCCCCAUAUAAAUAAUAUUUGUGGUGUGUAACAACCCAUAUUUAUUAUUGUGGAGGCACAAAAAUAUUUUCCAUUAUCAUUUUCAUUAAGUUUCGAUUCUCAUAGAUUUUCCUGCAUUAUAUUUAAUCAUAUUAAUCUUCUAGAAGCAUGACCCACACUCUUUGGGGCCCACAUGUCAUACACUUCACCUCACAUACAUCCCAUCACAUAAUUUCAUCCACCAAUAUAUUUCCACUCACCUGACAUCUUUCCACCGUCCAACCACCACCAACACAACAUUAUUUUGCGUGAGAUCAAAGCAAGGAAGCAAGUGGAGGAAGCACACCUAGGAUGGACACCAGGGGUGGGCGCCCGCCCACCUACCUUGGGCGCCCGCCCUGUCCCCUGCUCAGCUUAUAAAAGGCCACCUCCAGCUUUCCUUCUCUUCACACAAACACUUCAGAAAACCACAUAAAUCUCAGUCUCCCGAGAAGGAGCUUUUGUAGUGAAGAGAAGAGAGUAGAGAGAAAGAGGAGAGUGGACGAGAAAGUUGGAGUUCUUUUGAGAGAGUGUUUAUCACCUAGCAAGUAGUGAUCCCGCUGUCUAAGCGGAAGUAAAAGUUGUUUAGGGGGAGGCUCUACCAAAAUAGAAACUUGUCUUGAACGAUGAACCCCUGGACUACUGACACUCCGGACAGCUGACCACUAACAUUUUAUCUCACAUUUUCCACCAGUUGUGUUUUUGCCAAAUUUUGUUUGCAGGAUGUUUAAGAAGGUGAAGAAUGCAGGGAAGGCUCUCAAGAACAUUGGUACAAGGAGUUCAUCCCGACACUCCUCACAACCAUCAGAGAUGAGCGUCGACCCGACACCCACACAAGCUCCAUCAUCUUCAUCAGGCCAGCAAGUCAAGGUCCUUCUCAAGAUAGGAGACCUAGGACUAAAGACCCGAAGAGACAAGGAAGUCUAUCAGCAACUGAAGAACAAAGAUUUCAUUCACACCCCUACUAUCGAUCCAAUCCUACUACGAGAAACAGGUAUGGACACUGAAUUUGACUUAAUUUUUCAAAUGAUGGGUUGGACCAAUUUUUGGAAUAUAACUGAGCUGGGUUCUCGUCUUCUCACCCUCGAAUUUCUUUGUACUUUACAAUACUAUGAGGGGAGAAUUGUUUUUCGGAUGUUUAAACAGGAAAUUAUGCUGUCUUGGAGAGAGCUGAGCGACCAUCUUGGUUUCUCUUCAAGAUGCAUCCUAAACAUCGACUCCGAUUUACCCAAUUUUGAGAGACACCAGUUUUGGAGAGAAAUAUCUAGAGAUAAUUUUUACAGUCAAGCCUGAACCAGUGACAUGGAACACCCCACUCUUAGGAUGUUCCACAAAUGGCUUGGGUACAAUCUUUUCUAUCGUGACGAUAUUAGGAAAGUAAGAGUAGGAGAUUUACAACUUUUAUAUGCUGCUAUUAGUAAAGUACCUACUUCACCUGUUACACUAUUAGUUUCACAUUGGCUUAGUAUAUCUAGUCUUCAGGGACCAGUAGGAUGUACUUCACUUAUCACUCGUCUAGCCACUAAUCUUCACUUACUAGAAAACUCAUCAUUGGACUUCAUAGAAGAAUUAAGAAUUUACCAUGGCUAUGACACAUUUAGACAAGCUCGGAUGUUAAAGAAAGAGGGGAAUAUAAUGUAUAUGCUAUAUGAUGAUAAAGGCAAGAUUCGGUUACCUAACCCGAACCUUGGCCUCUACUCUGUGCAAAACUUUUUGAUUGAGAUUGCAGCAACACUAGUGAACUAGAGAACUCCACAGCGAGUGGCAUCUGAAAGGAUAACCACUCACCGAGAACGCACUUGGUAUGGAGCUGACCCUGGACCAGAAGAAGCAGCGCACCUGCAUUAUUGCGAUUACAAUCCACGAGUCCUUCGAGACCCAUGGGCUCGAUAUGCACAACCACAAGAGCCAACAGAGGAGACAUAGCCGGAGAGCCAAGAUCACCAGUGGACAAACCCGCCUUUUCAUACGGGCAGGUACUCCACUGAUCCAUAUGGAGCUUCAGGAUCCACACCUCCACCCCAAUUUGAUGCAGGACGAUACUCCGACGCCUCCUACGCCUUCACGAAUGACUACUAUGAAGAGGCCGGUGCUUUCUUUACUCGUACCGACAACACCCUCCUCAACAUCCAGAACACGCAAGCAGAACAUGGAAGACUCCUGGAAGAGCAACAAAAAUGGAACCAGGACCAUGCCGCUACAGUAGAAGAGCUGAGACAAGAUACAACAACAAUGAACGACAACAUCACAACCAUGAUGCGAUUCUGGAACAUCGGGUAAGACCGACGUCAACAUCCAGCUUGGGGGAGUUCCUCCCAAAUUUAUCAAGUAAGUUUUUAUUUGCUCUUCUUAUUUAUUCUAUUCUGUCUUAGUAUUUAAUUUAUCUUAAAAGGAAAAGCUUAGAAAACCAAAUAAAUAUUUUCUUGCUUUAAUUUACUGCACUUUAUAAACAUGAAAACAAAAUAAAAAGAGUGUGUAGAUAAGUGUGCUUUAUCUUCCUGCUAAGUUUAAUCUCUAGAAAAAUAAAAAGACCAAAAAUAUACAUGAUGGAAAUGAUGAAUAGUUGCUCUGUUUGCUCACUUACAAGUACCUAGCUUUUAUAUUAGAAUUCUUCCAGGAAUUACUAAAACUAAAAUUACUAUCUUUGGGAAAGCAUAAACUAAAGUCUAGGUAAGAGAAAGGCAUGAUAUAAAGUUGAGCUACUGUUUAUCUUGUUCCUACUACACCAAGUUCUAGAGAUUUAUUUUUGAAAACUUUCAAAUCACAUGAUGAGUUCCUAGCAUAACAAACUACCUACCACAGCCAUACUUGCUAUAACAUCUUUACUAUAUUCACAUUGAGUUUGAUCGAGCUGUGUUGACCCUUAGGAGCUUUUCAUGUGGUUAAAUUAAGAUAUUCACUUGCACACAUCUACCACAGCAUUCAUUAUCAAUCAUUAAAAUUGCUAAAAAUAUUAUCACUCACUGUCCCGAAUAUUGUUAUUCUCUCUCUCUAAAAAGAUUCAAUGCAGAAGAGGCAUGGGUUAUGCAAAAAAAAUAUAUACGAGGAAAUAAAAAGGGGCAAGUGCCCGGAACCUCGAUAAAAGAAAAAGAGUGAGACGAGAGGUAAAAAUGGACAAGUGUCCGAAGUAGAAUUAGGGGUACAAAGAUGCCCACUUGAGCGGAAAAAAUGGACAAGUGUCCGACAGUAGAAUUAGGGGUAUCCACUACCCACCUGAAAAAAAAACAAGAGAGAAGAAAAAUAGCCCAUGUUCUCCCAAAGCAAAGAUCAAAGAAGAGGAGAGAUAGCAAUAUGAGGAGCAAUGAGAAGUAAAUUUUAUUAUCACUUAUGCAUUUUCACCAUCACUAUCAUUUGCUCCAUCACACAUGCACAUCUUGAUUUAAUUAUAUGCUGAGUUCCUUAGGAUCCAUGGCUCGAUUAGACAACAUAUGUAUGAGCUGUUUGCACUCCUAUGAGCUCCACUUAAUUAUUCCAGUAGCUAUAGGUAAGUGACAUUAUGGUAAGGAUCCACAAAUACCACAUAUAGAGAGACUUGAGAGAUCAUUGCUGGGAACUCUGAGUUUUAUUUUGAAAACUUAUGAAAAACUCUAGAACGUGGGUGAAGUAUAGACAGGAGGGAUAGUGCUUGAAUUAACUAUUUUGUCUUUCGAUUACUUAAGAUUUAAGUGCAGGUACUAAACUUCAUAACACUUCACUUUAAUCUGGAAGAAUUUUUAUGUAAAAGCAUGUGUGCCUGUCAGGAAAGAAAACAUCGAAGCAACUCCUGAUCCGUCUGAGUUUAGCUAUUUGCUCAGGGACGAGCAAAGGGUAAGCUUGGGGGAGUUUGUUGACGGUCCUUAAGUACUAAAAUUAAUAAUCAAAUAAACAUGAAAAAGGAUCAAUAUGAAACAAACAUCUAGAAUUAGGGUUUUAUCUGACAGAAUUCCACGAGUUUUGGUGUUUAUCUAUUUCUGCAGGGGUUUAUCAGAAAAUAGGGAGAGAAGGCCCACAUGUCAUGUUUACAACGAGAUAAUUACGUGCCGCGCAAUUUUCCUUGAUCUGGAAGGAUCCAGAAGCCACGGGAACGAACGAGAGGGGAUUCGGGCUCGGGGGCUGGGCGGCCGCCCACCCCCCUUGGGCGCCGGCCCAGGUGGAGAGUCCAAUCAGGACUCUGCUUCGGGACAAUCCUCCACCGACCUAAAGGAUCAAUCUAAACCAUACAAUCUAUGUCGGUUUGAUCCAAUGGCUCACGUUCACUUGAGGGGACUAUAAAACCAGACCCCCUGGCCCCUGGAGGAGAGGAGGAGAAAUCAUUAUUCAGAGGUAGCCAUCAAAGUUAGGGUUUAGAGCUUCUCUCCCACAGAGAAUUAGAAUUAGCUACUCCCUAAUCCUUCAAGUUUAGAGGUUUGAUUAGAUAGCAAUUAGAGAAGUAGAGCACUACGCUCUGGAUUCGGAUCUUCGGUAAUAAAGAUUGGUAUUAUUCAUAGCUUUCUCUAAUUCUAUUGUUCUAAUUGCAUUAUGUCUCUAAUUAUUAUGUUCUUAGUUUGCUCUAGUUCUAUAUUUGAUAUAGUUCUAAUUGAUAAUGAGUUUAUGUAUAAGUUUGCAAAGCGCUUAGCUCUUGUCGCGAGGGAGUUAGGUGAUAGAUCACAUGUGAGCGUGGUGCUUAGAUGUUAUUUAUCUGCAAAUGUAUCCUAUUGGCCGAGUCGUGUGGUAGUUCGCGAUAGUGACAGCUUCGUUGAUUCUUAUAUAGUCCACCCUCCGUUGAUAGGACAGGCAGAACCGGUAUUGUGGAGUAAGUCAUGCGAUGUUCUGAUUUACUUUAUCAAUGUUCCUUAUACAUGAAUGAAGAGUCCUUAUACGUGGUCCACUCCAUCUUCGGAGGCAAAGUCUCCAUCGAGUCUAAGUGAGAAAGAAAGCUCCUGAAGAGAGCCUGCCUCAACGUGGAUGUUGAUAUUUGGUAACGCAAUUAGAAAAUGAUCCACAAGCGCACGGAUAUCGGUGAGCAUUUCACCCGGGAGGUUAUCCAGAGUUAUCGUAUUUAUAUUUUUACCACUGGGAGAAAGGGUGCAUCUGACUAACCAAAUCUAUCGCUACUAUCCCUUUAGGCUACAAAGAAUGUCUCUCGAUGUGAGUGAUGUAUAGAGAAGACUGCAACCGAAGUCUCGUUCUAACCUUGGUAAGGAUGAUCUACUGUUCUAUUGGGGAGGCUCACGGAAUCUAGACAACACAAAGGAUGUUCGACCCGCACCUAUAAACCUACCCGUCCUUCUAACAAGAUGUGAUAUGCAAAGGUAACUCGGAAAUGUCACGUUCCUCGCUACUACCACGGUCCAGCUAGUCAGGGGAUAUCUAUGAGUACCCUAGCCUAAACACCACGUUUACGCUAACAAGUGAUUACUCUAAUACUCAACCGAAAGAGGAUUAAAGUAAACUCAUAAACCAAAGAACAAUAAAACAAGAACUUACUAGUAUUAGAAGUCGAAUUACUGAAGAAUCUUAGAAGCAAGCCUCGGGUUAGGAGACUUGAUCCCCUAGGUACAACUCGGAGUAGACACCGACAGGCCGGCCUUCCUCCGAUCCACACCUCCACUCUAUCUCUCUCAAUCUAGUAGAAACUAGAAGAUCUAUUUCUACCUUACAUUGGUUGCUAAGCCUAAAAAGAAAUAUUAUUUAGAGAAGAGGUUUUCCUUCGAGGGCACCCCUCAAUCUCUAUGAUAAUUUCUUGUCUCUUCCAGGGGCCAGGGGGCCUUGCUUAUAUAGUCCUCCCCUUCUAUGCGUUUUUGGGUCGAUAGGCGAGGUGGUACUAUGUUUUUCUUGAUCCAAUAGGUCGGUGGAAUAUCCCGAGCGAAAGAGUCCUGAUUUGGCUCCAAGAGGGGGGCGGGCGCCCAGGCUACCAGGGCGGGCGCCCUGGGCCUGGCCCCUUUCGGGCUCCGCUUCCUUCCCGUGGCUUCUGGAGUCUUCUAGAUGGUAGAAAAUUGGGCGGUGGGUUGAUAUCUCUAUGUAAUACCGACAUGUGGGCCUUUCUUCCUUAUUUCCUGAUAACCCCCUGCAGAAAUAGACAAACACCAAAACUCGUGGAAUUCUGUCAGAUAAAACCCUAAGUCUAGAUGUUGAUUUCAUUUGGAUCCUUUUCUUUGUUUAUUUGAUAAUUAAAUUUGAUACUUAAGGACCGUCAACAAACUCCCCCAAGCUUACCUGUUGCUCGUCCCUGAGCAAGGAUGAACUCAAGAGUUUCUGCAGUGGUUUCAUUUCUUAGAAGUACACACGCAUUUAAACAAGAUCUCAUCUCUGAGUUAGAAUAAACUGUUAAGACUUAAAACUUACUUACUUUACCUACACCAUAGGACUUGUGACCGUCACUUCUGUCUUGAGUGGUUAAAAGAUAGAAUAGUCUAGCCAAGUGCCAUGUCUCUUAUUCUUGAUCAGCUAUAGCUCUGGGGUUUUUGCAGAUUUUCAAAUAAAACUCAGAGAUUCCUUAUAUGACUCUCUCAGAUCUCUCUUUUGUGGUAUUUUUGGAUCCUUACCAAGGCAGUGAUGGUAUAUGCCUUCUCUCAAAAUAUGUAGUAUUUGUGGUAUGAAGCAUAGUGUCAUUGUCUUCUCUCUCACCCUACUCUAAUAAGGCUUUAAUAUCUGGAGCUCAUAGGUGGGAGAUAAAGUAUACAUACUUACAAGACAUUUAUUGCAUAGUCAAACCAUGGAUCCAAAGAAACAAAUCAAUAAGCCAAAUCAAGAUGUGCAUGUGUGGCGAAUGAAUGGUGUAUGGUGAUGAUGGUGAUAACAAUGGUGAAAACAAUGGAGGUGGAAGUCUAAUUCUACUUUGCUCUUUGAGGGGAUACAUACCUUCCUUGCUUUUUGAAACUUUAUGAGGAGAAUGAGAUGCUCAUCUUUUUCUUUUCUUUCAGGUGGGUAUCUUGUACCCCUAAUUUCUAAUGUCGGACACUUGUCCAUUUUUACCUCUCGUCUCACUUUUUCUUUUCUUUCGAGGUUCCGAGCACUUGCUCCUUUUUAUAUCCUCGUAUCUCUUUUUUUCUCUUCUUUUUUUUUCAGAGCAUUCAUCUCUUGAGAUAAUACAGCAAGUGGUAGUAACAAGAUAACUUGAGCAUUUAUUUCACAAGGGGAAACAGAAAUAUUUUUGGUUAUUCUCUCUCGGAUUAGGAGUAGAAUACUUUUGGGUGGUUUUGGAGAUGGAAAUGAGUGGAUAUAUGUGGAUGGUACUUCCGGAGUAGAAGUAGCAUGUAUGAGUGAACGUGCAAGUGAAUCUUGAUUUAACCACAUGACAAGCUCCUAAGGGUCUACACAGCUUGACCACACUCAAUGCUUAUAAGCAGUAAAAAGUAAAUGUGUGGCUCAAAGUCUAGCAAGCAUGUAUAUAUGGCUGUGGUAGGAUUUUAAACUCUCAUCAUACAGGAACUCAUCAUGUGAUAUUUUAAAGAUUUUCAAAGAUAAAAUUCUCCAGAAUUCUAGCAUCUCUAGGAACAGAUAAACAGCAGCUCAACCUUCCCAUAUCGUAUCCGUUAACAACUUAGACUUCAGAUCAAGUUUUCAUCCCACAAGUUUAGGUCUAGAGCAAGCCUUAAAUUAUAACAGUUAUAUCUAAACUUGAGAGAGAACUUCAAAUUUGCAAAUUAGGCAGAGCAACUAUUCAUCAUAUCCAUGCUUAAGUUUUAUUAGAUACAGAUUAGCAUAGCCACUUUAUUUAUUUAUUAAACACACUAAGCAAAAUAUAUAUAAGCAUAAAAUCUUUAUUUGGUUUUUCAUAGUUAUGUGUAUUUAUAUUCUAAUAUAGUAUAAGUAUAAAGAUAGAUAGAAAUACUUAUCGAGAUAAAUGGGGGUGCUCUCCCCCAAGCUGAAUUUUGACGUAAUUUCUCUUGAUGUAGCUAGCAGGUGGCAGAGGUGUGUUUGAAAGUCAGCAAUAUUUUGACAGCGAUUAGAAUGUCCUCCGUCUGCUAGUCUUCUUGAUUCUUAAAUUCUGUGGAGCUCAAAUAGACAACAAAGCUUGUGGAACUGAUUAAGUGUUAGCAUAAAUAUCUAGCCUUUAUUAUCUUGAGACUCCUUAAUAAUUAUUACUCCCUGUUUUUAUAUUUUUGUUUUUAUAAAGUAGAAAAAUAUUUAUUUUAUUUUUAUGCCACCACAGUGAAUGUACUUAUGGGUUUUAUGCCACUCGUCUACUCACAUGGGGCUUACAUUUUUUUUCACAUUUUUAUUUUCUUUCUAGGAUAAUACGAACAUGAUUAACUAAGUAAACUAUUUGAAAUAAUUAAAAGGGAAAGGAUAACUACCAAGUUUACCUCUUGGCAAGGCGUUCGGUGUUUUUAAGUCCUCUGAGCGGGACUCUCCAUUUUCUUAAUCGUCCUGGGAUUCGCUGGAUGACGUAGUCGGUGAUUCCGGUGGCGCCUCCUCUUCGUGUGUAACUAUAUUCUCUCUCCACACCUGACUCGGUGCUACGGUCUCCUCAGGACAGUUAUGUUCAAGUGGUAUGUCUUCAGUCUUUAUCACUUCUCCUUCGUAGUCUACCCAUCCGUCCUUGAUGAUUUGCCUCCUCUGGUUGCGGUUGCGAUGUCUUCUUCUUGUCCUGACCUGCUUAGAGUCUUCAACUAUAUAGUUAGGGUUAGUAAAACAGCGGCAUACCUUCUCAGAGGAGAAGUGUAUGUGGACUUCUCCGGUUCCAAUAUAGAUGAUGGCUUUGAUAGUGCUGAGGAACUGUCUUCCAAGGAUGGUGGGUGGAUCAUAUUCAUCUUUUCCCAUGUCAAUAACUUGAAAGUCAUCUAUAGCGGAAUGUAUAUUGGUUGUAGGGGCAUGGUUUCAUGCAGGAGCUGAUAAGUGACUACGGCCAUUAUGUUGACGUCAGAUCCGGUGUCGUAGAGUGUCUUCUGAAAAGAGUAUAUGUUGUUUGUGCAUUCGAUUCUUGGAACACCAGGGUCGUCCUUCUUGAUCAAGAAAGGUGACUUGAGUCGACGAUCUUGACCUCCUUGAGCUGCAGUGACCAUCUUAGCUGACUCGGUCCACAUUUGCUUGUUCCUGUUCCUCCUGUUGGUCCUCUUCCUUGGUUCAUGUCGGGAUUGCUCUGAAAUUUGUGGUCUUGUUCUUGAAGGAAAGUCUCCUUCUCUCCCUUGAUGUAGAGACUGAUCUUGGCAGCAUUAGCGUAGAUGACUGCUCUGGUGUUUAGGAAUGGCCUCCCUAAGAUGAUGGGUACCCUCUCCUCAGUACCAGUCUCUAUCACCACGAAGUUUGCUGGAGCGUAUAAGGUACCAACUCGGACGCAGAGGUUCUUCAAUAUUUCCUUUGGGAAACUAAGUGUCCGAUCUGCAACCCUGGGCAUAAUGUUGACGCUGGAGCCAAAGUCGCAGAGUGCUUCUGGGAAGUCCACCAUGCCGAUGGAGAUCGGGAUGACGGGACGUCCUAGAUCACCUCUCUGAGUAAUUAGGCCUCUGUUGAUUCCAACCUUGAUGUUGUUGAGGACGGUUGUAGUAAUAGUUGUUAUUGUUGUUGAUGUAGUUCACGUCCUCAAGCAUCUUAGGGCAGUGAUUGCCUGAGCGUCCAGUAUCUCCAGUGUGUUUGUGCUCGUAGAUCCUAGUUCUUCACUUGGUGGAAUCUGGGAGUUGUAAAACUCCUUCAUAUUAUGCUCGAAGUGUUCCUGCUCAUAGAGACAAGGUAGAGAUCAAGUGCAUGGGCCCUGUUGGUGGAAAACACCAACAGAACUAAAAGUGUAUUUGUUCUUCUCUAACCUUAAGCAUAGUGAGCAAGACAAAGUUGAUGGAUCAUGAGUGUAGCAUUUGUCAGAUCAGAUGGCUCAACCUAAUGGAAAGAUAAUCUAUCUAUAUUUAUGUUUUGUUUAUAUCUUCCAAAGAUUGAAUGUGCAAUACUUUAGCUUAUAUGAUUAGGAGUGUGGGGUCACGAAGGUAGUACUAAGAACAAAGAUUAAAGGACUAAACAUGUUGAAUUAAUUGAGUUGGUUAAUUUAGAGUUAUAAAUCAUACAUGUUUGUCUCUUUAUUUAUGUGAAUGCCAGAACCAAGGAGGAGCUUAUAAAAGUGUUAGUCAAGUACCUUAAGAUGUUACCUUACUUGAAGAGUGAUGGUACAGUAUCACCUUGUGGAAGCUUUCCUUUCUUAGCGGUUGUGCAUCGUGUUUGUGGCACCCUCCAUGAAUCAUCUCUUAUGAGCUACGUCUUUCUUGUGCAAAUUGUUAAACUUCAUGUGUCACUUUCUUCAUCUCUAAUGAGUUUGCAUCUCAGGACUUCCCAGGUUGAUAUUGAAAGUUUUCCUACAGGGGUUAGUCCAACAAAAUAUACCAAUAUCUACUCAAGCAGUUUUUAGUUCAGUAACCAAACUAGACUCCAUGUCUAAUCAGAUUAAGGAAGGCUAUUUAACCUAAGCACCACACUUAAUUUAAAUGCCAUUGGAAGUGUGACCAGUACUUCCAAACUAACACUUACUAGGAUAAACAAAGGUAGCAUGAUGGCUUUUAUAGAGAUCUACUCAAGUGGAGAUGAAGUAGUGUGAUUAGUAUUUAACAAAUUGAGCAUGUCUCAAAGGUAAGGACAACCAACAUAGCAACAUGGCAAAGGAUGUUUUAUGUAAAGUACUCCUCCAAGCUUGAAUUUUGCAAAAUUCAAGAUUGAAUGAAUUUAUUUCAAUGUUGUGUGAUGGUUGGUUGGACAUACCUUGUGCUUGUCAUUCAUCCGAUCUUCUUGCUCCAAUCCUGGAAAGGUUAGUGACAAGAAUACCCGAAGAAAUAUUUCUACAAUUAUCUUUAUAUGCUCAAUACACAAGGCAAUGUUGCAAAUAAUUAGAAGUUCAUGUUACGAUCUGAUAAGUGCUUGCUAAGCUUAUCCUUGGGAAACCAUCAAGUUAUGUUGGUGAAGUGGUUUCCCCUCCAACACCUACCUAUAUCAAGAUCAAUUCAACGAGAUCUACAAUAUUUAUUAUAGACAUAUGCAUCGACAACCGCCCUUUUAAAGUUUUUAUAAAUAGAAGGGAAGAGGGGGUUGGAGAUCUCAAAUGUGGUAAGGAUGGAGAGACCAAUUGAUUGGGGAGAUGUUUUAUAUGAGCAAGGAGUGGGUGAGGUAUUUAUGAAAUAACUUCCAUGCUCACUGUUGUUUCUCUCAUUCUCAAACUCCAAGGAUGAUUCUUCAUGAAUGUUUAAAAUUCCUCUAGGAUUGUCUCUCAAGUUUGUUUUAUCUAUCCAUUCAAUGGUGAUAGCACAUGGAUUUUUAAUGCCCUCUAGCCAUUGAUGUUGCUCUUCUCGAUCCUCCUUCUUAUGCAUGGGAUGUCUAGAUAGAUUCAUAGGAUUAUCAGGAGGUUCAAGAGAAAGAGCAUAGUAGAAAUUGUUAAGAUCAAGGAUGGGUUGGAUAGUCGAAUCAUGGGAUUGAAAUGUUUGGAAAUUGGCUAUUAAAACUUCCUUUCCUCGUCUGGGAGAUGAUUCCUUCUCUAUCUCUAAGAUUUUUCUAUGAAGACUAGUACAAGAAGGAUGUCCACAAAUGAAGACAUACCUUCCUUUACUAAUAGAUAAAGAAAGAAGGACUCUACCAAAGGUUAUAUGAUUAAGACCAAUGUGAAAAUAUUUAGGAAAAACAUGGUCUUGUAGGGCUAGGUCUAAACCAGAAUUUAUAGAAAGAUUAAAAGAUUCCCUAGGUGUAGCUAAAAGUGCAUUAUCUUUUUGAUUAAAAGAUAGGACCUCGGCUAUAGAAAAGGGUUGGUUUUGACCUAUUGCAAUCAACUCCGGACACAGAUCAUAAUUAGGGGCAGAACGUGUUGACUCCCAUAGUCUAUAGCUGGUCUCCGAAGGUCCAAAGAAUUUAAUAAUAGGUAUGGAAUUUGAGUUAUCCAUAAAGAUAAAAAUAAAAAGAUAAAAUAAUAAAAGUAUAAAAGUAUAAUACAAGAUAAUAGCAAGACUCAAAGUUAUCUCAGCAAACCGUCUUUCUCCCCGGCAACGGCGCCAGAAAUGCUUGUUGAUAUUUGGUAACGCAAUUAGAAAAUGAUCCGCAAGCGCACGGAUAUCGGUGAGCAUUUCACCCAGGAGGUUAUCCAGAGUUAUCGUAUUUAUAUUUUUACCACUGGGAGAAAGGGUGCAUCUGACUAACCAAAUCUAUCGCUACUAUCCCUUUAGGCUACAAAGAAUGUCUCUCGAUGUGAGUGAUGUAUAGAGAAGACUGCAACCGAAGUCUCGUUCUAACCUUGGUAAGGAUGAUCUACUGUUCUAUUGGGGAGGCUCACGGAAUCUAGACAACACAAAGGAUGUUCGACCCGCACCUAUAAACCUACCCGUCCUGCUAACGAGAUGUGAUCUGCAAAGAUAACUCGGAAAUGUCACGUUCCUCGCUACUACCACGGUCCAGCUAGUCAGGGGAUAUCUAUGAGUACCCUAGCCUAAACACCACGUUUACGCUAACAAGUGAUUACUCUAAUACUCAACCGGAAGAGGAUUAAAGUAAACUCAUAAACCAAAGAACAAUAAAACAAGAACUUACUAGUAUUAGAAGUCGAAUUACUGAAGAAUCUUAGAAGCAAGCCUCGGGUUAGGAGACUUGAUCCCGUAGGUACAACUCGGAGUAGACACCGACAGGCCGGCCUUCAUCCGAUCCACACCUCCACUCUAUCUCUCUCAAUCUAGUAGAAACUAGAAGAUCUAUUUCUACCUUACAUUGGUUGCUAAGCCUAAAAAGAAAUAUUAUUUAGAGAAGAGGUUUUCCUUCGAGGGCACCCCUCAAUCUCUAUGAUAAUUUCUUGUCUCUUCCAGGGGCCAGGGGGCCUUGCUUAUAUAGUCCUCCCCUUCUAUGCGUUUUUGGGUCGAUAGGCGAGGUGGUACUAUGUUUUUCUUGAUCCAAUAGGUCGGUGGAAUAUCCCGAGCGAAAGAGUCCUGAUUUGGCUCCAACAGGGGGGCGGGCUCCCAGGCUACCAGGGCGGGCGCCCUGGGCCUGGCCCCUUUCGGGCUCCGCUUCCUUCCCGUGGCUUCUGGAGUCUUCUAGAUGGUACAAAAUUGCGCGGUGGGUUGAUAUCUCUAUGUAAUCCCAACAUGUGGGCCUUUCUUCCUUAUUUCCUGAUAACCCCCUGCAGAAAUAGACAAACACCAAAACUCGUGGAAUUCUGUCAGAUAAAACCCUAAGUCUAGAUGUUGAUUUCAUUUGGAUCCUUUUCUUUGUUUAUUUGAUAAUUAAAUUUGAUACUUAAGGACCGUCAACAGUGGACACCACAGACGGUUUGAUCGCUGAUCCGAAAUUUCCCCCUGGUCGCACAGGGAGAUCUCUUUCAGCAGGAAGGAUCAGUGGGCCGCCUUCCCAGAGCCAGGACGCUUCCCUCUAAUUCUGGAUCCUUGCAUCAACAGCAUCAGAUUCGAGCGCGUACUCGUUGACGGUUGAAGCUCCAUUGACAUCCUCUUUCGCAAUAGCUUGCCUACCCUCAAGAUAACCCUGGCACAGUUAAAGCCCUACGACGCUCAGUUCUGGGGUGUCCUGCUAGGUCAAAGUUCAGUACCCCUCGGACAUAUAACACUGCCUGUCCAGUUCGGAACGCCCGACCACUUUCGAACAGAGUUCGUCAACUUUGUGGUCGCCGACUUUGAUGGAACUUACCAUGCAAUACUGGGCCGAUCAUCGCUAACAAAGUUCAUGGCGGUUCCACACUACUCAUACCUGGUCCUCAAAAUGCCUACAGAGAAGGGCGUCCUAACUAUCAGAGGCAACGUCUACACCGCAUACACUUGCGAGGAGGAAAGCUUCAAGAUCACCGAGGCAAUUGACCUCUCAGUCUGCAUGGCAGAAACCGCAGCCCAAGCCACGCAGCUUCCACCCAACCAGCAUCGACUACCCGAGCAGGAGACUCCGCGGAAAAAUUCAAAAUCCAAAGAGCACCAGGAGGUACAGCUGGUCGACGGCAGCCCCGAGAAGACAGCCCUCAUCGGGGCCAACCUGAACCCUAAUUAGGAAGAGGCGCUCGUCAGGUUUCUAAGGGCAACGUGGGUGUUUUCGCAUGGAAACCCGCAGACAUGCCCGGCGUCCCACGAAACCUGAUCGAGCACUCCUUAAACGUCUCGAAAAACCGCAAGACCCAUCAAGCAAAAGCUACGACGGUUCGCUCGAGACAAAAAGGAGGCUAUUAGGACAGAAAUAACACGGCUUCUAGCAGCCAGAUUUAUUAAAGAGGUGUAUCAUCCCGAUUGGCUUGCCAAUCCAGUUCUUGUAAGAAAAAAGAACAAUGAAUGGCGAAUGUGCGUUGAUCACACCGAUCUCAAUAAACACUGUCCUAAAGAUCCUUUUGGUCUCCCUCGCAUCGACGAGGUGGUCGACUCAACGGCCGGAUGUGAACUUCUCACCUUUCUAGAUUGCUACUCUGGUUAUCACCAGAUCUCGCUAAAGGAAGACGACCAGAUCAAAACAUCUUUUAUCACUCCUUUUGGUGCGUAUUGCUACACGACCAUGUCCUUCGGACUUAAAAACGCUGGAGCCACUUAUCAACGGGAUAUUCAGCAAUGCCUCCACGACGAGAUUCAUGAUGACCUCGUCGAGGCCUACGUAGUCGACGUCGUCAUCAAAACAAUGGACACAAGCACUCUAAUCGACAACCUAGGCCGAACUUUCAAGGCACUAAAUAAAUACAAGUGGAAGCUAAACCCCAAAAAUGUAUUUUUGGGGUCCCCUCCGGUCUACUGCUCGGCAACGUCGUCAGCCGCGACGGCAUACGUCCGAAUCCCUCAAAAGUCAAGGCAGUGCUCGACAUGCGACCACCAAAGAAUGUCAAGGACAUCCAAAAGCUCAUCGGUUGCAUGGCUGCCCUUAGUCGUUUUAUAUCUAGACUGGGAGAAAAAGGCCUCCCCUUCUUCAAACUUUUAAAGGCAAUGGAAAAAUUCUCCUGGACAGAGGAAGUUGACGCUGCGUUCACCUAGCUCAAAACCUUCCUCACUUCACCACCCGUUCUCACAGCACCCCAACCUAACGAGGACCUACUCCUUUACAUAGCGGCAACUGACAGGGUCGUCUCCACGGCAAUGGUGAUCGAGCGGGACGAGCCAGGACACGCGUACAAGGUCCAGAGAUCUGUUUAUUUCAUAAGCGAAGUUUUAAAUGAGUCCAAGACCAGGUACCCUCAUAUACAGAAGCUCCUCUAUGCUGUCUUAAUAACGUCAAGGAAGCUAAAGCAUUACUUCGACGGUCAUCGGGUCCUGGUAACCACCAGUUUCCCUCUAGGGGACAUUUUGCGCAACAAGGAUGCCAACGGCAGAAUUAUAAAAUGGGCAAUGGAAUUAUGCCCAUUCUCCCUGGAUUUCUAGAGCUGCACUACCAUCAAGUCUCAGGCCCUGGUCAAUUUCAUUGCAGAAUGGACGGACCUCAACGAGCCCUCCGUCUCCGACACCCCCGACCACUGGUCGAUGUUCUUCGACGGGUCCUUAAACAUCAAUGGCGCCGGUGCUGGGAUACUCUUCGUGUCGCCUAACAAGGACAAACUACGCUACGUCCUUAGGAUCCUCUUUCCGGCGUCGAACAACGUCGCUGAAUACGAAGCAUGCCUACAUGGCAUAAGACUAGAUGUCGAACUGGGAGUCUAGCGCCUCUACGUCCACGGCGACUCUACCCUAGUCAUCAACCAGCUCAACAAGGAAUGGGACACAACCCACGAGAAGAUGGACCUCUACUGCAAAGAAAUUCGCAAAUGGGAAUCCAAUUUCUACGGCAUAGAAUACAUCCACGUGGUCCGGGACAGGAACCAGGCAGCGGAUGCACUGUCAAAGUUAGGAUCAUCUCGGGCCCAGAUCCCGCAAGGCAUUUUCGUUCAGGACAUCCACGCGCCAAGCGUGGACACAGACUUGGUCGAAAAGCAAUCCAAUGAGGCAAUGCUCAUAGACGACCCCGCUCCGGCAACCAGCAGCUGUGAUUGGCGCGUCCCUUUCAUUAGGUACAUCUCGAAGGGAUCGGGUUUUCAAGAUAAAACGGAGAAUGAGCGUCUCAUCCGGCGACCCAAGAACUACAUAUUGGUGGAUGGCUAGCUUAUGAGAAAAAACGCAAGUUCUGAAGUACUGCUCAAAUGCAUACCCCAAGAUGACGGCAUCAAGCUUUUAGAUGACAUACACGCUGGAUCCAGUGGCAACCACGCCGCCUCCAAAACACUAGUCGGGAAGGCCUUCCGAGCAGGCUUUUAUUGGCCAACUACGGUCGCCGACGCCGAGAAACUGGUCCGACAUUGUGAAGGAUGCCAGUUCUUUGCCAAGCGGACCCACAUACCUGCUCACGAAAUUCAAACUAUUCCGUCGUCUUGGCCUUUCGCUUGCUAGGGUCUCGACAUGAUCGGGCCAUUUAAGCCGGCCCCCGGCAACUUCAAGUUCGUCUUUGUACUAAUCGACAAAUUCUCGAAGUGGAUUGAGUACAUGCCACUGGUCAAAGCAACCUCCGAGAAGGCCGUGGAGUUCCUCAAUCAAAUCAUACACAGAUUCGGGAUUCCCAACAGUAUAAUCACCGACUCGGGCACUCAGUUCACUGGCACUACAUUCUGGGACUUCUGCGAUGACAGGGGCAUAGUCAUAAAGUACGUGUCAGUAGCUCACCCACGGGCCAACGGUCAAGUAGAACGCGCGAACGGAAUGAUUAUCGAUGCUUUAAAGAAAAGGCUAUACACCGAGAACGACAGAGCACCUGGACUAUGGAUGAAAGAAUUACCGGCCAUGGUCUGGGGUCUCCGAACACAGGCUAGUCGCAACAUGGGUGUAUCACCCUACUUCAUGGUCUACGGCACCGAGGCAGUGCUUCCAUCCGACGUAACCUUUGGAUCUCCAAGAGUUGAAAAUUUCGACCAGUCUUCGGCUGACAUCGCCAGGGGGCUCGAAAUCAAUUGUAUGGAGGAAAGGCGCCUAAUCUCAUGCCUUCGAACAACAAAGUAUCUCGAGGCCAUCAGGCGGUAUCACAAUAGGAACGUCAAAGACCGUUCCUUCGUGGUCGGUGAUCUGGUACUCAAGUGGAAAACAAGCCAGGAAGGAACACACAAGUUAUCCACGCCUUGGGAAGGACCCUUUGUGGUCGCCGAAGUCACACGCCCUACAUCUUACAGACUGGCGUGUCCAGACGAGACACGACUGCCUAAUUCUUGGCACAUUGACAAACUACGCCGUUUCUAUCCAUAAGUUCCAGUACUUUCUGCAUGUAAAUUUCUUAUGAUUAGCAAUAAUAAAAUUUUCUCUUUUUUGCUAUAUAUUUUUUUACACGCAGAGCUUUCGACAAGUACAACAAUCUUCCUCUGGGACCAAGAACCUUAAAGAUUAUUAACCCAACACAGUGAUACAUCACUCAGACAACAUUACAAUGCUCACAACCAUGGUUACAACAAAUCAAUCUUUAUUACAAACUUUAUAUACAAAGUUUACAAUAAACACCCCUCUGGGCGGUCCCUAGUCUAUACCUAGAGACUACUCUACAGGCCUACUGCUCGGGCUGAUCACCCGCUCGACCUUGUUGCCCAGUUGGAGGGGUCGGGGCCACCGGCGCCUGGCUGAUCGAGACCGCAGGCGUCGACUGCCCAUCUCCGGCAUUCGGCGCUCCCGACAACUCCCUGGCCGACCUAUCUGAACCCGACUGGUCGGGGGGAGUUGCUGUCUCACAGAGGUUGAUGUCACCGAUCACUGUCGACGAUAGAUCGAGAAGACCAACACAAAGGUUGUUUGCCUUCUGUGGGCCAACCUCCUUGGGGUACCCCCUCUCUAGCCGGGACAGGUCGACCAGAGGAUAGUGGGCACGCACCAUGCUGAGGACAUGCGCACCGGCAAACUCCCCGGCGUCUUUGACGAACUGCUGGAGCCAGUCCCAUGCCCGUUGCGCCUUCUCGAUCGGAGUCAGCUUCGGUGCGCAGGGCUGGUCUUCAGGGAGCUCGGGGCUGAUCAAAUCAAGCACCGGGGCCACUCCUUUCCAAAGCUUGAUGCAGUUGGCCUUCCAGGAGUCCCGGUCCUUGAUCAGCUCGUCGAGGUGCUUCUUGGUGUUUACUUUAAGCACUGAGGAUCAAGCAGGAAGUUAGUGCACGCACAAGACAAGGAAUGUCGAGCAAACAAAGAAGAAGGGCAUACGGUUCUUACCAGUCAACUCCCGACUCCUGUUGCUUAGCUCCUCGCCAGCUCGGCUCCCGGUCUCCAGCGCCCCGGCAAGCUCCUAGUCGAGCUUCUCCUUCUCUUGUCAGAGGUGUGUAACCUCCUCCUCCAAGUCUGCAAGAGCAAUUUCUGGUCAACAAAAAUGACUACGUAGCUACAUACCGCUGCUCAGAAUACAUGACUGACCUCCCCUUUCCCGGUCCUUGUCGGCCAACCGCCGAUUGAGAUCGAGCAGGCGCUCUUCCUGAGCACCCAUCUCGGCCGUCUUCUCCUCGGCCUCCGACCGAAGCCGGUCCACCUCCGCAGACAGGGCCUUGUUCUCGGCCACGAUUCCCUCAAUCUGGUCUAAGCACCUUUUCCGGUACUUCGCCGUUUUCAUUGCGCCCUACAGGAAUCACGCUUUCAAGUAAGCAACAGUGUAUAAACAUCUCAAGCAGAGCACAAGACCACUCACCUUAACCUCGUCAAUAAAAUGUUUGGCUGCACGCUCCACCCUCGCGGCCUCCUCCGUCUCCGCAAGCUCUUCGUGACCAAUGGAAUGGUCCCCGCGUUGGCGCCACACGUAAACAUGUUGGCGACCAUCACGGGGACGGCCUUGGAUUUCCUCUACCUUGUCGUCGGAGGCCGCCCGGGUCUCUUCGCCCUCUGCACUACCUCCAGCCACGGUCACAGGUAUUACCGGACCCUGACCUUGGCCAGGGGAGCCCUUUGGCGAAGAAGCCUCUGCUCGGGGUGGAGUUGGGCCCCUCCUCCCUUCAGAAGGUGGGGUAGUCGGAGCUCUGUCCUGCUCCUCCGCGACACUGCUCGGGGGAGGCGUCCUCGCAGACUCAUCAUCCCCUACAGGGGUGCCCGCUCGGGGCUUCGCCGGAGCUGGAUGCCCCUCGGCACUCUCAGCCGCGGUCGUCGCCGCGGGCGGCUCCUCGGGUUGCUCCUGGGCGGCCUGCUACGAUGCGUCCGCGACGACAGCCGCCGGCUCGGCAGUCCUCUAGCCAGGGACGUUGUCGGGAUCAACGUCGGACGCCGCACUAACAGAAAUAUGGCAUUUUACCUAUGUCAAACGCUACGGUAACAAACGCAAAAACAAAAAUUAUGAUGGAGGAAGCGUCAAGAAGAGAUUUUUUCUACUUACAGAUCAGAGCGCCUAUGCGUCGCUGUAAAGACCCUCCUCCUGGUCCUACCGAUUGCCGCUGCCGCCUCUGUCGCCCCAAGACGCGUCGGCUCGAUGUGAGGGGCAGGGGGGUUACUAGUCGCCCAAUCGCCAGUGAUCGGCACAACAUCUAGACGACUGCGCGGCCUCCGGACCAAAGAAGGUGCGGCCUCCACCUCCUCGUCGUCAUCAUCGGUGAUCCUGACGAGCUGACGGCGCUUUGGCGCAUGGCUGCUCUCCGCCGGCAGCGCCUCCACAGGGGAUGGAUCCGCCACCAGUGGCCUUUUCCCUGCUACCCUGUCCUCGGUGGUCGGGGCAGGACGGUUCUGCUCCUCCUCGCUGCUGGAGUAUUGAGGACACCGAGCAGCGUCGUCCUCUAGCGGGUCCAUCCCUGCAGGAUUUUCCAUACCAGGUGCCUCAUAAAGCAAUACUGGUCAAUAACACUAUUUAUUUACCUUAGGAGCUGGACGCCCCAGCUUGAAGGCAUGCACAAGAUCACUGCUUCGAACGAAGUUGUCGUCUGUAAAGUUGAACAACUCGUUCAUCAGCUGCAGCACCUCCGCCUUCUCCAGACCAUCAGGGCUCAUCUUGGUCGGGUCCUGGUUUCUCGCGUACUCGUACGCCGAGUGUACCCUCCACUGGCAGGGCAUCACCCGAAGUACAAUAAAGUUCCCGACCACUCCUGGCCCGUCUAAGCGGGACCAGUCGAUCAGCUUCAUCAGGUCUGCCACUUGACCAGAGAAGUCUGGGCGGUCCGUCCAGCUGACCCUGUUCUCGGGGAUGUAGCCCACGUCGCAGAACGUGGAGCUGCCCGGCUCCUCCCUGAUAUAGAUCCACUUCUUGUACCAUUCGGUGAGAGAAGUGUUCCACGGGUAGUUAAGGUAUCGGUUCUUCAUCCCAUCACGCAAAUUGAGGUAUACUCCACCUGCAAUAUUGGAGCCUCCAACUGCCCCCUUCUUCCUCAGGCAAAAAAGGUAGCGGAAAAGGUCGAAGUGUGGCUCUAUUCCAACAUAGGCCUCGCACAGAUGGAUAAAGGUGGCGAUAAGAAGAAUUGAGUUCGGGUGCAGAUUGCAGAUCCCGAUCUCAUAGUAAAGAAGAAGGCCCUGGAGGAAAGGGUGGACAGGAAUCCCAAAAUCCCUCUUAAAAAAAUCUUCAAAGACUACGAUCUCACCGGCAUGGGGGUCGGGGUAGCUUUCCCCUUCCGGCGCCCUCCAUCCGCCGAGUUCUUGGUUGUGCAGAAGCCCCAUUCCGACGAGGUCGUUGAGGGACCCCGCGCUGCUCCAGGACUUCUUCCACUCCUUCGCCAUCAGCUCACUCCUUUUCUUCGAGUCACUCUUCGCCAUUGAUGCUGCAGAAGCGAGUGCAAUCUGAACGAACAAGGAUGGAGAUUGCAGAGGGCAGGAAUGGCAAGAACAGAAGGCUUGAAGGCAAAGGCCGGGUACAAAUUAUGGGCGUGCUGUCGAGUCUUUAUAGGCAAUGGUUCCACCUCUUCCACUUUCGCAUUCUUGGGAAGUGGGCGGGCCCAGCGGCGGAUGCGGUGUUUUGGGUUUCAAUAAUUACCGGCAGUAAAUAUGGUGGCUUGUCUGUAUAAUUGAGGGUUUCCUUUUCUUGAACCACGCAAAGAGCGGCUGCACAGUUACCCGGCGCACCUUUUCACGCAACCAUCUGACAGUACACCAGGAUGCCUCGUCACAUCACACAUUAAUGUGGCAAGAUGCGUUUUUCAAAAUAACAAGCAGAAUUAGUGGAGGAAUGACAUCCCUGGGGACUGUACCGACCACCGAGCACUAUAGACCCGGGGACUGGUCGACAGGUCUACCAGUUUGGCAACUUGGAGACUGCACCGACCACCGAGCACUAUAUGCCCAGGGACUGGUCGACAAGUCUACCAGUUUGGCAAUCUGGGGACUGCACUCACCACUGAGCACUAUAGACCCAGGGACUGGUCGACAGGUCUACCAGUUUGGCAACCUAGAGACUGCACCGACCACCAAGCACUAUAUGCCCGGGGACUGGUCGACAAGUCUACCAGUUUGGCAACCUGGGGACUGCACCGACCACUGAGCACUAUAUGCCCGGGGAUUGGUCGACCAGUCUACCAGUUUGGAGACUUGGGGACUGCACCGACCAAUCUGAGCACUAUACACUCAGGGACUGAUCGACCAGUCCAAAUUUGAAAAUUCAGGGACUGUACCGACCACCGAGCGCUAUAUGCUCGGGGACUGGUCGAUUAGUCUAUUCAAUUGCAAACGAGCAUGAUAUGCUCGGGGACUAGUAAAUUUAAUUUUUUAGACCUUGCUACAAGGUUCAUACUUCGCCUUCCAGCAAGCUCGGGGACUACAUCGGUACGAUGCCUCUGGCGACGCAUCUUAGUUUUAGAAUUUCUAUGAAGACUUUUUUGACCCUGGCACCAUGUGCCUACGUCACAUACUGCCAGGCUCGGGGACUAAGUGGGCACACUUCACCUUGCGGUGAAUAUGCUUGCUUUUUGAAAGACUGUUCUUUGCAGGAAAGUAUAGUGGACACACUUCAUCGAGAAAAGGGAUAUUUUUUCGAAAGAGCACCAUGCAUUCUUCGAACAACCGGCUUCUUCAAUGUUAGUUUUGAUCAACUAUCUUUUGAGUUGGUCAAAAUACCGUUGCAACUGUUUGGCCGACUUUCAUGCUAAUCGAUGAAGUUCAAGACGGCGUGUUACAUCACAAUACAUGGUGCUCGGGGACUAGCUGUGGGGGUAUAAACCCCUAUACCCUUACGGCUAGACUUGAGCCAGGAGGCUUGGCCCAUCACGAAGAUGGUCCGAGGCUUGAUCCAACUGCUUGGAGUUUCGCGCAAGGAAACAAGACGUGGAGAUCAAGCUGGAUCCUGGUCGGUUAGAAUAGGGAUUGAUAUCAAACUAUCUAUGGCAAUUGUAACCGACUAGGAUUAGUUUCCAGAUCUGUAACCCUACCCUCCGGACUAUAUAAGGAGGGGCAAGGGACCCCCCCAGGCAAUUCAUCUCAACACAAUCCAAUACAAUCAGACACAGGACGUAGGUAUUACGCCCACAUGGCGGCCGAACCUGGAUAAAAACCUUGUCCGUGUCUUGUGUCACCGUCAAGUUCGUAGCUUGCGCACCGUCUACCGAUAAACUACUACCGUGAGUAUACCCCAAGGUAGACUGCCGACUAGCUUUCGUCGACAAUCCCUGCUAUUCCCCGCUAAAUAAAUGCUCGAGAUAUUUUGGUUACUACCACUUGCUACAUUAUUCCAGGAGGGUGAGUGCUCUGAAAAAAAAGUGAAUACGAGGAAAUAAAAAGGGGGCAAGUGCCCGAAACCUCGAAGAAAAGAAAAAGUGAGACGAGAGGUAAAAAUGGACAAGUGUCCGACAGUAGAAUUAGGGGUACAAGCUAUGAUGUUUUUAUCCUUAGACAAGUGUUGACGGUCCUUAAUGCUCACAUUUAACCGUAAACUAAUCAUGAAAAAGGAUCCAAAUGCAUCCAACACCCAGACAUAGGGUUUUAUCUGACAGAAUUCCACGAGUUUUGGUGUUUGUCUAUUUCUGUAGGGGGUUAUCAGGAAAUACGGAGGAAAGGCCCACACGUCAGGUUUACAUAGAGAUAUUAACGUGCCGUGCAAUUUUCUAUCAUCUAGAAGACUCCAGAAGGCACGGGACCGAAGCGGAGGCCGAGAGGGCUCAGGGAGAGGGCACCCACCCUAGUCCUGAGGGCGCCUGCCCACCUGUGUUGCCCAAUCAGAGUCCAAUUCGGGGAUUACGCUCCACCGACCUAAAGGAUCAACAAUAACCAUUCAAUCAAUUUUGGUUUGAUCCGACGGCCCAGAUUCAUCUGAAAAGACUAUAUAAGCAAGGCCCCCUGGCCCCUGGAGAUCAUACCUCUUCUACAGAAUCAAAGUUAGGGUUUCAAUUCUUCAUCCAAGUAGAGAGGAUCCCUCUAGUUCUUCUAGUUCUACCUCUAAUUCAUCUAGUUCUAGUCCUAGUUCAUCUAGUUCUAGUUCUAGUUCCUCUAGUUCUAGUUCUAGUUAGUUCUAGUUGUAAUCAAGAAAAUAGGGAGAGAGAAGAGGAGAGCGGAGGAGGAGGAGCCGGAUCUAUCGGAUCUUCCUCAACAUUAUACUUUUGUAGCAACUGGUUCGUUCUUCAUCGUUCUCCAAGUUCUUCAAUUCAUAAUUCCUAAGUUCUUUAAUUACUUUUAUUUAGAUUCAAGUUAUUUAUUGGAUUCCCGCUUGCAUCAAGUGCUCUAGUCUUUAUAACGCUAGAGUAGUAAUUAAUAGAUUAGACAUGGUGUUUAGUCUUGCAAUUACCUAGAAUUGCACCCAAUCCUGCGGAUUGUUGUGGUAGCCCUAGGGUAGUGACAGCCCUAACGGUCGACGUAUUCCACCUCGUUCGGAUCGGUGUUUGUAGGACCGUAGUCAGACCUUCCUAGCCCCCUUCUCAUCUCUUUCUGUGGUUAGUGCUCUGAUGUCCCGAUAUAGAUAAUCUUGAAGUAAUUCUUGAUUCUUAGAUCAACUAGAGAACUCCUAGGAAACUUCCUCUCUUCCCAUCAAAAAUAAUUAUAUAGUUAUCCUUGGGCGAUCUUGGAUCUUAAUUAGUACACUCACGUUCCCUGUGGAAAAUCGAUACUCUGGAAUACUCCUAGGUGAAGGCUACAUCGGUAUCCGUGCGCUUGCGGAUUUUUCUGUUUGCGUUUAAAAUACCCAACAACAAGCACAUGUCGUCUAUAUUUUCUUAUGUCUCAUGACAAUUAUUAGUUUUUUGUUCUAUGCUUCUUAUAUGCAGAACACUCAUCGAGUGUGCUUUCUCUGUUCUCGACAUUGCAGUUUGAUAACACAACUAAGCAGGGUGGUCUGCCACUCUCACUGAGUCAUACCUUACUCAAACAAGACAUUCACAACGCUUAACCAUGGUUCACAAACUAAAAACAUUAUUACAAGCUUUCUUAGCAAAGUUUACAAUAAAAGCGCCUCUAGGCGGCCCUAGUCUACAUCUACAGGCUACUCCAGUGGUCGUUGCUCUGGCUGCUCGUUGGUCGCUGUAGUAUGCGUCACUGGUACCGUCGAUGAGGACGGGGCCACCGGUGCCUAGCUGGUCGAGACCGCAAGCGCCGAUCAUCCAUCUACCACCGUAGAUGACUCCGACCACUCCCUAAUUGACAUAUCUGAACCUGGUUGGUUUGGCGGGGCAGAAGUCCCACAGAGGUUAAUAUCGCUGACCACAAUCGAUGACAGGUCCAACAGACCGACGUGGAGGUCAUCUGCCUCCUUUGGAUCAACCUCCUUCGGGUACCCCCUUUCCAGGCGGGAUAAGUCAACUAGGGGGUAGUGGGCGCGUACCAUGCUCAAUACGUGCGCCCUAGCAUAUUCGCCAGCAUCCUUCACAAACUGCUGAAGCCAACCCCAUGCGCGUUGUGCUUUUUCAAUUAGCCCAAGAUUCUGCGCUCGGGGCUGGUCCUCGGGAAGCUUUGGGCUGAUAAGGUCGAGAACUGGGGCCACACCUUUCCAGACCUGGAUACAUUUAUUUUUCCAUGAAUCCCAAUCUUUGACCAGGUCCUCGAGAUGCUUUUUGGUAUUCACCUUCAGUACUAUAUCGAAAACAAAAAGGGAGUCAUUAGCCAAUUCUAGGAUAAAGAUUCUUUGACCACUCGACAACUCUGAUCUUACCAGCCAGUUCUCGGUUUUUAGUCUUCAACUCUUCUCCAACCUUUCUCUCAUUCUCCAAGAUGUAGACGCGCACCUAGUUGAGUUGAUCCCUCUCCUUACGGAUGCGUUCCAAUUCUUCUUCCAAACCUAUAGCAGCAAUAGUCAUUCUGGUCAAAAGGCAUAUGAAAUGGAACAUUCUGGUAGUCUAGAGUAUUGUUUUCUCUCUGUCCUUCUCGGCUAGUCUCCAAGAGAGGUCGGCCACUUGCUCCUCUUGAGCAGCACUAUCUUUAGAGGCCCUCUCGACCUCUAGCCAAAGUCAGUCCACCUCGCUAGUGAGGAUUUUGUUCUCCACCAUCACACCUUCAAUCUGGUCGAAACAUCUUUUACGAUAUAUUGCCGUCUUCAUUACAUCCUGUGGAUUUCAAGCAUACACGUACAUAUGUUUCCAUAACGAUGCUAUAUUUGAAACAAUUAUUUUUGAGUUUAGCAGGUACUUACCUUCACUUCACUGACGAAGUGUUUGGCGGCUCGUUUCACCCUGUCUACCUCCUUGACCUCAGCGAUCUCCUCAUGGUCAUCCCAGUGGUCUCCACGUUAGCGCCAGACAUAAAUAUGCUGGCGCCCGUCACGAGGAUUCCCCUGGAUCUCUUCCACCUCCUUGUCUAAGCUUGCUUGGGGCUCCUUGUCCUGUGAACUUCUAUCCACAAUGGCGGAAGGAGCCAUCAGGACUUUCCCCCUGUCAGGGACAUCAGGUGGCUUCGCCGACUGGUCAGACAGCCCUUCCAUGCAAGCAGGAGAGGGAGCUCUGGCUUGCUCUUCUGGUGCACUACUCGGCGGGGGAGCACCCAUGUCAACUUCUUCCCUAGUCGGGGAGGUUGCAGGCAGCGCAGGAAUAGGGUCCUCGGCUGGUGUCUCCGAUGGUUUCGAACUCCCAACGGCGCUUGGGUCAACAUCGGAGGCCGCGCUGUGAGAUUUUUCAUUAAUUCAAUCAUAGUUGUCUAAGCACUAACACUAUGGAAAAAAAGCUUUCUUACUUAUAGGUCGGAGGCUCUAUGCGAUGUUGACAAAACUCUAUGCCUGGCGUGCCCUGUAGGUGUCAUUGGUUGCGCCUAGUCGGGGCACGCCUGUUCACCAGCAGCCUUAGUGGUGGUGGGUCCUACUAGCGGCUACGAGCUGGGUGUCGAAAUUACCUCAGGAUGUCUCCACGACCUAAGCACUAGGUCAAGUGUGGCCUCCUCUUCUUCAUCAUCAUCUUCAAAUACCCACAGUACCCGGCAGAGUUUUGGUGCUAGAGCUCUAGAAGGCAAGCCUUGGCCGGUCGACGGGCCUUGAGCUAACUCCGAUGGCACCCCUCCUCCUCGGGAUGGCCCACCAGUUGUUGGUCUCUUGCCUGCGACUCAAUCGUCACCACCUGGUCGGCGUCAUCACUGCUGCUGGUGUAUCGAUAACACCGAGCAAUGUUUUCCAUGGGCGGGUCUACUCCCGCCGGGUGCUCCAUGCCAGGUGCCAGCGAGACAUACACCGAUGCUCGGUCCAUGUCUCCAAUCUACAAGAAAGAGAUCACAAUUGUUCAAUGGUUAAGGGCGACAAUGAACAAAAUAGGGAAUUGCACAAACUUACUGCUUAACUUUGGUGGUGGUCGGGCAAGCUUGUAUGCAUGCAUCCGACCAUCACUCCGGAUAAAACUGCUAUCAGCGAGAUUAAAGAGCUUGCUAAUCUGACGACAGUUUUUUUUGUCUUCUCCAUGUUUUCCUUUUGCAUCCUGGUCAUGUCCUGGCUCCCCUAGUAUUCGUACCUAGGGUACACUCUCCUCUGACACGGCUGUACUCGGCGGCUGAGGAAGUUCCUGACCACGCCAGGCCCGUCCAGACGCGCCCAUUGGAUCAGGUUCAUCAGCUCUUCGACCUGUCCAGUACAUUCUAGUCAGUCUGUCCAACUGACCCUCUUCUCACGCACAUAGCCAACAUCGCAGAAAGUUGCACUAUUUGGCUCUUCCUGGACGUAAAACCAUUUCUUGUACCAUUCUGAUAAAGAGGUGUUCCAAGGGCACCUGAGGUAGUGGUUUAUCAUUCCAUCACGAAGAUUGAGGAAUACUCCACCAGCAAUCUUGGAUCCUCCAACUGCACCUUUCUUCCUCAGGCAAAAUAGAUAAAGGAACAUGUCAAAGUGUGGUUCUAUUCCCGCAAAGGCUUCACACAGAUGAAUGAAAGUAGCAACAAGAAUAAUGGAGUAGGGAUGCAGAUUGUGAAUCCCAAUCUCAUAGUAGAGAAGCAGACCUUGAAGAAAGGGAUGAACUGGAACUUCAAAACCCCUCUUAAAGAAGUCUUUGAAAACAACAAUCUCACCAGCUCUUGGAUCCAGGAAGCUUUCUCCUAACGGUGCCCUCCAGCUGCCAAGUUCUUGAUUAUGCAGAGGCCCCAUCUCGACGAGCUCAUUGAUGGACUUCGUGGUGGACUUAGAUUUCUUCCACUCCUUCGCCAUCUUCUCGGCUCUUUUCUUCGAGUCACCCUUGGCCAUUUAGUUAAGGUGGGUGUGAUUUGGAUCUAACUUGUUGGCAAGGCGCAAGGAGGAAGAAGGCGAGUGACUAGUGGGUGCAACUGCUGGUUGGAAAUGUUGUGGUACACUGCUUUGGCUAUUUAUCAAGGAGGAACCACCUUUUCCACUUCCCACAUCUUAGGGAAGUGUGUGGUUGUCACGGUAGGAUCGUCAUUUCAGUUUCUGAUUUUGUCGCAUUAAAUCCGCCGCAUUUUUAAAUGAUUGUUAGAACUACUUUUGCUUCGGUUCGUGUGUUGGGCGGCUGGGUCGCUAGUGACACUUCUUUUCACACACUAGAUUGACAUUUUGACAGCUUUCACGAGAUGGGCUGACACCAUGUCAUGUCACAAAUUAUUUACAAAAGGAUGUGAAGAUUAUGAGUUCAAGUCAAGGGUCCAUUAAGCUUGGGAACUCACCAGUUUGCAUACGGUGUUUGGGGAUUGUACCAACCAUCGAGCACAGUUAUGAUCACCAGCUAUGCUUGGGGACUGGUCGACCAGUCUCUAUGCUAAGCCCGGGGACUAUACCAACCACCGAGCACAGUUACGAUCACCAGCUAUGCUCGGGUACUGGUCGAUCAAUCUAUAGGUUGUGUUUUGGGACUUGUCAAUGCUGUACUUGGAACCCGCCUCGAUCGAUCUAACUACAGCUUGGGGACUGCUCUUUUUAGUUACAUAUGAACUGGACUCAUAUACAAUUGAGGGGUGAUUUUAAUUUUUUAUUAGACCUUGCUAUAAGGCUCAUACUUUGCCUUCCAGCAAGCUCGGGGACUACAUCGGUACGAUGCAUCUGGUGAUACAUCUCAGUGUUGGAAUUUCUAUGUGGACUUUUCUUUUUAGACCCUAGCACCACGUGCCUACGUCACCUACUACUAGGCUUCAGGACUAAGUGGGCACACUAAACCUUGCGGUGAAUAUGUUUGUUUGUUGAAGAACUAUACUAUUCAGAAAACUAAAGUAGGCGCACUAAAUGAGGAAAGAAAUCCUUUUCUCAAGAGCACCAUGUAUUAUUCGAACAACCUGCUUCUUCGAUGUCAACAUUGAUCAACUGUCAACUGUUUGGGUGAUUUUCCUACUGGUCGGAGACGUUAAGCCUCACUGAUCGAAGAAGCUCAAGACGACGUGUUACAUCACAAUACAUGCUGCUCUAGGACUACCUGUGGGGGUAUAAACCCCUAUACCUUACAACUAGACUUGGGCCAGGAGAUUUGGCCCAUUACAUAAUAGUUUGAGGCUUGAUCCAACUACUCGGAGUUAACGCAAGGAAACAAGAUGCGGAGAUCAAGCAGGAUUCUAGUCGGUUAGAAUAGGAAUUGAUGUCAUAUUAUAUAUGGUAAUUGUAACUGACUAGGAUUAGUUUCUAGAUUUGUAACCCUGCCCUCUACACUAUAUAAGGAGAGGCAAGGGACCCCCUUAGUCAACAAAACACACAUCAUAUAAAUACAAUCAGACGUAGGACGUAGGUAUUACGCCCUCACAGCGAUCGAACCUGGAUAAAAUCUUUGUCUGUGCCUUGCGUCACCAUCUAGUUUGUAGCUUGCGCACCUGUGUGCCAACAAUCUACUACCGUGGGUAUACCACAAGGUAGACUGCCAACCAGCUUUUGUCAACAAGGAUUAUCUGCAAGCGCACAAAUAUCAUACCAGUGUCACAUUUUACCCGGAGGUUUUAAAUAUUGUAUCCAUAGGGAACAGUUGUGAUGAUGACAAAGUAUAUAGACUUAACCCUACAAUUAGGCUAUAUCAUAUCAAGAAAAAGGAAAUAGCUAAUGCACUCUGGUUCUUACUCUGGUAAACUUUGUAUAAUAUCAAGAACGCAGCUCCAGGCGAUGGAACUGAAUCCAGAAGAAUAUAGCCAUGAAGAAGCACUGAUAGGCCAGAACUCCUCUAGAAUCUCUACUCCUCUACUCAAUCUCUCUAAUCCCUAAACAAGACUAGAUCUAGAAGAACUAGUCUCUCCUAAUUGCUACAUCUAGAUGAACUAGAACUAGAUGAACUAGAAAGAGAUGAACUUAGAUCAACUAGAGGGAAUCUAACCCUAAUUAUGUAGAGAAUAUAAAGCCCCGAGGUGUAGAAUGCCUCUUGGAGGGAGCCUUGGGUGCCAUUAUAUAGGCUGAGGUGGAGUAGGGGGCAAGGAACCGCCACAUCAUCGAUCCGCGUCUGCACCUUGUGUGCACCGUGGGAUCAAACUGACUUAAAAUCAACGUAGGGAUACUUUGCUUAGCUUCCAAGGAGGCGUAGGAGGAAGACUCUAGAAGGCGGUGGCUAGCGGAUGACCUAGGGUGCCGAUUGGCCCCCAAGUGGGGCUGGCCGGUCCCACCUUCUCUCCACUGUGGGUCUUGCUGCUUUAGGUGUCUUCUAGACCAUUCCUAGCCCAAUGAUGUUAUUUUCUGUCACUGAUAAGUUUCGUGAUAAUUAUGCACUAUAAUCGCCUCUUUUAUGCUUUUUUGGAAUAAUCCUUGGAAAAUAUAGAAUAACCAAAACUCAUGAAAAUUGUCAGUUAAGACCCUAUACUAGUGUGUAUUCAUGUGUUCUUUCAUGUCUAAAGUUCUAAUAAAUAUUAACGUUAUCGACCGUCAACAGUACCUCACCAACGGCUAGUUGCAAUUUGAAAACCCUGAUCACACUAGACGCAUAGUGGCGUCUCAUGCCCUCACUCUAGAUGUGUCUGGUGAGGAAACUCUUUUGGAAUCCUCUGUGGGUAAGGGAACAGACACACACGGAAGCGUCCGGUGCUAUACCCUAGACACGUGGCACGCUAGCUCAUUCUCCUGUAUACACCGGACGCUCAAACAAUCCCACUAUUGCGUCCAAUGCCAGGGUCUGAUGCCUAAACUCAAUCAACACUUCAUCGAAUCGUGAACUUUUCAAAAUGAAGUUUGAUCCUCUCGAUCUAUGGAUUCUCUCUGAGCUACCUAGUGCAAGAUUUGACAAGUGUGCACCACACCUAAAACUAAAGCCUUGCCUAGGUCAAGCUACCCCUUCAUUGCCCCCUUAAUAGUAUGGUCAAAGGAAAACACAAAGUCCUACACUACUCUAAGCACCCUUCAACUCCAAAUAGUACUUAGACCUAGUCUAAUCUUGACGAUGUCCACCAUCCUUUGAAAACUGAAAUGAUUUCCACCAUCAAGUGGGCAGAAACUCAAUAGUCCAUUGAUCACCAUUACUAUGACCUGACUAAACUGAUUGUCGCUGCAAAACACACGUUAGUCAUAGUAAUCAACAUUGUCAUUAAUCACCAAAACUUACUAGGGGCCUAGAUGCUUUCAGGCCCCUUUGCCUUCUUUAUGUUGCCAAUGAUGUCACAUGGUCUUCUAUUAGAACAAUAUAUGGAUGGGGCAUAGAGGAUCUACGAUUUGGUUCUUAGAAAACCGAAGAUCUUCAAUGCUGCAUUCAUAGUUUGCUUCAACUUUGUUACAUUGGAUUGAUGCUAUAAUUAUGUGCUGAGAACCAAGUGAGGCCAAUGAUGUUUUUUCUAUCAUACUAUACUUGAUCUAAGGCUUUAGGCAUGAGCAAUUAUGAUUUAUUUUAUAUGAUACUACACUUGAUUUGAGGCUUUGGGCAGUAGCAAUGAUGAUUUAGUUUCUUGGCUUUUGAGUGUUUCUGUCUCUUUUUUUAAGGGGGUCAUGACCACCUAGUAUGUUGUAUAUUGAGGUAGGAAGCCUGGUGUGUACAUCAGCUGGGCAAAGUGUUGUGUAGAGGUUGCUGGAGUAGAGAAUAAGUUGUACAAAGGAUUCAAAUCACUAGAAGAAGCUGAAGCUUCUUUGAAAAAAUUCCAAAGUUGUGAGGAUACUACAUUGUUUGAGAAGGAGAUGUUGGCACUGUGGGGGUAUAAACCCCUAUACCCUUACAGCUAGGUUUGGGCCAGGAGGUUUGGCCCAUCAUGAGUGUAACACUCCUAGUGUUAGCUUGCAUGUUAACCAUGAGCAUUGCAUCAUCAUAAGCAUCAUCAUGAUCACUCAUGAGCAUCAUACCAUGAUCACAUGCCAUUUGAUACAUAUACUAUGUGAUUGAAGUGCUAUAUGACUUGCUAUGGUUGAUUGUAAUGAGUGACCAAUGCAUACAAGUGUACAUUGUCUUCCAAUAUACUUUAAUCAUGUUUAGAAUAACAUUUUGAACAAAGUUUGUGUUGGGGGUUUUGUCCAAAAAUGCCCCUAAGUCAUGGUUAACCCUAGAUUGACCUAAUUGUCCCCCUAGGCCUCUUUGUAAAGAUGUUUUAUGUAAAUAAUGUUAGAGACCUUGCAUGUCUGUGACACCUAAAACAAAGUUGUAGUAACUUUCAUAAGCUACAAAAGUUAUGUUGAUGACUUUUUAUGAAAAAGCUUGGAACACAUUCAAAAGUUGCUCACAACGCAAAAAUCAGGGCUGAUUUUACACUUAGCCAAAUUUGCCUAAGUCUGUGACAAUGCAGUUUCGAGGUAGGUCACUUGAGAGCUUUGUAGAUUGCAAUCCAGGCUGAAUUAGACUUUGAUCUUGUAAGCAAACCUGUAGAUUUCGUGUAGCUUUAUCCAAAGGAUCAAGUUUGAGCCAAAACCACCGAGUGAGCUGAGAGUAAAACGUCGACGAAGUUGGAGUUUCAGUCAUCAGAAUCGGGCAUUUCAGAAAACGUUUCAGUUUGGACAGUCGCCGUCCGCCGUCGCGUGUCCGGCCAGGUGUCGGCCAUACGCCGUCGACGGUCCCUCCUGUCAGCCCCAACGUCGUCCACAAGACGCCACGCCCCGAGUGGACGCCUCAGACGUGCCAUUCACCGCUCUAGAGAACCGCACUGCGUCCGCCUUCUUCCUCGGCGAGCUCUCCCGGCCACUCCACCGCGUCUCCGGCCAAGCUAGUCUGCCCAGAGCUCCGCCUUGACAUUCUCUACCUCGACGUCCACUCCUUUUCCUUAGCCGAGCACUGGUGAUGUCGCAUUGCCCACUUCGUCGCGAGCUCCACCUCGUCGGAGUUCAUAGAGAUCACCGGCAACGUGGCCAGACCUCUCUGGUUCACCUCCGGGCGUGGUUCUUCUUCCAAUAGCUUCGUCUUGAGUCGCAAUUGCUCGUCCACAAGCUCUACCGCGUCGCCAUUGCCUAGAUCUGCCGGCGUAACACCGCGCAGCACCGCCGCUCCGCCAUUCGCGACGGCAAGCACCCUAGGGUCCAGUAGAGCGCGAGUGAAGUAGGUCAACGGAGUCGCCUUGAGGAGAGGAACACGUAGAUGCCCUUGGAUCCAUCGGAGACCUCGCCGUCAUCGAGUUCCGCCGGCGACGAGCUUCUCCUCUGUCGCGUGGGUCCCAUGUGUCAGCGGAUCCCACCUGUCAGUCUCUCCCUCUCACACUCUGGUUCACUGUAUAGCAGGUUCUGUGGUGUUUUUGAAAAAUUCAUAUCUCGAGAUUUAUAGAUCCAAAUGAUAUGGUUCCAAUUUCGCUGGGUUCUGGUGGUAAUCUAGUUUUUAUUAAAAAUAUGAAACAUGCCAUGUUUUUGCAGAAAUAAAUAGAUAUGAUUUAAUCUUGAUUAUAUAGGAGGUAAUUAUAUCUUGAGAUCUGUUGAUCUGGUGGCCAUGCAAAUUUAGGGUAUGGUUACAUAUGACAUGAAUAGGCUCUGAUACAUUUAUCAUGAUUUUUGGAGGUCUGAUUGUGAAGUUAUAAAUAUUUCUUGUUCAAAUAGGAGUUUCUUAUGGUAUUUUUAAUAAAUAAGUUAUAACUCCUUUUAUGGUGAAACUUGCUGAGUGUUGUACUCAUGUGUAAACAAAGCUAGGAAAAAUCUGAAAUCUGUUGUUUGACACUUUUUGGUAGGGUUUCACAUUUAUGCCUUGCAUGCCUUUGCUAGCUUGUUAUUUUUGUAUCUCACAAUCUGUAUGUGCAAGUGCCUUGAAAAUUUUACAUAACCUUGUGUUAGCAUAGGUAGCUUGCUGUAAUUUUCUUAGAAUUCUUGGAGCAAUUGGUAUGCAUGUUCAUUAAAUCACCUUAAUAUUUAAAUAAAUGGAAAAGGUGAUAAUGGAAAUGAGUUUAGACCUUGCCAUGAUGUUUUCUAGUGUUUCUUAGACAUUUUCUAUCUACUGGUGCAUUUGGAUGGACCCUUUGAUACAUUCUUGUUAUGUGUAAAAUAUUAUUUUUGCUAUUUAUGUUUUUCCUAGAGCAAUCCUGUGUAGCUGAUAGCAAUUGCUUAAGAACUAAUUGAAGAUGAUGUUUUCUGGGAAACUUGUCUGUAACAAACUUGUAGCUGACUCGCUUAUCUACUUCGUGUCCAAGUUCCAUGACAUUUGGUUGAGUAGUUUAAAAGUUAUGAAUGUUACAAGUAGUUGCUGCAAAGUGCUUGCUCUCUGGAUUUUCCAGGACAUCCAGACAACUUUGUAUGUUUUAGCAUAUUUCGGUUGGAAAUCAUCCUGGAUAUCUAAAAAUGAAUUGUAGACAAUUUACUAAGCUUUCCAGAAAGUAUCUAUUUGCUUAGUUUGGCCAACUGAUGCUUAAGUUAAAGCUGAAACUUGUGACAAGUUGGUCUGUCUAUGAAACCAGUGACUGAGUUGGAGUAGCUAAGGUUGAUCAACUUGUCUAGUUAGCCUCUCUACCAGAGAAGAAGUAUGCACUUACUUGUUAUUCUAUGAUUCACUUAAUUUUAGGAGUUUAUGCCCAUGUUUAUAAUUUGUUGUGUGUUCCUUGGCUCAGCAUCACGACAUAUUGCAUGUUAUGUGCAUUCCCUAUAUUUAUCACCUUGUCAAGCAUACAUAGGUGUACCCAAGGGAGUGACGGUACUGGAGUACGAACUGCCCGAGCCGGACGAACAGCAAGAGGAGCCACCUCGAGGAGCUGAGGAGGAGGAUCUGCCUUAGUGCCCUGACCACCGUCCCUCUACUUACAUUGAAGGCAAGCCCCGGAGCAUUAUAACCCUCCUACUAUUUUUGAUAUCAUAUCCAGCUAUCAAUUGACUAUGGUUAUGUAUUGUUGCACUAAGUGUUAGGCGUUGAUAUGACACCCUUGCUGCAUAAUGACUACCUUGUCCACCUCAUACCUCACCUAAGUAGGUCUGGGAUCAAAAUGAUGCUUAGCCGUGCUUAGCUCGGUAGAAGCCGGGUGAUUUCCUGUCACCUGCGAGAGUUAGGUGGAUGCUGAUCACGGUUGGCUAUAUUUGCUAUCGUGGAAAUAACCAUGUGCUAAUAAUGAACUUGAGACCGGGCGGGAUGACGAUGGUGCAGCAACAAGGCAUGGAGGUCUUGGGUGUGAAUCUAUCCCCGUCCGUGUCGGUUAAGGACCGAUUCGUUGUGCGUCCUCGUGUCAUGUUGAACGCAUGCCUAACACUUAGCUGGUCGGAUAAGUCGUUCUGACUGUGAAGCCUACGAGUGCAUCUCCGGCCGGAUACCCCGUUCGGUUUAAGUGCGCACCCCGGUUGGUAGCAAGGAUGUGCCGGGAGUCAAUGGUGUAAGACCGAGGUGUCAGGUUCUGACCCUGGCAGAUUGGCGGUCCCUAGGGGUGCGGCACUGUACGGACCCGAGAAUUGGUCCAGAGUUGUGCUAAAGGUGAUCUGAGCUGCCCUCAUGAAGUAUGCUCGGGUGAGUGCUAGGAAUACCCCUCCAGCUGGAUAGGAAUCGAUUCGAAUCGCUGUCUCUCCCGGAUAGUGAGAACUUGAGUCGGGCAGUGUCAACGUAGAACUCACUAAAUAAACUUAAUGGUUAUGAUGAGAAAGUUGAUAGCUAUGUGAUAAUCUGGAUAUGGUUAUUAUUGUGAUGCUUAAUUACUCAAGUGUAUCCUUAGAACAGGUGCUAAUCUAGUGGAUAGUUGUUAAGUAAUGAACCUGCUGCUGAAAUAUUAUAAAUGAGUUACUUACAACUUAGGCUUUUUAUGCAAAAAGGUGAGUCAAACCAGCCCACAAAGAUCAGCCUUGCAUACUCCUUGGUGUCACUUUAUUUCUAGUUUAUGACGGGUAAGUCUAGCUGAGUACAUUCUCGUACUCAGGGUUUUAUUUACCCUUGUUGCAGAUGAUGUCGUUUAUCACGGCUACUGUGCUAACUGUCAUCAUCCGGCUGCGGACGAUGAAUAGAUCAUGGGCAUGAUCAACUUCCUUAUCUUCAGUUAUGCUUUUGUUGGGAUGACUAUGGAACUGGCAUGUAAUUAAACUAUGUGUGUGUGAUGUUUCAAAACUACUUUGCUUCCGCUACUGAACUAGUUUGUAAUAACUUGUUUAAAACUCCGAUGUGUUGUAAAAAUUAUGUCCUGUGAUGAAUGAAUGUAAUCUGUGAUGGCGAUGCUUGAUCAUGUACGAUCUUGGUUGUAUGUUGGUUGAAUCGAGGUCUUUUGAGAUUUCGUCGGACUACCGGGUUUAUAUGGGUUCAAGUCCAUUGGCUUGACUACUUUGUAGUUGCUAAUUCACUUGAAUUCUUAUAAAUUAGACGGUUCUGUUACAGCUGGCAUCGAAGCAAGAUUAAGCAUUUAACCAUCAUAGAUGUAUUUAAAAACCAAUAAAUUUGUUUUCCCAAACUAAUUGCCAAAUUAUACUAUACAUAGGAUUAUUUUAAAAUUGUUUCAAUAACAUAUACCAUGCCAGUGGUCAUACCCUUAUGCCCACAUAAGGACUUCUAGGUGGCUUAAUAUUACUAACAUGGGGGUUUUUCCUUUCGUCAUCCAUAUGGCGUGCAAUUAUAUGGAUACCACUUACUUAAGUGGUAAUGAAUGGAUGAUAUACCUCUACGCCAUGGUAAGCAUUGAUUGUUUUCUUUCAUCGUCCAUACGGCGUGAAAUUGUAUGGAUGCCACUCACUUGAGUGGUAAUGCAUGGGUCUAUAUGCCUCUACGCUACGGUAAGUGUGAGCUGUGAGAGCAUGACCGUCCAACCAUCGACCUAGGGGAGUGUUAGCUGUGGUUACUGGAAUAUUUACAUGUUCCACACAUGUAUAUAUGAAGGUACUUAAUUGUGGGUAGUAGGUGCAGCCAUGUAUACAUGUUUGAUGUAUAUAUGGGUGUAUCCCAAAUGGGUAGUGUGCUGCGAUAUAUAUUUGGGAAUAUAUAUCGAAGUACCUAGCUUGAAUGUAGAUGAUUGGACUUUCAUUUCUGCAUAUAUACUCUUGUGGGGUUGGGCUGAAAUGAAAUUUUCUACAGGUACACUAACAACGAAAUGUGUAGACCGUGUAGUUGCGUAUAAGGAGUGCACAUAUGUAUGCCACCGACUAUACCGUUAGAACUUUCUUCUAGGAAUGGAAAGGACGUAUGGAACGUGCAUGCAUCAUGAAUCAUUCAUACAUUCCUUAUGUACUACUUAAGUCUUAAAUUCUGAAAAUAUAUCUAUUUAUCUUCCCUUAUAAUUAAUCUCCCUUACUCAAGUUGUGGUCUUUCCUACAUAUGGCAGCCCCACAUGCAAGUGAGACUUUUCUGGACAUGUUUGGCACUCCUACUUUGUUGUGGAGGGUGCUAAGUUUAGUGGGAUAUGAGGAACCACCUAAGUACACUUGGACCGAGGCUGAGCAUGCAGGAUCCUUACCUUGGGUAGAUGUCCAGAUUACAGUUCCCCCUUGCCCAAAUAACCCACAGUGGCUAGGAUGGAUAGUAGAGUCCGAUGGUCAAACUCCUUGGGAGGGUGCCCAAGUAGCAGCCUUAGAAGUACUGUUGGAAAUAUGCCAAGAUUAUGGGGAUGAGCUAAUUAAUGGCCCAGCUGGAUCAUUUCCUAGAGUGAGUGUGACUGACACUUUUGUGUCUCAGAUAGGAACUGAGCCUCUAGAGAUGAGAGAAACCAUAUUAGGAUAUAGCUCUAGCCCUGCCAUGAGUGCCAUGCUGGCGGUACUUAAGCUAUACUAUGUGCGCUAGGACACCUACAUAGAAGCUAUGUUAGCGCUCCAGCAAGCUCAAGUUGGAUAGCACAAACUACGCAAGCGCGUGCGCAAGCACCGCAAGGCUUUUAGCGAUGCACAAGCUGAAAUCCAAAACUAUCACACAGUUUUGCAAGCCCGCCAGAACCAAGUUGAAAAUGCAGUUAGAGAGCGCAAUGAGGCACAAGCCCGCAUGAUGCAAAUGACUAGAGAGCGAGAUGAAGCUAUGCGCUUGGCUGAGAAUAGAGAAGCUGCUAGAGUUAGAGCUUUGGUCCAUGCUGAAAUUAGGGAGGAAGAGCUGAUCACUAGGAUUGCUGAGCUGCAGUUAGAUGUCCAUUGCCUAAAUAAUAUCAUCAAUCCUAUCCCACAUCCUGUUCCCUUUAAUCAUGAAGAAGCUCCCAGUGAGGAAGAUUAGGAUGAUGGCAUCAUUUCUAAUGGAGAAUCUGAGAAAGAUAUGUAGCCUAGCAAUGAUUUCCAUGCUCAUGUAUCAGUUUCCUUCUCAUUGUGUAAUGAACAUGUAAUCUAAAUUUCAGCUGAAACUCUCUGUAAUUGGCCAUGGUGCCCCUCCUGUAAGACUUAAGUUGUGGCAGUGACUUUAUGUAACCCUGUGCACUUAUUUAUGAUGCUCCAUAUUUAUGUUGAGCUUAAAUAAUCUUCUGCAAUGUCGUUAAUCCUUGUGAAUUGUGACUGUGAAUGAUCGCGAGAAUAACCAAGUGUCGUGGAUGAUAUUCUCUUGUUGUACAUGGAUUAUUGUGCCUUGGAUUAUGUGAAUUUAUUUUGAUUAAAUUUCGUAUGGCAGCAAUCGAGAUUCAUGGCAAUUAUAUCUGUUAUCCUAAACGGUCACUUGGUAUGCCUUGUGCAGAUGGCUCGCAACACUCGCUCCGGUCACAAUGAGGUGCUGCCACCACCACCUCCUCCCCCACCUACGCCUACUGAGCUGUUAGCAACUCUUGUUGAGGGCCAGCAAAUGCUCAAUGAAGCUAUGCAGACUAUGGCGCAGCAGAACCGGGGUGGUCGCCAUGCCCGCCAAGGCGGAGAGGCAAUUCAGUAUAGCAAUUUCAAGGAUUUCCAGGACAUAAAGCCGUCGCUUUUCAAGGAGGCUGUUGAACCUCUAGAAGCUGAUGAGUGGUUGAACACUCUCGAGCAGAAGUUCCGCUUGCUGAGGGUGACAGAGGAGCUAAAGGCGGAAUAUGCAGCCCACCAGUUGGAGGGCAAAGCAGGUGUCUGGUGGAGUCAUUACAGGACCAGCUUGCGUGCCAAUGCUGUUGUAACCUGGGAUCAGUUCAAAACUGCUAUCAGGAACACUUAUAUUCCCCAAGGCUUAAUGACUAUCAAGCAUACCGAAUUCAUGAACCUGACUCAAGGCACUAAAAGCUUGACUGAGUAUCUUCAUGCUUUUAAUAAUUUAUCCUGCUAUGCUCCUAAAAUUGUUGAUAUUGAGGUCAAGAAGCUUGCUAGUUUCAAGAGAGGGUUGGGACCCAAGCUGUCCAAGAACAUGGCUGGUAACAAGAGUACCACCUUCAGUGAGUUUGUGAGUGAUGCGUUGACCCAGGAGAACUCAAAUGUUGUUUAUGCCGCAUCCAAGAACCGCAAGAGGGCCUACGAGGCAGGAGCUUCGCAGUCCAAGGCUCCGGUGACAAGCAAACCGGCCUAUCGCCCACCCAAUGUUGUGACAAGGUAUAGGCCGCCGCAGAAAAAGUCAAAUGUGAAGACAGGAGUUCGCAAGUCCUUCACAGUUGCUCUCCCUAGGGGUGCUACAGGUCAAGGAAGCCCCAAGACUCCCCCUGAUAACCGCCCUUGCUUCAACUGCAAACAAGUUGGUCACUAGGCGAGGGAUUGCCCUUAUCCCAAGCGGAAUUCUGCACCUAGGGGUAAUAACCGUACUGGCCGAGUGCACUACACUACUGUCGAAGAAAUCGCUGAAGGUGAAGUGGUCACCGCUGGUUUGUUUCUUGUCAAUCAACAUCCUACAGUUGUCUUGUUUGAUUCUGGAGCUUCGCAUUCAUUUAUGAGUCAAGCUUUCGCGUCUAAGCAUGGGCAGCAUGUAGUUGAUCUUGACAGUGGCAAAUUUUGCAUUAGUGCUGCUAGGAAUCAAAUUUCCACAAACCAAUUAGUGAAGGAUGUGAAUAUCGCUAUUGAAGGUCGAAACUUUUCAGCAAAUCUUGUAAUUUUGCCGGGUCUGGGCAUAAAUGUUAUCUUGGGAAUGAAUUGGAUGAGUAAUAAUGGGGUGUUAAUAGACACCUCCACGAGGGUAGUCAUGUUGCGAGAGCCUGAUAGCAAAGAAGCCUUCUUAGUCUAGCUUCCCAAGAAUGAUGACAUUCGUCACGCUGCUAAUGCUAUCAGACCACUCACUGUGGCAGAGAUUCCUGUAGUGUGUGAGUUUCUGGACGUCUUUCAAGAGGAUCUGCCCAGGUUGCCACUGGAUAGAGACAUAGAGUUUAUAAUUGAUCUUAUUCUGGGUACCGCACCUAUCUCUAGAAGGCCGUAUCGAAUGCCACCCAACAAGUUGGCAGAGUUGAAGAAGCAAUUGCAAGAACUCCUAGAGAAAGGUCUUAUUCGGCCUAGUUCUUCUCCAUGGUGUUGUCCGGCUCUCUUUGUCAAGAAGAAGGACAAGUCUCUACGAAUGUGUGUAGACUAUCGUCCGCUGAAUGCAGUGACUAUCAAAAACAAGUAACCACUGCCACGCAUCGAUAUCUUGUUUGAUCAAUUAGCCAAGGCUAAAGUAUUCUCAAAGAUUGAUCUGAGAUCCGGGUAUGAUCAAAUCAAGAUUCGACCCGAAGACAUUCCUAAGACGGCUUUCUCUACCAGGUAUGGGUUGUAUGAGUAUCUAGUCAUGUCCUUUGGUCUGACUAAUGCCCCUGCUCAUUUCAUGUACCUGAUGAAUUCGGUGUUCAUGCCUGAACUAGAUAAGUUCGUGGUAGUGUUCAUCGAUGACAUAUUGGUGUAUUCUGAAAAUGCCCAAGACCAUGAGAAGCACCUUUGGAUUGUACUCACUAGAUUGCGAGAACAUCAGCUCUAUGCCAAGUUCAGCAAAUGUGAAUUCUGGCCGAAGAAAUUGCCUUUCUUAGGCCAUAUUUUAUCUGAAGAGGGUAUUUAUGUUGACCCGUCAAAAGUGCAGGAGGAUCUAGACUGGAAGGCCCCGACUUCAGUGCAUGAAGUUCGGAGUUUUCUCGGUCUAGCUGGAUAUUAUCGUCGCUUUAUUCCAGACUUUUCCAAAAUAGCCAAGCCUAUGACCAAGCUACUGCAAAAAGAUGUGAAGUUUGUGUGGUCCCAGGAGUGUGAAGUCACUUUCACCACUUUACGCCAUUUACUGACCACCGCUCCUGUUCUGGCAUAGCCUGACAUUGAAAAGCCAUUUGAUGUCUUUUGUGAUGCAUCUGGCACUGGCCUAGGGUGUGUACUUAUGCAAGAAGGCUGUGUUAUUGCCUACGCCUCUCGGUAGUUGAGGAAGCAUGAAGCCAACUACCCAACUCAUGAUCUAGAGUUAGCAGCAGUUGUACAUGCGUUGAAACUCUGGAGGCAUUAUCUGUUGGGUAAUCUAUGUCAUAUUUAUACUGACCAUAAGAGCCUCAAAUAUAUCUUCACACAACCCGUGUUGAACAUGAGACAAAGAAGAUAGUUGGAAUUGAGAAAGGACUAUAACCUGGAAGUACACUAUCAUCCAGGCAAAGCCAAUGUUGUAGCCGAUGCUCUCAGUCGGAAACAACCUGUUAGACCUCUCCUAGAGGAAGGCUUCAAUUUAUUGCAUCCUGUGGUCCUGCACAACAUCGUAGUCAGUUGCUCGUUAGAGAGUCAAAUUAUAGAGCUCCAAAAGUCUGAUCAUGGUAUUUCCCAUAUCAAAAGAAAAAUGCAAGAGCAAGACACCAAGCAUUUCAGGGUAGAUGAGAAGGGUGUACUAUGGUUUGACGAUCGACUAGUUGUACCUAAAGACCGUGACCUACGCAACAAAAUUUUAGAUGAAGCUCAUUCUUCCAAGUUGUCCAUUCAUCCUGGUAGUAGCAAAAUGUACCAAGACUUGAAACCUCGUUUCUGGUGGGCCAAGAUGAAGAAGGAGAUAGCCGCUUAUGUUGCUAGGUGUGAUACUUGCUGCAGGGUAAAAGCAGUUCACCUCAAACCUGCAGGUUUAAUUGCAACCUUUGUCAGUUCCAGGUUGGAAGUGGGAAGAAAUCAGCAUGGAUUUCAUUGUUGGCCUUCCCCCUACCCAAAAGGGACACAACUCCAUAUGGGUGAUUGUUGACCGUUUGACCAAGUCAGCCCAUUUUAUUCCUGUGAAGUCGACACACCGAAUAUCCGACUACACUGAGUUAUACUUCUCUCAGAUUGUUAAAUUGCAUGGAGUGCCUCGCACCAUUAUUUCUGAUAGAGGUCCUCAGUUUACUGCCCGCUUUUGGGAGCAUCUGCAUUCACUCCUUGGUACAAAGUUGGUUCGCAGUUCAGCCUACCACCCUCAAACCUCCGGCCAGACUGAGCGUGUGAAUCAAAUUUUAGAGGAUAUGUUGAGGGCAUGUGUGAUAUCUUCCAAGGGUGCGUGGGAGAAAUGGCUACCCUUGGCUGAAUUCUCUUACUGUUGGGUAUUCUUAACAUCAUUACUAAAAGUAGACUAAGUUCUCUAAAUCUAGCAACGGUGCCAAAAAUGCCAAACCUAUCCCUUACACCACUUAAGCCAAGUUGUCAUCCCCAGCAUGAUAUAAGAGACGCGGUAUUGAAAUAUGCAAUUGCUCUUCUCAAUAAAUAAUGAAUGGGAUCUGCAAGCGCACAGAUUAAUACCGAUGUAGCAUUUUAACCGGGAAGUAUUCCAGGUAUCGUUAUUUAUAUUUUUACCACUGGGAAGGGAUUAGAAAUCAUCACUAAUGAUUACAGAAUAGAAUAUGAGAUUGAGCAUCUAUCAUUGCAUGUAUAAUUGAGAACAUUAUAUUUAACUCAUCAUACAGGGAUAAGUGUCACAUAAAAGAUAUAUGAAAUAAUAAUAGUGACAAGGAUAACUAAUCUGAUCUAGCCACAUAAUAAAUAUGAUAAGCACCUCAAUUAGAUACUCUAGAAAGUCAUUAGCAUGGUAUUAGAACGAACUACAAGAAUAUUCCCUAAGUUAUUCUUAACUAUAUAGUCUAGCAUAUCAUAGUUAGUGCAAGCAUACUUAGCAAUCAUUGCAAGACAAGACUACGCCCAUGCAUAGUGAUAUUAGCAAGGAAUAUGAGAAACAUAGCAAUCACUCCCCUGUAAUAAUGUUGCUCUGCCAGCCCAAUACACGAGAGGGGGACUAUAUAAGAAUCAAUGAAGUUGUCACUAUCACGAACUACCCCACGAUCUGGCAUAUUGGGUACAAUCGCAGAUAAAUACGGUAUAAGCACCACGCCUACACAAUAUCUAUCAUUUACCCAUGGAUCCGAUGGAUAAACGCUGUACGAUCCUAAGCAUGUAUAUAGAUCGUAUCUAACUAAGCUAAGUACAUAACUAUGAUAAACUAAGAACAAUAUAAUCUUGAAUAUGAGCAAGUAGAGCAAAGUCAUAAGCAAUAUAUUGAAGUAGAACAAAGUCAUAUUCAUAAUAUUGAAGAACAAAGAUAAUUAGAAAGUAAUUAGAAACACAAUUAGAGAAUUACCAAGAAUCCUCCUGACAGAUCCGGAAACCAAUCGAAGAUUGACUCCUUCUAGUUCUAAUCCUAUGUAGCUAUGCUAAUCUAGAUAUCUAAUUGAUGUGGUGGCUCUAAUCUCGAUCAGAGGCUUCUUCUCCCUUGAUGGAACAAUGAAUUAGGGUUGAGAGGCUCUCUCCUCCAGGGGCCAGGGGUCUGGUUUUAUAGUCCCUUCAAGUGAAUAUGGGCCCUUGGAUCAAACCGACAUAGAUUGUAUGGUUUAGAUUCAUCCUUUAGGUCGGUGGAGACUUCCCGCAAAGCAGAGUCCUGAUUGGACUUGGACAGGGGGCGGGCGCCCAGUAGGACAGGGCGGGCGCCCUGCCUCUGGCCCCGUUUCGCCUCCGCUUCGGUCUCGUGGCUUCUGGAGUCUUCUAGAUGUAAGAUAAUUGCGUAGCACGUUAAUAUCUUUACGUAAUCCUGACAUGUGGGCCUUUCUUCCAUAUUUCCUGAUAACCCCCUGCAGAAAUAGACAAACACCAAAACUCGUGGAAUUCUGUCAGAUAAAACCCUAAGUCUAGAUCUUGAUUUCAUUUGGAUCCUUUUCUUUAUUUAUUUGAUAAUUAAAUUUGAUACUUAAGGACCGUCAACACUUACAACAAUAGUUAUCAAGAAAGUAUCCAAAUGGCUCCGUUUGAAGCUUUGUAUGGCCGCAAGUGUUGAACUCCUCUAAACUGGGUCGAACCUGGUGAAAGGAGGUACUACGGAAUUGACUUUGUCAAAGAAGCCAAACAGCAUGUCCUCACUAUCCACAAACACAUGGAAGCUGCCCAAGCUAGACAGAAAAGCUAUGCCAACCGAAGAAGAAAGCCACUUGAGUUCGAAGUAGGUGACUUUGUGUACCUAUAGGUAUCACCUAUGAAAGGAGUAAAUCGCUUUGGUGUAAAAAGAAAGCUUGCCCCUAGGUAUAUGGGUCCCUAUCAAAUCAUCGAGAAGAGUGGCAAGGUAGCUUACAAGGUACAACUACCUCCAGAAUUGAGAGCUAUUUUCCCUGUAUUCCACGUGUAUGAAGAAAAGCUUGUUCAAGUUCUUGAUGUCAAGGAAAGGGUUACUCGUGGGAGAGUGAUUAAACUUUUCAGAGUUUUGUGGAACCGUCAAAGUGAAAGAGAUGCCACUUGGGAAAGGGAAGACUAUUUACAAAUAACUUACCCCUCCUUCUAUGAAAAAUGGUACGUCUUUCAAAUCUCGAGACGAGAUUUUUGUAAGGGGGGAGGGCUGUAACACUCAUAGUGUUAGCUUGCAUGUUAACCAUGAGCAUUGCAUCAUCAUAAGCAUCAUCAUGAUCACUCAUGAGCAUCAUACCAUGAUCACAUGCCAUUUGCUACAUAUACUAUGUGAUUGAAGUGCUAUAUGACUUGCUAUGGUUGAUUGUAAUGAGUGACCAAUGCAUACCAGUGUACAUUGUCUUCCAAUAUACUUUAAUCAUGUUUAGAAUAACAUUUUGAACAAAGUUUGUGUUGGGGGUUUUGUCCAAAAAUGCCCCUAAGUCAUGGUUAACCCUAGAUUGACCUAAUUGUCCCCCUAGACCUCUUUGUAAAGAUGUUUUAUGUAAAUAAUGUUAGAAACCUUGCAUGUCUAUGACACCUAAAACAAAGUUGUAGUAAAUUUCAUAAGCUACAAAAGUUAUGUUUAUGACUUUUUAUGAAAAAGCAUGGAACACAUUCAAAAGUUUCUCACAAGGCAAAAAUCAGGGCUGAUUUUACACUUAGCCUGUGAGAAUGCAGUUUCGAGGUAGGUCACUUGAGAGCUUUGUAGAUUGCAAUCCAGGCUGAAUUAGACUUUGAUAUUGUAAGCAAACCUGUAGAUUUCAUGUAGCUCUAUCCAAAGGAUCAAGUUUGAGCCAAAACCACCGAGUGAGCUGAGAGUAAAAUGUCGACGAAGUUGGAGUUUCAGUCAUCGGAAUCGGGCGUUUCAGAAAACGUUUCAGUUUAGACAGUCGCCGUCCGCCGCCGCGUGUCUGGCUAGGUGUCGGCUGUACACCGUCGACGGUCCCUCCUAUCAGCCCCGACGUCGUCCACAAGACGCCACGCACCGAGUGGACGCCUCAGACGCGCCAUUCACCCCUCCAGAGCACCGCACUGCGUCCGCCUUCUUCCUCGGCGAGCUCCACCGCGCUUCGGCGAGCUCUCCCGGCCGCUCCACCGCGUCUCCGGCCAAGCUAGUCUGCCCAGAGCUCCGCCUUGACGUCCUCUACCUCGACGUCCACUCCUUUUCCUUAGGCGAGCACCGGUGAGGUCGCAUUGCCCACUCCGUCGCGAGCUCCACCUCGCCGGAGUUCACAGAGAUCACCGACAACAUGGCCAGACCUCUCUGGUUCACAUCCGGUCGUGGUUCUUCUUCCAAUAGCUUCGACUUGAGUCGCUCUUGCUACUCCGCAAGCUCUACCACGUCGCCGUUGCCUAGAUCCGCCGGCGUAACGCCGCGCAGCACCGCCGCUCCGCCAUUCGCGACGGCGAGCACCCUAGGGUCCAGUAGAGCGCGAGUGAAGUAGGUUAACGGAGUCGCCUUGAGGAGAGGAACACGUAGAUGCCCUUGGAUCCAUCGGAAACCUCGCCGUCGUCGAGUUCCUCUGGCGACGAGCUUCUCCCCUGUCUCUGCCCCUCUGUCGCGUGGGUCCCGUUUGUCAGCGGAUCCCACCUGUCAGUCUCUCCCUCUCACACUCUGGUUCACUGUAUAGCAGGUUCUGUGGUGUUUUUGAAAAAUUCAUAUCUCGAAUUUUAUAGAUCCAAAUGAUAUGGCUUCAAUUUUGCUGGGUUCUUGUGGUAAUCUAGUUUUUAUUAAAAAUAUGAAACAUGCCAUGUUUUUGUAGAAAUAAAUAGAUAUGAUUUAAUCUUGAUUAUAUAGGAGGUAAUUAUAUCUUGAGAUCUGUUGAUCUGGUGGCCAUGCAAAUUUACGGUAUGGUUACUUAUGUCAUGAAUAGGCUCUGAUAAAUUUAUCAUGAUUUUUGGAGGUCUGAUUGUGAAGUUAUAAAUAUUUCUCGUUCAAACAGGAGUUUCUUGUGGUAUUUUUAAUAAAUAAGUUAUAACUCCUUUUAUGGUGAAACUUGCUGAGAGUUGUGCUCAUGUGUAAACAAAGCUAGGAAAAAUCUGAAAUAUGUUGUUUGACACUUUUUGGUAGGGUUUCACAUUUAUGCCUUGCAUGCCUUUGCUAGCUUGUUAUUUUUGUAUCUCACAAUCUGUAUGUGUAAGUGCCUUGAAAAUUUUACAGUAACCUUGUGUUAGCAUAGGUAGCUUGCUGUAAUUUUCUUAGAAUUCUUGGAGCACUUGGGAUGCAUGUUCAUUAAAUCACCUUAAUAUUUAAAUAAAUGGAAAAGGUGAUAAUGGAAAUGAGUUUAGACCUUGCCAUGAUGUUUUCUAGUGUUUCUUAGACAUGUUCUGUCUACUGGUGCAUUUGGAUUGACCCUUUGAUACAUUCUUGUUAUGUGUAAAAUAUUAUUUUUGCUAUUUAUGUCUUUCCUAGAGCAAUCCUGUGUAGCUGAUAGCAAUUGCUUAAGAACUAAUUGAAGAUGAUGUUUUCUGGGAAACUUGUCUAUAACAAACUUUUAGCUAACUCACUUAUCUACUUCGUGUCCAAGUUCCAUGACAUUUGGUUGAGUAGUUUAAAAGUUAUGAAUGUUACAAUUAGUUGCUGCAAAGUGGCUCUCUGGAUUUUCCAGGACAGCCAGCCAACUUUGUAUGUUUUAGCAUAUUUCGGUUAGGAAUCAUCCUGGGAUGUCUAAAAAUGAAUUGUAGAAAAUUUACUAAGCUUUCCAGAAAGUAUCUAUUUGCUUAGUUUGGCCAACUGAUGCUUAUGUUAUAGCUGAAACUUGUGACAAGUUGGUCUGUCUAUGAAACUAGUGACUGAGUAGGAGUAGCUAAGGUUGAUCAACUUGUCUAGUUAGCCUCUCUACCAGAGAAGAAGUAUGCAUUUACUUGUUAUUCUAUGAUUCACUUAAUUUUAGGAGUUUAUGCCCAUGUUUAUACUUUGUUGUGUGUUCCUUGGCUCAGCAUCACGACAUAUUGCAUGUUAUGUGCAUUCCCUAUAUUUAUCACCUUGUGAUGCAUACAUAGGUGUACCUAAGGGAGUGACGGUACUGGAGUACGAACUGCCCGAGCCAGAAGAACAGCAAGAGGAGCCACCUCGAGGUGCUGAGGAGGAGGAUCUGCCAGAGUGCCCUGACCACCGUCCCUCUACUUACAUUGAAGGCAAGCCCCGGAGCAUUAUAAGCCUCCUACUAUUUUUGAUAUCAUAUCCAGCUAUCAAUUGACUAUGGUUAUGUAUUGUUGCACUAAGUGUUAGGCGUUGAUAUGACACCCUUGCUGCAUAAUGACUACCUUGUCCACCUCAUACCUCCCCUAAGUAGGUCCAGGAUCGAAAUGAUGCUUAGCCGUGCUUAGCUCGAUAGAAGCCGGGUGAUUUCCUUUCACCUGCGAGAGUUAGGUGGAUGCUGAUCAUGGUUGGCUAUAUUUGCUAUCGUGGAAAUAACCAUGUGCUAAUAAUGAACUUGAGACCGGGCGUGAUGACGAUGGUGCAGCAACAAGGCAUGGAGGUCUUGGGUGUGAAUCUAUCCCCGUCCGUGUCGGUUAAGGACCGAUUCGUUGUGCGUCCUCGUGUUAUGUUGAAUGCAUGCCUAACACUUAGCUGGCCGGAUAAGUCGUUCCGACCGCGAAGCCUACGAGUGCAUCUCCGGCUGGAUACCCCGUUCGGUUUAAGUGCGCACCCCGGUUGGUAGCAAGGAUGUGCGGGGAGUCAAUGGAGUAAGACCGAGGUGUCAGGUUAGAGUCCUAACCCUGGCAGAUUGGCGGUCCCUAGGGGUGCGGCGCUGUACGGACCCGAGAAUUGGUCCGGAGUUGUGCUAAAGGUGAUCUGAGCUGCCCUCAUGAAGUAUGCUCGGGUGAGUGCUAGGAAUACCCCUCUAGCUGGAUAGGAAUCGAUUCGAAUCGCCGUCUCUCCCGGAUAUUGAGAACUUGACUCGGGCAGUGUCAACGUAGAACUCACUAAAUAAACUUAAUGGUUAUGAUGAGAAAGUUGAUAGCUAUGUGAUAAUCCGGAUAUGGUUAUUAUUGUGAUGCUUAAUUACUCAAGUGUAUGCUUAGAACAGGUGCUAAUCUAGUGGAUAGUUGUUAAGUAAUGAACCUGUUGCUGAAAUAUUUUAAAUGGGUUACUUACAACUAAGGCUUUUUAUGCAAAAAGGUGAGUCAAACCAGCCCACAAAGAUCAGCCUUGCAUACUCCUUGGUGUCACUUUAUUUCUGGUUUAUGACGGGUAAGUCUAGCUGAGUACAUUCUCAUACUCACGGUUUUAUUUACCCUUGUUGUAGAUGAUGUCGUUUAUCACGGCUACUGUGCUAACUGUCAUCAUCUAGCUGCGGACGGUGAAUAGAUCAUGGGCAUGAUCAACUUCCUUAUCUUCAGUUAUGCUUUUGUUGGGAUGACUAUGGAACUGGCAUGUAAUUAAACUGUGUGUGUGAUGUUUCAAAACUACUUUGCUUCCACUACUGAAUUGGUCUGUAAUAACUUGUUUAAAACUCCGAUAUGUUGUAAAAAUUAUGUCCUGUGAUGUAUGUAUGUAAUCUGUGAUGGCGAUGCUUGAUCAUGUACGAUCUUGGUUGUAUGUUGGUUGAAUCGAGGUCUUUUGAGAUUUCGUCGGACUACCGAGUUUAUAUGGGUUCAAGUCCAUUGGCUUGACUACUUUGUGGUCGCUAAUUCACUUGAAUUCUUAUAAAUUGGAUGGUUAUGUUACAAUGAGACAGUUUGAGGCUUGAUCCAACUGCUCGGAGUUUUGCGCAAGGAAACAAGAUGCGGAGAUCAAGCAGGAUUCUAGUCGGUUAGAAUAGGAAUUGAUAUCGCAUUAUCUAUAGCAAUUUUAACCGACUAGGAUUAGUUUCCAGAUCGGUAAGCCUGCCCUCUGGACUAUAUAAAGAGAGGCAAGGGAUCCCCCUUAGACAAUUCAAUUCAACACACAACAAUACAAUCAGACGCAGGACGUAGGUAUUAUGACCACACGGUGGCCGAACCUGGAUACAAACCUUGACUGUGUCUUGCGUCUCCAUCAAGUUCGUAGCUUGCGCACCUGUCUGCCGAUAAAAUACUACCAUGGGUAUACCCCAAGGUAGACUACCGACUAGCUUUCGUCGAUAGUGGCGUGCCAGGUAGGGGGUGUGCGUACAGCUUCCAGACGAACAAGAUGGUCAUUGUCCCUGCUUCCGCUGCCGUGGCCGAAGGCCUCACGAUCACCGUCGGCCAGAUCACCUGGACGACUCACGCCGAUGGCCCCACGACCACGACUCUGGAAGAAACUCAGAUCCGAUCUGAAACAGCAGCGGUGGUGAUCCCGAUCACACUAACCACGACCACUACGACUCCGAAGACCCGACCUCCGCUUCCUCGUUACAAAGGAAAACGAGUCGACAGUUCGGAUCUUCUCAAAGCCAUCGAUCGCGCUGACCACAAGCUUCUCGAGGCCUCCAAUCUGGUGGAUUCAAUUUUGUGCAAGAAUGAUCAAGCACCGGCAUCGAACUUUUUUGACUCCCAUCGACCAACUCGUGCCAACACGCACGAACGGCUGGGGACGUCCUUGACAGUAACAACGACCCUCGAUGGACGAACCGUCAAGCUCAAGACAGCUUCUCCAGACAAGAAUCUCCCUCAUGAUCUGAGUAACGCAGCCGACCAGGUUUCGCGACACACUCGAUCCCUAUUCAGAAAGAUGGGCUUGCCGUCAUGACAACCCAAGCGAACAGCACGCCACUUCGUAAAUAUGGUCUCUAUUCGCACUCUGCCAGAAGACAAGACCAAUAGCACAAAUUCGAGCACAGGCUCUGUCCCUACCGAGGUUUUACGCCCCGAGGACGAGGAUUAUGACCUAGAUCUCCCACCUUACCCUCUGGGUUUUUCCCGCUUUUCGGUCUUCCCACCUCGACGAGGAGAUCUAGUUCUCAAUGUCAGCAACGACGAACCAGUCGUCGACGGCGAAACCGACAAGCAAAGACAGCAGCACGAACAGCGCAACGCUGAUCGUGCUCAGCAACGAGCAGAUGAGGAGCAGCGGCAACUGGUCCCAAAUAACCUUGAUGACGCAUUUGACAUGGUCAGAAACUAGCAAGUAUUCAAGACACCAAGCGCCAAUGUAGCUGUUGCCAUGGCAAACCAUGAUCGACUCCCAGAUACUCCAGAAUAUCAAGGUGUUCGGUCCAACAUACGGGCACUUCUAAUCGCCACAAUGGGAUAGACUGCAACUCUACUCAAAAGGGUCCAUGCCAUCUCCUACACGGAGGCCACCUCCGACCAGACUCAUCGCAACCGGGCCUCACCACGACCCGGCGGGCAUCGUCGUAGUCGUUCAACCAUCAACGACCGUAGGAAGGACACCCAUUGCGACAACGGUGGUCGGGAAGCUGGCAAUUACCAUGAGCAAGACGUGGAUGUCAGGAGGUGGACCAAGACAGAGACCUACGACAAAACCUCUCUCAUAAGGACGCACGUGAGCGCAUCAACAGGCAUAUUACCGAUAGAGCGGUACAAGAAAACGUGCGACGCAUCGAGUACGAUGCAGCUCAUGGCCCCCCUAGCCUAAAACAGUUCUCUUCACACCUUUGGCAAGUUGUAUGGCCCCACAACUUUAAGCUCGAGAAGCUUAAAAAGUACGACAACAAGGAAAACCCCGAAAACUGGAUCACCCUUUACGAGAUCACAGUCCGAUCAGCAGCAAGGGACGAGCACGUCAUGGCGAAUUAUUUUCCAGUCGUCCUUGACCAAGUCGGGCAUCAAUGGCUCCUCAGUUUGCCAGAAGACAAUUUUGAUUCGUGGGAGCAAUUGCGGCAGGCUUUCAUCGAUAACUUCAUAGCGACCUGCGAGCAGCCUAGAAACAAAUAUGACCUUGAGAGGACAAGAGACCGGAGGAACGAGCCCCUGCGCGAUUACAUCCAAUGUUUCUGAGAUAUGCGUCUCAAUAUUCCAAAUAUUUCCCACGACGAGGCCAUAAAGGCUUUCAUUAAAGGUUUACGUUUCCACGAAGCUUUAAGAAGCAAACUACUAUGCAAGAGGCCAACCACAGUCACCGAACUCCUCGCCAUAGCCAAGAAUUACGGCGACACCGACGACGCAGAAAAGCUCAUCUGAGAAGAUAUUCGAGGAACCGAGCAGCCUCCCCGACGAGAUGACAACCGUGGACGUUUCGACAUCUAGAACCCUCACCGUGACGACAACCGUGAGCAUCGAGAAAGGUGGGAUAGGCGUCGCGACAACCACGACGAUUUCAGAGGCAAGCGGCCUCGCGACAACGAUCACGAGGUAAAUACAGUCAAGCGUUCCAACGGACGACGAGAUUUUCAGGAAGACUACAACAAGACAUUGAAUGGACCAUGCCAACUCCAUCCAAAAUCUAACCACACGAUGGAAGAAUGUUGUGUCCUCAAAAGCAUCUAUACACAGUGGGCUGCUCAAGGAGACGCUACCAAAAUAACUAGGAAACAUGAUAGACGCAGUCAAGAAGACGAAGACGACGACGAAGACAGGGACCCAUGGCAUCAAUAUGUCAACCCAACCGACAUCGUGCACUCCAUCUUUCGAGGGAAUGUCUCAAUCGAGUCGAAACGAGAAAGAGAACUCCUCAAGAGGGCUUUCUUAAAUGUGGACAGCGUCGAUGGUUUGAUCACCGACCCUCAAUUUCUUCCCUGGUCACACCGAGAGAUCUCUUUCAACAGGCAGGACUAGUGGGCUGCCAUCCUAGAACCAGGACGCUUCCCGUUGAUCCUGGACCCAUGCAUCAACAGCGUCAGGUUCGAGCGCGUGCUCGUAGAUAGUGGUAGCUCUAUCGACAUCUUGUUUUACAACAGCUUGCCUGCUCUCAAGCUAACUCUGGUGCAGUUGAAACCGUAUGAAGCUCAGUUCUAGGGCGUCCUGCCAGGACAAAGCUCAGUACCCCUUGGAUAGAUAACGCUGCCCGUCCAGUCCAGAACGCCAGACCACUUUCGCACAGAAUUCAUAAACUUCGUGGUCGCUAACUUAAACGGGACCUACCAUGCUAUUCUAGGUCGUCCUUCUCUCACCAAGUUCAUGGCAGUCCCAUACUAUUCAUACUUGGUCCUCAAGAUGCCAACCGAGAAGGGCGUCCUGGCCAUCAGAGGCAACAUCUACAUGGCAUACAUCUGCAAGGAGGAAAGAUUCAAGAUCACCGAAGCAAUCGACCUCUCAAUUCGGAUGGCAGAAACAGUAACACAAGCAACACAAGUCUCUCCGGACCAGCUCAAACUACCCGAACAGGAGACCCCAAGAAAAAGCACCAAGUCCAAAGAGCACAAGGAAGUCCAGCUGGUCGACGGCAGCCCAGAGAAAACGGCUCUCAUUAGAGCCAAUCUGGAUGCCAAAUAGGAAGACGCGCUCGUCAGGUUUCUAAGGGACAACGUAAGUGUUUUCACGUGGAAACCCGCAGACAUGCCCGGCGUCCCACGAAUCCUCAUCGAGCACUCCUUAAACAUCUCGAAGACCGCAAGACCUAUCAAGCAUAAGCUACGACGGGUUCGCUCGUGACAAAAAGAAGGCUAUUAGGACAGAGAUUACAUGGCUUAUAGCAGCCGGGUUUAUUAAAGAAGUAUAUCACCCCGAUUGGCUCGCCAAUCCAGUCCUUGUAAGAAAAAAGAAUAAUGAAUUGAGAAUGUGCGUUGAUUACACCGAUCUCAAUAAACACUGUCCUAAGGAUCUUUUUGGUCUUCCCCGCAUAGACGAGGUGGUCGAUUCAACGGCCGGAUAAAAUGGGUCAUGGAAUUAUGCCCAUUUUCGUUGGAUUUCCAGAGUCGUACAACCGUCAAGUCUCAAGCCCUGGUCGACUUCGUUGUAGAAUGGACAGAUCUCAAUGCACCGCCCACUCCAGAUAUCUCUGAUCACUGGUUAAUGUUCUUCGACGGGUCCCUAAACACCAACGGUGCUGGUGCCAAGAUCCUUUACAUUUCACCAAACAAGGACAAACUACGCUACGUCCUUAGGAUACUAAUCCCGGCAUCCAACAAUGUCACCGAGUACGAAGGAUGCUUGCAUGACAUCCGAUUGGCCGUCGAACUGGGAGUCAAGUGCCUUUAUGUCUACGGCGACUAUGCCCUGGUCAUUAACCAGUUAAAUAAGGAGUGGGACACGACUCAUGAGAAAAUGGAUCUAUACUAUAAAGAGAUCCGGAGAUGGGAAGCGAAUUUUUACGGAGUAGAAUAUAUACAUGGGGUCUGGGACAAGAAUCAAGCAGCAGAUGCGCUGUCAAAGAUAGGAUCAUCAAGGGCCUAGAUUCCGCAAGGUGUUUUUGUCCAAGACAUUGACACACCGAGCGUUGGAAUGGACCUAGUCGACAAGCCACACAACGAGACAUUGCUCAUCCAGGACGCCACCCCGACAACCAGCGGCAACGACUGGCGCAUGCCUUUCGUUAAGUACCUCUCGGAUGGUUCAGGAUUUCAAGACAGGACAGAGAACGAACGUCUCAUCCGACGAUCAGAAAAUUAUAUAAUGGUCAACGGUCGACUUAUGCAAAAAAAACACAAACUCAGAAGUCCUAUUGAAUUACAUAACCCAAGACGAUGGCAUCAAGCUGCUAGAUGACAUACACGCUGGAGCCUAUUGCAACCAUGCCGCUUCUAGAACGUUGGUCGGAAAAGCCUUCUGAGCAGUUUUUACUGGCCAACUGCAGUAGCUGAUGCUGAGAAGCUGGUCUGGCGAUGUGAGGGGUGUCAGUUCUUCACCAAAAGGACUCACGUACCCGCUCACGAGAUCUAGACGAUACCAUCAUCUUGGCCAUUCGCCUGCUGGGGCCUUGACAUGAUUGGGCCAUUCAAACCCACUCCCGGCAAUUUCACAUUUGUAUUUGUGCUGAUCGACAACUUCUAUAAGUGGAUCGAGUACAUGCCACUGGUCAAAGCAACUUCAGAGAAUGCUGUAGAAUUCCUCAAUCAAAUCAUACAUAGAUUCGAAGUUCCUAACAGCAUAAUCACCGAUCUGGGCACUCAAUUCACCAGCACCACAUUCUGAGAUUUCUAUGAUGACAGAGGCAUAGUCAUAAAGUACGUAUCGGUAGCUCACCCCCAUGCCAAUGGGCAAGUGGAGCGAGCCAACGGGAUGAUUAUAGAUGCAUUAAAAAGAGGUUGUACACAAAAAAUGACAGAGCACCGGGGCGGUGCAUGAAAGAACUACCAGCCGUGGUCUGGGGUCUCCAAACACAGCCUAGUCGGAAUACGGGCGCAACUCCCUAUUUCAUGGUCUAAGGGGCUGCGAUGGUGCUCCCCUACGAUGUAGUUUUCGGAUCCCCAAGAUUCGAGCACUUCAACCAGUCUUCAGCAGAUCAUGCUAGAGAACUCGAAAUCAAUUGCAUAGAAAAGAAACGGUUGGCCUCCUGCCUUCGAACAGCAAAGUACCUCAAAAUCAUGCGACAAUACUACAACGAGAAUGUCAAGGACUGUUCUUUCGUGGUCGGUGAUCUGGUACUCAAAUGGAAAACAAACCAGGAAGGAAUGCAUAAGCUAUCUGUUGGGCAUUCUUAACGUCACUACCAAAAGUAGACUUAGUUUUCUAAUUCUGAUAACGGCGCCAAAAAUGCCAAACCUAUCCCUCAUGCCACUUAAACCAAGUUGUCAUCCCCAGCAUGACAUGAGAGACGCGGUAUUGAAAUAUGCAAUUGCUCUUCUGAAUAUAUAAUAAAUGAGAUCUGCAAGCGCACAGAUUAAUACCGAUGUAGCAUUUUAACCGGGAAGUAUUCCAGGUAUCGUUAUUUAUAUUUUUACCACUGGGAAGGGAUUGCUAAACAUCAAUGUUGAUUACGGAAUGGAAUAUAGAAUUGAGUAUCUAUCAUUGAAUAUAUAAUUGAGUAUCUAUCUCUUUCAUACAUGUCACAGAACCGACCAAAUUAUAAGAGAUCAAGUGUAGAAACGAUCGACAAGCAAUCAAGUUUCCAAACUUGAGCCCAUAUAAUCCCGGUAGUCAAUCGAAAUCACGAAGGACUUCAAACCAACUCGCAACAAACCAAGAUCGUAAUAGUUCAACAUAAACACAGCUAGUUCAAUAAGUUUACAACAACUUUGAUUUAGACAAAUUUCACAGAAGGCCAAGGUAUCAUUAAGCAAAAGUUAAAUCAUUUCCUUGCUGUCCAGAGCAGCCUUUAACCCUUAAGGUAAUUAUUUAAUGACAUAACCAACACAUAACCCAUGUCAACCACAUGGCUUAUGAGCACAAGCAUAUCAGAAGAUUGCCAGAACAUCAGAUGAUAACCCUCAAACAUAUACUUAACAAGGCAUUUAUUAAUUACUUCUAGAAAGAAGCAUAAUUACAAGAUGCAUAGUCAACGUGCUCAGAAAAAUCUACAAAAAUUACAGGAACACAAGUAAGGCACCAAAGCAUCACCAUAAAAAUUUUACAACAAUUGCACAUACCAAAUUAAAGAUAUGCAAUUAACAUGUGCCCAAAUGUUUAUUUCAUAAAUUCAGAAACAUGACUUAUAUGGUGUCAAAUAACAGAUUUCAAAUUAUUUACAUAUGAGGAAUACCACAAACAUGUUUACUACCAAAGUAGAGCACCAGCAUAAGCACCAAUUAUUUUAUAUAAAUUAAACAAGGAAACAAGCCAAAUCUCAAUCAUAAAUUGCAUAUCAAAACUGCAUUACUCCAAAAAUCAUGAAAUAUUUACCAAAGCACUCUAACACCAUACAGAGGCUACCAUAAAAUUUUCAGAGCAAACUAAGCAGUAUAACAAGAGAUAUGAAUUUAUCCAUGAAUAACAAGAUUAUAUCCUUAAUAAAUAUUUUCUCAGAAAACAUGGUUCAUUUUAUAUUUUUAUUAAAAACUAGCCAUCUCAAGGAAUAACACAAAAUUGGUUUCACAAUUUUUGGAUCUCAGAAACAGGAGAUAUGAUUUUUGUAAGAAAGCCAAAAAUCCAGAUUUUGAAUAAAAGAAAAGGAGGGAAGGAGGUGACACUGACAGUGGACCCCGGCUGUCAGGUUCUUCUCCCUCACGGCCGAGGCGACUCUCGCCGGCGAUUUCUCCGCGACGGCGAGGUCUCCGGCCAAACCAAGGGCACCAACGUGAUCCCCAGACUCUAGCGACUCGAUUGACCCCCUUUUUUCCCAUGGCGGAGCCACCGGAAGGGGCUCGCCGUCGACGAUGGCGGCUCGACGGAGGUGCUCGGUGUUACGCCGGAGCCCUCAGGCCGGUAGAGCGUGACCUAGGGUUUCCUACAGCACCAGGAAACUACGGCGGAGCUUCCUAGGUACGCGGCUUGGCUUGAAACCUCGUGGAACACGCUGGCCAUGAGAGCACCCAUCUCCGGCGGAAACACGGCGGCGCUGCGCAUCGUGUCCGGCGACAGAGAGCUCGGUAGAGCGUCCACCAAGUGGCGCAAACGCAAGCUAGGAACCUAAGCAACCUCUAGGACCUAACCAGAGACGAUGAGAGGCUUCAUAGGGCUCGGCAUUGGGCUCGCCGGAAAAGAUGGUCACGGCGACCCGAUUUAGGGGAAGAAGGGAAUGGCGGCUCACCAGUGGAUUUCACGGCGAGGUGGUGGGUGGGGAAUGGAGAGCGGUUCGCGGCGGAGCUGUGGGUGAAGUUUUGUGGGCAAUGGCGCAGCAAGGAAUGCGCGCGAGCUCGCCGGAGUAUGCUCGUGACGGAGAGCUCACGACAGCCGCGUUUCUGGCGAGAGGGGCGAGGCAGAGCGGAAGUGGACGUGUCCACUCUGCUCGGGGCAACGCCGUGGAGGUCAUGCGCGCGCUAGGAGCUGACGAGCGGGGCCAUCGCCGGCAUACGGACGACAUCUGGCGGACAGGUGGCGUUCUGGCCAUCCCCGACGGUGAGCUCGGCUUCGAUUCAGAGAAAACGGCGACCGACUGAUAGAGCGACUUCAGCAAUGGAUAACUCCCAAACCAGCCCGAGAUAGAAGAUGAUGCAGUUGACAAAGUUGGAGUUCCAAUCGAGUUCUACAACGUUGUCAACUAGAGCAAAAGCCAGAUUGGCCGGGAUUGAGAGAUAUAGAGUUUCCAAAAUCGAUCGAGCAAACUGUUUGUGUUCCUGGACUUACAAAUUUUUCUAAGUGUUGGAAAUAGCAAAUCUGCCUUGUGGGUCACUUUUGAGCUAUUUGUAUUCAUUUUCAUGAGAUGGCCAUAAAACAACUUUUGUUCCUUAUAAAAUUUGCUACAACUUUACUGUAGGAAGUUUUGACAUGCAAACACUGUAUGAAACACUUUUUAAAAGCCUAAGCAAAAGAGGUUUUUAGGGCCUAUUUACAUAAGUAUGACUUAAGUGCUUAUUUUGGAAAAGUGGUCAACAUGAACAUUGUUCCCAAGGUUAAGUUAGGCAUAGAUAAACUAACUAACAAAGCAUAGAGCACAAACACAAGCAUGGUUCACUCAAACAUAAGCAUAGGAAGCCUAUUUAAGCAAUUUAAAACACAAUUUUGCAUAGAAUGACAUGGCUCAAGAUAGAUGAUGAUCAUGAUAUGCUUUGAGUGGAUGAUGAUGCUCAUGCUAUGCACAUGAUUAAUGCAACCAUAACACUAGGGUGUUAUAGCCCUCCCCCCUUACAAAAAUCUCGUCCCGAGAUUUGAGAGCUUACUGAUUUUCGAAGAAUGUUUUGUAAACUUCUUUUAAAUAAUCCUCCGUCUCCCAAGUGGCAUCUUCCUCCCCGUGGUUACUCCACAACACUUUGUAGAACUUAACCACACGAUUACGCGUCUCCCGUUCCUUGCGAUCAAGAAUUGCUACGGGUUUUUCUUCAUACACCAAGUCUGACUUCAACUUGAUAUCUCGAACUUCCACUCAUUCCUCCGGUACACGAAGGCACUUCUUCAAUUGUGAUACGUGGAAGAUAGGGAAAAUAGCUCGAAGCACAACUGGGAGUUGAACUUUGUACGCCACAUUCCCUUUCUUUUCGAGAAUCCGAUAGGGUCUCACAUAACGAGGUGCAAGCUUUCGCUUGACUCUGAACCUUUGUACACCCUUCAUCGGAGACACCUUGAUAUACACUUGGUCACCAACUGAAAACUCAAUCGGUUUCCUUCUCUUGUCGGCAUAACUUUUCUGACGAGCUUGAGCAGCUUCCAGAUGUUGCUGGAUGGUACGGACUUUCUGCUCUGCUUCAUUUACGAAAUCGAUGCCAUAAUACCUUCGCUCUCCGGCUUCUACCCAAUUCAACGGGGUUCGACACUUUCGACCGUACAAUGCUUCAAAUGGAGCCAUUUUGAUACUCUCCUGAUAACUAUUGUUGUAGGAGAACUCAGCUAAUGGCAGCCACUUAACCCAAGAACCUUUUGAAGAGAGAGCACAUGCCCUCAACAUGUCUUCUAGGAUCUGGUUAACCCGUUCAGUCUGACCAGCCGUUUGGGGAUGAUAAGCAGAGCUACGGACUAAAUGAGUACCAAUCUGCUCAUGCAGACACUCCCAAAAACGAGCAGUGAACUGCGGUCCAUGAUCGGAUAUGAUAGUUCGAGGCACAUCAUACUGGCGAACAAUGUGCUCGAAAUACCAUUCUGCAUAUUGAUGUGGACGAUAGUCAGUUUGAACUGGAAUACGAGCAACCUUGGUCAAACGGUCCACAAUCACCCAGAUGGAGUCGUAACCCUUAACAGAAGUUGGGAGUCCACUAAUGAAAUCCAUGCUGACUUCUUCCCAUUUCCAACCAGGAAUUGACAAGGGUUGAAGCAAACCAGCUUUCAUGUGAACAGCCUUCACACGACAACAAUUGUCGCAUCGAGCGACAAAAGCAGCAAUCUCCUUUUUCAUCUUUGUCCACCAAAACAAAGGUUUCAAAUCCUGAUACAUCUUGCUACUACCAGGAUGGAUAGACAAUUUGGAUGAAUGAGCUUCAGACAAGAUCUGAUUUCGCAGCUCGCGGUCUUUUGGGACUACUAGUCGAUCUUUGAACCAAAGAAUUCCGUUCUCAUCGACUCGGAAAUGCUUGGUUUCUUCUUCUUUCAUUUUUCUCUUUAUGUGAUGGAUGCCUACAUCUGUCUGCUGCAAUUCGAUAACUCGAUUGCGAAGAGUACUCUCCAAAGAAAUCUGGUGGAGCACAAGUGGAUGCAUAAGAUGUGACAACAACGGAUCUUCCACUUGGAUGGAGUGACAGUGCGCUUUCCGACUCAAGGCAUCCGCCACCACGUUUGCCUUGCCCGGAUGAUAGUGCACUUGUAGAUUAUAAUCUUUAAUCAACUCAAGCCAUCUUCGCUGCCGCAUGUUCAGUUCAGGUUGAGUGAAGAUAUACUUGAGGCUCUUAUGAUCGGUGUAGAUAUUACAUAGAUUACCCAGCAGAUAGUGCCUCCAGAUUUUCAAAGCAUGAACAACUGCUGCCAAUUCUAAAUCAUGAGUAGGGUAAUUGACCUCAUGCUUUUGAAGUUGGCGCGAGGCAUACGCGAUAACGCGACCUUCCUGCAUCAACACACAGCCUAAACCAAUGCCUGACGCGUCACAAAAGACAUCGAAGGGCUUUUCGAUAUCAGGUUGAGCUAGGACAGGAGCUGAUGUCAGCAAUGUCCUCAACUUGUGGAAUGCCUCUUCACACUCAGGCGUCCACAGAAACUUCUCAUCUUUCUGAAGUAGCCGAGUCAUAGGCUUGGAUAUUUUUGAGAAUUCGGGAAUGAAUCGACGAUAAUAUCCAGCCAGGCCUAGAAAACUCCGAACCUCGUGGACUGAAGUUGGAACCUUCCAAUCCAGCACUUCUUGCACCUAAGCCGGAUCCACUGAGAUGCCUUCUUCAGAUAAGACAUGGCCCAAGAAAGGUACUUUCUUCAGCCAAAACUCGCAUUUGCUAAACUUGGCAUAAAGCUGAUGUUCGCGCAAACGCAACAACACUGUACGCAGGUGCUCUGCAUGCUCCUCUUCAUUGCAGGAAUAUAUCAAGAUAUCAUCAAUAUAGACCACCACAAACUUGUCCAAUUCGGGCAUGAACACCGAAUUCAUGAGAUACAUGAAGUGAGCAGGUGCAUUCGUAAGACCGAAGGACAUGACGAGAUACUCAUACAACCCAUACCUCGUCGAGAAAGCUGUCUUAGGUACAUCUUCAGGACGGAUCUUGAUCUGAUGGUACCCAGAUCGCAAGUCAAUCUUGGAGAAUAUCUUAGCUUUAGACAACUGAUCAAACAAAAUAUCAAUGCGAGGAAGAGGGUAUUUGUUCUUGAUGGUCACCGCAUUUAGGGGACGAUAGUCCACACACAUGCGCAAAGAUUGAUCCUUCUUCACAAAGAUAGCCGGACAACCCCAAGGAGACGAACUAGGAUGAAUAAGGCCCUUCUUCAACAACUCAUUUAGUUGGGUCUUAAGCUCAGCUAAUUCAUUGGGUGGCAUUCUAUAAGGUCUUCUAGAGAUAGGAGCGGUACCUGGAAUCAAUUCAAUUUUGAAUUCCACAUCCCGAUCCGGAGGAAGCCCGGGUAAAUCAUCAGGAAAAACAUCCGGGAACUCACACACCACCGGAAUGUCCUGAAUAGCCUUAGAUGUAACUGCAUUCACAGUGUUACGGAUUUGAAUAUCCCGAGGGAGUUGCACUAGAAAUGUCUCUUUGGUAUUUGGGUCUUUCAACAUCUCUACACGAGUGGUGGUGUCGAUAAGAACUCCAUUGCCACUCAUCCACUUCAUCCCCAGUAUUACAUCUAUGCCCACACCGGGUAGAACAACCAAAUCAGCAAGAAACUGACGGCCUCCUAUUUCCAGAGUUGCCCCCAGAACCACUUGAUUGGUGGAAAUAUCAUUUCCCGCAGCACUAAUACCGUAACUGCCCUCAUCAAGUGUAAUUGCCUUGAUGUUAUGCUUGGACACAAAUUCAGAACUCACAAAGGAAUGCGAUGCUCCAGAAUCAAAAAGCACGAGUGCAUCAUGUUGAUUAACCAGAAACUUACCAGCCGUAACUACCUCACCAGCAGGGAUUGCUUCUACAGUGGUGUAGUGAACACGCCCCUGACGGAUGUUCCCCUGGUUGACCUUCUUUGGCGGGUAAGGACAGUUGCUCUGCCAAUGCCCGGUCUGAUUGCAGUUCCAGCACGGACGAUUGGCAGGUGGAGUUUUGGCAUAGUUGGGACCCGUGUUGCCCCGAGGAACAGCAAUAGAGUACACCUUGCGAAAACCCGUCUUGGCCUGAUUCUUCUUCAUCGGAGGACGGUACCGCUGGUUAGGCGUUGGAGCGCGGAACGGUGGCUUAGCUGCCACUGGAGCCUUGGACUGAGAUGACCCUGUCCCGGCCUCAAAAGCCCUCUUGCGAGUCUUGGUUGCCGUGUACACAGUGUUAUAGUUCUCUUGAGUGAGAGCAUCACUGACAAACUCAUUAAAAGUUGCACACUUAGUGCGGCCCAUAGUCUUCAGCAAUUUGGGGCCCAAACCCCACUUGAAACUAGCAAUCUUUUUCACCUCAGUGUUCACAAACUCAGGAGCAUACCUAGACAAAUGAUUGAAAGCAUGCAAAUACUCCUUUAUAGUCUUGUUGCCCUGAGUUAACUGCAUGAACUCAGUAUGUUUCAUCUCCAUGACACCAGGAGGAAUGAAAUGCCCUUUAAAAGCAUCACGAAAAAGAUUCCAGGCAAGCACAGUGUCGGCUAGAAGAGCUUCCCGAUACUAAUUCCACCAGAUGCCUGCUGGGCCCUGCAGUUGAUGAGCUGCAUACUCUGCCUUCAGACCUUCAGUCAACCGAAGCAAGCGGAACUUUUGUUCCACCGUGUUCAGCCAUUCUUCAGCUUGAAGGGGUUCUUCAGCUUCUCUGAAAGGUGGGGGCUUUGUAUCCAUGAAGUCCUUGAAGCUACUGUACUGAUUAGGAGCUGGCCCUUCAUGUGCAUUACGGCCACCCUGAUUCGCCAUCCGAUUGAUGGUCUCAGUGAGCAUCCUCUGAUUUUCCACCAUCAUUUGCAUUAACUCAGCAGGAUUUGGUGGUGGAGGAGGAGGGGGUGGAUUCAUGUUUGCACGCUGUUCCGCACCUCGGGUGCCACGAGACAUCUGUAAAGACACAGUCAGUGAGCAUUGAUGAUGACAAGAUUUGCCGCAGAAGAGCUUAUUUCUAUGCCUGAAAGUAUUCGAGAGAAUAGCUUUACAGAAAAGGCACAAUAAUUCAAUUCCACAAAACAACAUCACCAAUCCAACACAUGACAGAGAUAUCCGCAAUAUGCACCACAACGGAAAACAUCGUCAUACAUAACGAACAUGUUAAGAUUACACAUUGGGUCCACAAAGCUUUUACACCAUCACAGUACAUGCCAUGAGUCAAGGUCAAAGUUCCGGAUUACAACAUGGUUACAAAAGCACCACGGCUGACUGGCAUACUACAAAAGAUCCUCACAUAACACUACCCACUACUCCCUACACUCCAGGCUCGUCGUCCGAGUCAGCGUCGAAGAUCGCCUCUCCAUCCUCGUCGCUAACCGGCUCAAGCUCCUCGUCCUCCACGUCCUCGUGCAAAGGUGGUGCAGCCGCUGCUGGCCCAUCGACCUCCAUACCAUCAUCAUCGGCCACUAUCACCUGAGGCCCCACCUCUGGAUACACGGGUAUAGGGUGAGGAAUAGGGUGUAGCAAGUUGUUGAGACGGUGAAUCUCCACAAGACCAGCCUCAAUCUGAUCCUGUAGAUAGUUCUCCCGCUCAAGCGACUGAACUCGGUGCAUCUCCCAUGCUCGGCGACUGUUCUCCGACACGCGGAGUGCAGUGUCCCUCUCACGAGUGAUCUGCACCAAGUGCUCCUGAACGGUCUCCCUCUCUCUAGCUAACUGACUCAUCUGAUCCUGCUUAUGAUCUCUCUCUCUAAUGGCCUUCACCCACUACUGCCUACGGUGCUCUGCAAUGUCUUCCCAGUCAUUGCGGUCCUUCUGAGCUUGCUCCAGGAGUCUAGCUUGCUUGCGGAACUUGCGAGCACGCUUUUCAGCCUUCUGUUGCAUCUCCUGAGCUCGGCGAACAGCUACCAUCACCUGUGCAUAGGUGUCCUCUCGCUGACUGAUCAGCUUGAGCACCGCCAUCAUAGCACUCAUAACAGGACUAGAACUCUCAGCUUUCUCUCCCCUGCCUCGAACCAAAGCACAACCAUCAGCCUGUUUCCACUCCGCUGCUGUUGGGUCAGCACGGGGAAUGGAGGCCGCUGGUCCUCCCGUUAGCUCAUCACCACACCUCUGACAGAUAUCGAGCAAGAUAGUCUGGGCUGCGACCUGAGCUGCCUCCCAGGGGGUCUGCCCAUCUGAGCUACAAGUCCAGCCUGUCCAUGCAGGCUUGUCCCCAUGUGGAGGGACAACUCCCUGCACAGCAAACCACUGUAUCCCUCCUGUGCUCUCCAACUCCCACCAAGAAUACUGAGGUGGCUCAGUAUACCCGACAGUCUGUAACACUCUCCAGAGCAGGGUAGGAGUGCCAAACUCGUGCAAGAAAGUGUCACUGGGACGGGGUGAAGCGGGCGCGUCCAUCUGUGGAAAGGAAUAGGAAUACCAUUGGUAAAAGAGGAUUAGUUUAAGCAAUAUUUAUUUAAUUAAAAGGGACGGCAUUGUAAGGGAAGGAGUAGACAGAAUGUAUGUAUGAAUGCGACAUGAUGCAUGCACGAACCGUACGUCCUCACAAACUUAGAAAAUUAAUAUUCUAACGGAUAUACGGUGGCAUACAUUCGUCUCUCGAUACGAUAACUAUCGAUUUACACGUGCGCUGUUAGAGUACCUGCAGAAACUUCAUUUCAGCCCGACAGUUCCCAAAAUAUCACUCAAGAAAGCAGUAAACUAAGUGCACAUUGCUUGGACAUGCCCAACAUGCACAAACAAUGACACCACAGCUACCCGAGAAAUUAAAUGCUCCCCAAUUAAGUUUCUUUCGUGGUUCCAUGGUUUUGACAUGUAACCACUCCAGAAAACCACCGCGAACACUCCCCUAGACCGCCGUUUAGACGAUCAUGCUCUCACAGCUCACACUUACCAGGGCGUAGGUGUGACGUUGCAUAAUUUAAAUCUAGCUACAUAUGUGGCUAAUUCACAUAUGAAGGCUACCUCCACCAUUAGACCACAGGGUAGCAUAGUGCGGUCAUCACACAUCCAUACCUGAGUACUGCCGGAGAUGCAUAAAUAAAACCCCCCAAGUCAGUACUUAAAUAGCCACCUAUAGUCCUUAUGUGGCAAGGAGGAUUCGACCACUGGCAUAACUUAAUUAUUGAUUUACACCAUUUUAUUUAAAAAUUCUUUUGUUUUUAAAUACACAAACGCUGCAUUUAUAAUGCUGAACUUGCUCCGAUACCAGCUGUCACAGAACCGACCAAAUUAUAAAAGAUCAAGUGUAGAAACGAUCGACAAGCAAUCAAGUUUCCAAACUUGAGCCCAUAUAAUCCCGGUAGUCAAUCGAAAUCACGAAGGACUUCAAACCAACUCGCAACAAACCAAGAUCGUAAUAGUUCAACAAAAACACAGCUAGUUUAAUAAGUUUACAACAACUUUGAUUUAGACAAAUUUCGCAGAAGGCCAAGUUAUCAUUAAGCAAAAGUUAAAUCAUUUCCUUGCUGUCCAGAGCAGCCUUUAACCCUUAAGGUAAUUAUUUAAUGACAUAACCAACACAUAACCCAUGUCAACCACAUGGCUUAUGAGCACAAGCAUAUCACAAGAUUGCCAGAACAUGAGAUGAUAACCCUCAAACAUAUACUUAACAAGGCUAGAAAGAAGCAUAAUUACAAGAUGCCUAGUCAAGGUGCUUAGAAAAAUCUACAAAAAUUACAGGAACACAAGUAAGGCACCAAAGCAUCACCAUAAAAAUUUCACAGCAAUUGCACAUACCAAAUUAAAGAUAUGCAAUUAACAUGUGCCCAAGUGUUUAUUUCAUAAAUUUAGAAACAUGACUUAUAUGGUGUCAAACAACAGAUUUCAAAUUAUUUACAUAUGAGGAAUACCACAAACAUGUUUACUACCAAAGUAGAGCACUAGCAUAAGCACCAAUUAUUUUAUAUAAAUUAAACAAGGAAACAAGCCAAAUCUCAAUCAUAAAUUACAUAUCAAAACUGCAGUACUCCAAAAAUCAUGAAAUAUUUACCAAAGCACUCUAACACCAUACAGAGGCUACGAUAAAAUUUUCAGAGCAAACUAAGCAGUAUAGCAAGAGAUAUGAAUUUAUCCAUGAAUAACAAGAUUAAAUCCUUAAUAAAUAUUUUCUCAGAAAACAUGGUUCAUUUUAUAUUUUUAUUAAAAACUAGCCAUCUCAAGGAAUACCACAAAAUUGGUUUCACAAUUUUUGGAUAUCAGAAACAGGAGAUAUGAUUUUUGCAAGAAAGCCAAAAAUCCAGAUUUUGAAUAAAAGAAAAGGAGGGAAGGAGGUGACACGGACCCCGGCUGUCAGGUUCUUCUUCCUCACGGCCGAGGCGACUCUCGCCGGUGAUUUCUCCACGACGGCGAGGUCUCCGGCCAAACCAAGGGCACCAACGUGAUCCCCAGACUCUAGCGACUCGAUUGACCCCUUUUUUCCCAUGGCGGAGCCACCGGAAGGGGCUCGCCGUCGACGAUGGCAGCUCGGCGGAGGUGCUCGGCGUUACGCCGGAGCCCUCAGGCCGGUAGAGCGUGACCUAGGGUUUCCUACAGCACCAGGAAACUACGGCGGAGCUUCCUAGGUACGCGGCUUGGCUUGAAACCUCGUGGAACACGCUGGCCACGAGAGCACCCAUCUCCGGCGGAAACACGGCGGCGCUGCGCAUCGUGUCCGACGACGGAGAGCUCGGUAGAGCGUCCACCAAGUGACGCAAACGCAAGCUAGGAACCUAAGCAACUGUUGACACUUCUUAACACAACCACCGGAUAUCGGCGACGGCGCCAGAAGUGCCCUGGUAGGGUAACUCUAUUUACUAUUGGAUAAUUCCGCAAGCGCACAGAAUGUACCGCUGUAGCACUUCACCAAGGAGUAUUCCAAGGUAUCGUAAUUUAUAUUUUCCCAAGGGAAAGCGGCUAAGUGUGUUUAACAAAAAGGGGAAUGAGAUUCCUUGAGUUGUCUAGUAUCAACUAGUGAAUAAGGGUGGUAAAUAACGAAUAGGAAGGGUAGUGGUGAAUCCAAGGUCCUAUGCUAAAGGUAAAUGGUAGAGUUAGCUAGGUGGGAGGACAACGAGUGAGUAAAGGACUCCUAUGUAUCUAACUUGACUUCUGUGACUUACUUUAAUAGAUAAUUGCCUUAACUACGCUAGAGCCUUACUAACUGUGUGCGAGGGAUAGCCGAGCUGGUAAGACGCUUAGAAGGUUUUUCACCUAACCCCUUACCGAAAGCGACUAUUGGGCUUAUGGACGCCUUACCUUUUAAGAACUAGCCUGUACGUGAGGAGAACCUAAUGCCGCCCACGAUCUGUCACCUACUAGGGAGUGCGCUCCUACUUUCCGUUCAAGCCAGCGGUAAUCAAAGGUAAUCUUAAGUAUGAGCACCACGCUCACACUUAAUCCUACAACUCUAACUAGUUGCAGCUAGCUAGAGCUCCUAUACAAGAUAGGACGAUGAUGCACACACAGGAGUGGUUACAGGUCACUAACUUCACUAAGACAACUAUAUUACUAAAGUAAAUGCACAACAAGACUAAAAGACUUGCACUAAGUAAGAACUCAGUAAAGUAAAGUAAGAAUAAUAUAUUGAUAAAAGGAAAGUCUUACAAAAGUAGAAAGGUACAAGAGCUAUACCAGACUCUCCAGAAGACGACUCCGGAGACCCCGAGCUUCGCUCGACUCGACUCUAACUCCCACUCUAGACUAACUACUACUCUACUUGUAUGCUUGGAACUUGUAAUGCACUUGGCCUUGGAAUUGCACACUUGAAAUGAAGGGUGGAGGCUGCCUUUUAUAGAGGGAGAUGGAGUAGGGGUUACUCCAUCACCACGUCAUCGAUCCGCGUGACAUCUUCUCUCCACCCUUGGAUCAAACCGACCUCACAACCGCCAUUUGAUCAACGGCAGGGGCAAAUCAACAUGUGGGACAUGUGGGGAAGGUCGGUGGGAGGCCACCGACCCUGGAACCGCCUUUGAUGUGGGGUCGGGCGACCCCACUUCUGGGCCUCUGGGCCCACCAGCAGUGUCCACAGGGGUCCCUUAUGUCGGUGGACUAGGUGGCACACCUGGGUCCCACCAAAGAGGGGUCGGGCGACCCCCUCCCUGUGGGCCCAGGGUGUCACCUGUUGUCCCCUCGAUCUCUUCUUGAUGAUUCUGAUGUUGGCUUUGUCAAAUAAUGUCUUGAAUUUGUUGUUCCUGCAUAAACAAGCUAAGAGUACAAGUGGAACUAGUUAUGGAUAAAAUAUGUUCAUGUCAUGUCGUUUCCCCUUGCAACCGAGGCAUGUUGACGGUGUUUUGUAUGUGGAUUUCUAUGGUAUAUCCACCGUCAACAAGAUCCCCCAAGCUUAACCUUUGCUCGUCCCGAGCAAACAAUCAAACUUAGCCUCGGUGGAUCAGGUAUUGUUACUAUGUUCACAUUUCAAGAGUACCAUGUGUACAACAAAGUUCUUCUCCUUGCAUGAAAAAUUUAGCUAUGUAAACUUACCCCUAUUACCUUAGUCCCUUAUGGGGCUUAUGGCUUUUCCUUUGUCUUAGGUGGUUGAGAGACAGAACAGUUUGACUUGAGCACUAACUUUCUCAUUCUUAGCAAGUUUCAUAUCAGAGGUUUUGUGAUAUUUUCAAAAGAAAGCUUAAAUGUUCCUCUUAUGGUUCUCUCAUGUCACUCAAAUGGUGUAUGAUUCCUCACCAAGGCAUAUGGUAAGAGUUGCCUUCUCUAUUUCAUCCUAUUUCUAAAAGGCUUAUGUGGAGUUCAAGGUAGGGAUGAAAGGAGAUAGCAUACUUACUUUGCAUAUAUUGCGAAGUCAAAGCUCGGAUCCUUGAAGAGAAGUGUCAUACUCCCAGAUCAAGAUGUGCAAGUGUGAUAUAUGGUGGACUAGGUUGCUCCUUUAUUUGAUAGACUCUCUAUGUAUUGAGACAUGGCUAGCAUUUUUUUCUUCUUUUUUUUAUAUAUAUGAGCUUUCAUGUGCUCAAUUUUCUUUUUCUGUGGACUUGCACAUGUCCAUCUUUUUAUUUCAUUUUGCCUAGCCUUUUGAUGUCUCAUUUACCAAAUAAUGCUUAGAGAGAUGUUCUAACAUUUAGAGUAUGGAGCAACCUAUUUAGUGGAUGCGAAAUACAUGUGGUUGCGUACUUCCAGUGUAGAAGCAGCAUAUAUAUAUGUGGUGUGUACGUGAUCUUGAUCUUAGGAGCAUGAAAAGUCUCUUAACAAGGGUCAACAAGACUUGACGACACUCAACACAAAGCAAAUAGCUUAUGUGGAAAGGUUGCAAUUAUGUAAAGUAGAUAUGGCUGUGGUAGGAAUUCAUCACCAUUGAGGAACAAUUAAGGUUUUGAUCAUUUUAAGAAUAAAUCUCUGAUAAUCAUGCAUGCUUAGAAAAAUAUUAUAGUAGCUCUUGUCUUACUAUCUCAUGUCCCACAACAACUUAGACUUAGUUCUAGCACUUGCAACCCACAAAGUUUUUAGGUUCAUGGCAGUUUAAGUGAGCUAAGUGAUCCAUACUUAGAGAAAUACUAAGUUGUAUACUAGGCACUAGAGAAACAUUAACAAGCAACUAGUCAUCAUUUCCAUGAGGGAUAUAAACAUACAUGAAGCAUAUAUGCUAAAGGGAAAUGCUAAUAAAUAUAUUUUUUUAAGUAAGAAUGAUAAAAUGCAUGAAAAUAAAUAGGAUAGAAUACUUACCUUAGUGGGGGAGAGGAUCUCCCCCAAGCUAGAUCUUCGCUCACUGUGGUGGCAGGAAAUUCUGGUACCAUCCAGCCCAGCGUUGUGCGUCUUCCUCUCGCACACGUCGGAUAUGUUGGCCGUUUUGUAACGCCAGUUGCAAUGUUGCUUCUUGCCCAAUCUGCAAUUCGCCCAUGUCAUUAAUGAGACUGUCCAUACCUGUGGGCUGGUGACGCCUAGCCCUGUCCCUUGGGCGUGGAGUGCGUUGUGGAGGUAGACCCAUGGAGUCUGAAGCAUCCACUGACAUCGCUUCAUCGCCCUCUUCAACGUCAUGGUGCGAGGAUCCUCCUUGCUCCAUCUGGGCGGCUUGCAUCAUCCUUCUUGUCACCCUGCGUGUCCCUGCAAUAUCUGGACUUGCCACUUGGGCUAGUCUAAUGGUAAGUGUGCGGACCCCAUACAACCGGCGCCUCGCACAUGGGAGAGGAAUUUCGGUUGUAUAGCCCGGAUAAAUCAUUUUAAGUUCACCAUUUGGAUUUCUUAUGAGCAUGUUAGCAUUGAUAAAGAAGUUCUCAUCUACCACUCCUCUAACAUAGCCAAUGUCUUCAAAAUAAUGUGAUUCAAGUAAUCCAAAAGUAUCGGCUAUUCGAGUAAUAAAGGAUGUGAAAUAGAUGGGCUUCCCAUACUCAAUAGAGUUAAGCCAAUAGUUCACUAGCAGUUUCACAGGGGAGACCUUGAUUUUACUAACCAUGGCAUAGAGAAUUUUAAGUUCAUCAUCAAUUAAAGUAUCAGUUCCCAUGCCAGGAUAUAGAGUGCACAUGAUCCAGAAGUGAAGAAAGCGCAAGGUUGGAUUAUGGAUUUCAAUGGGAGUAGGAUUUGAACAAUCAUUAGAGCCAGAAAUUGCUUUCCAGAAUCUAAAUUUAUCGAACAUUCUAGUGGCAUGAUCUAGAUCAAGUUCACAUUCAUGUUCACACCCUAAAGCAGUGUUUAGCAAACUCCAAUUUAAUUGAUGUUCUUGCUCACACAUGCGAAAAGAUAUUCCAUUAUUUGUGAGUUUUAGGGUGCAUAGAAAUUCCUUAUCAAGCAAUUCUUUUCCAAAUUCAGGCACUUGCCAAAAACUACUCCAACCAAUUGCUCUAAACACCUUAUCGAAUUCAACAUCCAUACCUGUGCGGGCCAAAAGGUCUGGAUCGAUGAUGCUAGUGUGUAGGAAGAGACCCUCUCGGAUGAUGUGGUACCUUUGCAACUCUUCUUGGCUUAACAUGAGGCCGCUCUCGGGCUCUCUCAUCCUUGAUGGAGGCUCGUAGGGUACCAUCCCAUGGUAACCUUCUUCUUCCUCCCUUCCAUGAGCAUGGUGAGAGCCUUGAGAAGAGCUCUCACCCUUUGCUUUCUUGAACUUGCCGAAGAUAUGCUUCUUCAUCCUCCUACACAAGUGAGGCAAACCAAGCUCCUACUACUACUACUAUGCAAGGGGAAUCUUUUUGGGUUUUUGUUUUGAUGACUAUUUCUAAACUAAACUUGAGAAAUGGCUUGUAACAAAGAGAGAAGAGAAAGGAUUGUGAGCUCGAAAUGGUUCUGGUGGUUUUGGGUGUGGAGUUGAGCUCACAAUGCUGUGGUAUUUAUAGGGGGAGAAGGGCAAGUAGUGGACCCACAAUAUAGGGGUCGGCCCACCCCCCCUAGAAGCACUUUGAAUUUGAACUUAGCUUUAUACAGGAAACCAUUCUGCAUGCUUUCAAGAUUUUGCAGAGAUGGUCCAAAAUGGGGGUCGGCCGACCCCCAUCCUAGCCCCUCCUCCACUUUAAACAUUGUGUCAUUGAUUGUCCAGAAAAGUAAAGGCUAGGUGUGGACCAAAAGUUUUCAAAUUGUUUCUGAGAUUCCCUGUUUUAGUGCUUUGUGAAAGGUAAAAGAUGAAUGGCAAAAGUGGAGACAUGUCUAAAGUGAUUCCUAUGGACCAUGGGAGCACUCAAGCAUGCCUAGGUGACCACUUUGCAGAAUUUAAGCUAGUGGAGUGGUCCCAAAAGAAUCAAAGAUGAAAGGAGCAUCUUAUGACUAAAGUAAAGGAUCAAGGGACCACUCUUUUUCAAUCUUUAGCUAGUGUUACAAGCAUAGGACUCCAUUGUGAUUCAAAUGGUGGCCAGCAGGAAGCAAGUGGGGCCAAUAUGGGGGUCGGCCGACCCCCACAUUGGAGCUCCCAGAGCAUCCAAGUGCUGGGUUGGAACCUCUAUGACUAGCAAGGUUGAAAUGUGGUGAAGUGGGCCCCAAGGUGGGGUCGGGCGACCCCCCUUUGGGAGCUCCAGCAGCUCAAAUUUUUAUGACAAGUUAUUCUCAAGAUUUUAUUUAUUAUGGCUAAACAUUUUGUCGAAAUAAGAUAUGCAAAAUUCAAAGUAAGAAUGCAAUUGAAAAGUGAAUAGUAGAAAUUGAAAUGCAGAAAAUAAAUAUGGGAUAACUACUGAUUUACCUUAUCAGCAAGGGCUCCAUGUUUUAGGUCCGUAGAGCAGGACCUCUCCAUCUUGUUCAUCCUUCGGGUGCAUCAGAUGGUCCCGGAGACGUGGACCUUGAUUGCACCUCUUUCUCCCGCCAUACUUGCUUGGUAUUGAUUUUUGGUUCAGCGGGUUCCUCUUCUUUCUUUUCGGCCCUUUUGGCCGACUUACCUCUCUUGUCCCUUCGGCGUCGGAUGUGGCGAGGCUUAGUCGGAGGUUCUUUGUCCUUCACCUGCAUGUUAGCUUUAUAACCAUUGAAUGGACAUUUUACCUUCCAUCCUGGGAAUUGGAGGUGAAUCUGGCCGGACCCCACAUAGAUGACUGCAUUGACCGUGUUGAGGAAUGGCCUUCCCAAGAUGAUCGAGACAUCAUUAUUGGAUCCCAUAUCCAAAAUGAUGAAGUCGGCAGGGACGUAGUCGUCUUGGACCUUUACCAGUAUGUCCCUUGCCAACCCCUCAGGGAACCUGAUCGUCUGAUCUGCCAUCUGCAAACGAACAAAUGUGGGGUGCAAAGGCCCCCCUAGCAAAUUAUCAUAAGUUACCUUGGCCAUGAUGUUGACACCCGAUCCAAGGUCGCAGAAGGCGUUGUGGAAGAUUUGCGGUCCGAUCUCACAGGUGAUGGUCGGCAGGCCUGGGUCGUCUUUCUUGGUGAUGAAGGGCGAAUCCAGAAGAUAGCUCCAGUUGGAUUGUACCGGAGGCUUACCGAACCUCGUAGUAACUAGUUUAACUCCUUCAAUUGGGUCCUCAGGUUUCCCUGGGAUCUUACCUUGCUCGAAGGAUGGGACAGCUGCUGCUAAUUGAGCUAAUUGUGUUUCUAGCAUUUUGUUAAAGCUCAACUGAUUUUUCAUAGCAGAGUUAAAGCUAUCCAACUUUUCACUUAAGUUUUCAAGGAUCUUAUCAUUAGCCAUCAUUUUCUUGUUAAUGCUAUCAUUGAUUUUAGAUUGGCCUAAGACAAGAUCUCUAAGAGAAGGUUGGCUACCAAAAGAAUUAUUGAAAUUUUGAUUGUAACCAUUACCUUGAUUACCUUGGUAGAAGGGGCGCGAGUUCCAUUGCUGUUGUUGGGGCCGGUACCCAUUGUUGUUGUUGUUGAUGAAGCUCACUUCCUCCUUUGUUUCGGGACAAUUGUUUCCCGAAUGAUCAUCUCCUCCGCACACUUCGCACCAUGAAUCAGAUUCAAUGGCCCGUGCAGUGGCGUAAGGUUGAAUGGUCUCUUGCUUGGAACUUUCUUCCAUCUUCUUCAUUAAGAGGUCCAUCUUAGCAGAGAGCAUGUCCACCUCAUUCAAGGCAUGGACACCUCUUCUCUUUGGUUGGAGGCGUUCCUCAUUCCAUCCUUGGUUUAUAACCAUCUUUUCAAUGAGGUCCUUGGCAUCCUUGACAUUGUGUUGCAAGAAUGCUCCUCCAGCGGCAGCAUCAAGGUGACUACGGGCCAAACCGGUCAGGCCAUGGUAGAAACCUUGGAUUAGGAGCCACUCCUCUAUCCCAUGAUGAGGACAGGCGCGAAUGUACUCCUGCAGACGUUCCCAUGCUUCGGGAAUCGUGUCAUCCGCUUGCUGUUGGAAGCUGGAAAUCUUUCCACGAAGGGCGCUGGUCUUGCCCAUCGGAAAGAACUUCUUGAGAAAUGCAUUGGCGCACCUCUCUCAUGUGGUCACUUCACCCUUGUUGGCGUAGAACCAUUGCUUCGCCUUCCCCAAUAACGAGAAUGGGAAGAGGCGAAGACGGAUGGCGUCUGCGGCGACAUUCUUGAUGGUGAAGGUGCCGCACACCUCCAAGAAGUGUUGGAGAUGGGCAUUGGCAUCCUCGUGUGGCUUUCCACAGAAGGGAUUAGCUUGCACCAUAUUGAUAAGCGCAGGCUUCAACUCAAAAGUCGCAUCCCCCAAGUUAAGCUGCGGACCCGUGGCGACAUUGUCAGCCGACGGCGCAGAGUACUCAGAGAUGGUCUUCUGGGCCAUAGCUUCUUUGAUAACCGGUGCAGAUACUCCUUCCUCUAACGGAUUCAGGUUCGAGAUGAACCUUUGAGGUGGAACUUGACGACGUCUAGUUCUCCUCAACAGUUGCUCAGGAUCUUCAACGAAGUUUGACGACAAUUGGAAACCGCUCAUACACUGUCAGGCUUCACAAUAAAGGAAGACAAGACAAGUGAUGGGUUAUCCCUAUCACUACUUGAUAACUAGCAAACUCUGGAUUCUCUUUUUGUUAAAACUCUUAGACAGACGCUUUCCCCGGCAACGGCGCCAGAAAUGCUUGUUGACACUUCUUAACGCAACCACCGGAUAUCGGCGACGGCGCCAGAAGUGCCCUGGUAGGGUAACUCUAUUUACUAUUGGAUAAUUCCGCAAGCGCACAGAAUGUACCGCUGUAGCACUUCACCAAGGAGUAUUCCAAGGUAUCGUAAUUUAUAUUUUCCCAAGGGAAAGCGGCUAAGUGUGUUUAACAAAAAGGGGAAUGAGAUUCCUUGAGUUGUCUAGUAUCAACUAGUGAAUAAGGGUGGUAAAUAACGAAUAGGAAGGGUAGUGGUGAAUCCAAGGUCCUAUGCUAAAGGUAAAUGGUAGAGUUAGCUAGGUAGGAGGACAACGAGUGAGCAAAGGACUCCUAUGUAUCUAACUUGACUUCUGUGACUUACUUUAAUAGAUAAUUGCCUUAACUACGCUAGAGCCUUACUAACUGUGUGCGAGGGAUAGCCGAGCUGGUAAGACGCUUAGAAGGUUUUUCACCUAACCCCUUACCGAAAGCGACUAUUGGGCUUAUGGACGCCUUACCUUUUAAGAACUAGCCUGUACGUGAGGAGAACCUAAUGCCGCCCACGAUCUGUCACCUACUAGGGAGUGCGCUCCUACUUUCCGUUCAAGCCAGCGGUAAUCAAAGGUAAUCUUAAGUAUGAGCACCACGCUCACACUUAAUCCUACAACGCUAACUAGUUGCAGCUAGCUAGAGCUCCUAUACAAGAUAGGACGAUGAUGCACACACAGGAGUGGUUACAGGUCACUAACUUCACUAAGACAACUAUAUUACUAAAGUAAAUGCACAACAAGACUAAAAGACUUGCACUAAGUAAGAACUCAGUAAAGUAAAGUAAGAAUAAUAUAUUGAUAAAAGGAAAGUAUUACAAAAGUAGAAAGGUACAAGAGCUAUACCAGACUCUCCAGAAGACGACUCCGGAGACCCCGAGCUUCGCUCGACUCGACUCUAACUCCCACUCUAGACUAACUACUACUCUACUUGUAUGCUUGGAACUUGUAAUGCACUUGGCCUUGGAAUUGCACACUUGAAAUGAAGGGUGGAGGCUGCCUUUUAUAGAGGGAGAUGGAGUAGGGGUUACUCCAUCACCACGUCAUCGAUCCGCGUGACAUCUUCUCUCCACCCUUGGAUCAAACCGACCUCACAACCGCCAUUUGAUCAACGGCAGGGGCAAAUCAACAUGUGGGACAUGUGGGGAAGGUCGGUGGGAGGCCACCGACCCUGGAACCGCCUUUGAUGUGGGGUCGGGCGACCCCACUUCUGGGCCUCUGGGCCCACCAGCAGUGUCCACAGGGGUCCCUUAUGUCGGUGGACUAGGUGGCACACCUGGGUCCCACCAAAGAGGGGUCGGGCGACCCCCUCCCUGUGGGCCCAGGGUGUCACCUGUUGUCCCCUCGAUCUCCUCUUGAUGAUUCUGAUGUUGGCUUUGUCAAAUAAUGUCUUGAAUUUGUUGUUCCUGCAUAAACAAGCUAAGAGUACAAGUGGAACUAGUUAUGGAUAAAAUAUGUUCAUGUCAUGUCGUUUCCCCUUGCAACCGAGGCAUGUUGACGGUGUUUUGUAUGUGGAUUUCUAUGGUAUAUCCACCGUCAACAGCAACCUCUAGGACCUAACCAGAGACGACGAGAGGCUUCAUAGGGCUCGGCAUUGGGCUCGGCGGAAAAGAUGGUCACGGCGACCCAAUUUGGGGGAAGAAGGGAAUGGCGGCUCAUCGGUGGAUUUCACGGCGAGGUGGUGGGUGGGGAAUGGAGAGCGGUUCACGGCGGAGCUGUGGGUGAAGUUUGGUGGACAAUGGCGCAGCAAGGAACGCGCGCGAGCUCGCCAGAGUAUGCUCGCGACGGAGAGCUCACGACGGCCGCGUUUCUGGCGAGAGGGGCGAGGCAGAGCGGAAGUGGACGCGUCCACUCGGCUCGGGGCGACGCUGUGGAGGUCAUGCGCGUGCUGGGAGCUAAUGAGCGGGGCCAUCGCUAGCGUACGGACGACAUCUGGCGGACAGGUGGCGCUCUGGCCAUCCCCGACGGUGAGCUCAGCUUCGAUUCAGAGAAAACGGCGACCGACUGACAGAGCGACUUCAGCAACGGAUAACUCCCAAACCAGCCCGAGAUAGAGUAUGAUGCAGUUGACAAAGUUGGAGUUCCAAUCGAUUUCUAUAACUUUGUCAACUAGAGCAAAAGCCAGAUCGGCCAGGAUUGAGAGAUAAAGAGUUUCCAAAAUCGAUCGAGCAAACUGUUUGUGUUCCUGGACUUAGAAAUUUUUCUAAGUGUUGGAAACAGCCCCAAAUCUGCCUUGUGGGUCACUUUUGAGCUAUUUGUGUUCAUUUUCAUGAGAUGGCCAUAAAACAACUUUUGUUCCUUAUAAAUUUUGCUACAACUUUACUGUAGCAAGUUGUGACAUGCAAACAUUGUAUGAAACACUUUUUAAAAGCCUAAGCAAAAGAGGUUUUUAGGGCCUAUUUACAUAAGUAUGACUUAAGUGCUUAUUUUGGAAAAGUGAUCAACAUGAACAUUGUUCCCAAGGUUAAGUUAGGCAUAGAUAAACUAAUUACCAAAGCAUAGAGCACAAACACAAGCAUGGUUCACUCAAACAUAAGCAUAGGAAGCCUAUUUAAGCAAUUUAAAACACAAUUUUGCAUAGAAUGACAUGGCUCAAGAUAGAUGAUGAUCAUGAUAUGCUUUGAGUGGAUGAUGAUGCUCAUGCUAUGCACAUGAUUAAUGCAACCAUAACACUGGGGUGUUACAAUACAGGGAUAAAUGUCACAUAAAAGAUAGAUAAAGUAUGAAUGGUGACAAAGAUAAUUAAUCUGAUCAGCGUAACUUAGCCACAUAUAAAUAUGAUAACCACCUCAAUAGAUAUUCUAGCAAGUCAUUAGCAUGGAAUUAGGACAAACUACAAGAAUAUUUCCGAAGUUAUUCUUAACUAUAAAGUCUAGCAUAUCAUAGUUAGUGCAAUUAUACUUGGCAAUCAUUGCGAGACAGCACUACACCCAUGCAUAGUGAUAUUAUCAAGGAAGAUGAGAAACAUAGCAAUCACUCCCCUGUAAAAAUGUUGCUUUGCCUGCCCUAUACACGAGAGGGGGAUUAUAUAAGAAUCAAUGGAGCUGUCACUACCAUGAACUACCCCACGAUCCGGCAUAUAGUGUACAAUCGCCGAUAAAUACGGUAUAGGCACCACACUAUACACAUAGAUAAACGCUAUACGAUCCUAAACAUGUAUAUAAAUCCAAUCUAACUAAGCCAAACAUAUAACUAUGAUAGACUAAGAACAAUAUAAUUGCAAAUAUAAACAAGUAGAGCAAAGUCAUAAUCAAUAUAUUGAAGUAGAGCAAAGUCAUAUUCAUAGUAUUGAAGAACAAUGAUGAUUAAUUGAAGAACAGUAGAAGAAUUACCAAGAAUCAUCUUGACAGAUCCGGAAACCAAUCGAAGAUUGACUCCUUCUAGUUCUAAUCCUAUGUAGCUAUGCUAAACUAGAGAUCUAUUGAUGUGGUGGCUCUAGGGCUUGAUCAGAGGCUUCUUCUCCCGAGAUGGAUAAUGAAUUAGGGUUUAGAGGUGCUCUCCUCCAGGGGCCAGGGGGUUUGCUUAUAUAGUCCUUCCAGAUGAAUGUGGGUCGUCGGAUCAAACCGACAUUAAUCGCAUGGUUUUCCUUGAUCCUUUAGGUCGGUGGAGCAUAAUCCGUGAGGUUGGUUCUGAUUGGCCCUCAGACCAGGGCGGGCGCCCAAGGGGAGAGGGCGGGCGCCCUGCCCCUGGUCCCGUCCGGUCUCCCGUUCGUUCCUGUGGCUUCUAGACUCUUCUAGAUGUUGGAUAAUUGCGCAGCAUGUUAAUAUCUCUAUGUAAACCCGAUGUGUGGGCCUUUCUUCCAUAAUCCCUGAUAACCCCCUGCAGAAAUAGACAAACACCAAAACUCGUGGAAUUCUGUCACAUAAAACCCUAAGUUUGGGUGUCGGUUGCAUUUGGAUCCUUUUCUUUGUUUAUUUGCUAAUUAUAUUUGAUACUUAAGGACCAUCAACAAACUCCCCCAAGCUUACCUCUUGCUCAUCCCUGAGCAAGGAUAGACUCAGUGAUGGAUCAGAAGUUGUUGUAAUGCCUUUAAAAGUUGACGAUACACAUGCAUUCAAAUGAGGUCUCAUCGCUGAGUUAGAGGAAACUGUCAAGACUUAAAACUUACUCAUUUUACCUUUCACCAUGGGACUUGUAACUAUCACUUCUAUCUUGAGCAGUUAAAAGAUAGAAGGGUCUAGUCAAGUGCCAUGUCUCUUAUUCUUGAUCAGCUAUAGCUCUGGAGUUUUUGUAGAUUUUCAAAUGAAACUCAGAUAUUCCUUGUAUGACUCUCUCAGAUCUCUCUUUUGUGGUAUUUCUGGAUCCUUACCAAGGCAGUGAUGGUACAUGCCAUCUCUCAAAGUAUAUGGUAUUUGUGGUAUAAGGCAUAGUGACAUUGCCUUUUCUCUCAACCUACUCUAAUAAGGCUUUAAUAUCUGGAGCUCAUAGGUGGGAGAUAAAGUAUGCAUACUUACAAGACAUUUAUUGCAUAGUCAAACCAUGGAUCCAGAGAAACAAGUCAAUAAGUCAAAUCAAGAUGUGCAUGUGUGGCGAAUGAAUGGUGUAUGGUGAUGAUGGUGAUAACAAUGGUCAGAGUCUAAUUCUACUUGUGCUCUUUUGAGGGGAUACAUACCUUUCUUGCUCUUUUAAAACUUUUUUGAGGUGAAUGAAUUGCUCUAUAUUUUCUUUUUCUUUCCUCUCAGGUGGGUAUCUUGUAUUCCUAAUUCUACUGUCGGACACUUGUCCAUUUUUACCUCUCGUCUCACUUUUUCUUUUUUUUUGAGGUUCCGGGCACUUGCCCCUUUUUAUUUCCUUGUAUCCUCUUUUUUUUAAGCACUCAUCUCCUGAAAUAAUAUAGCAAGUGGUAGUAACCAAGAUAACUUGAGCAUUUAUUUCAUUGGGAAAAAUAGGAAUGGGAUAAUGUUUUUGGCUAUUCUCUCCCGGAUUAGGAGUAGAAUACUUUUGGGUGGUUCUAGAGAUGUAAAUGAGUGGAUAUAUGUGGAUGCGUUCUUCCUGAGUAGAAGCAGCAUGUGUGAGUGAAUGUGCAAGUGAAUCUUGAUUUAACCACAUGACAAGCUCCUAAGGGUCUACACAGCUUGACCACACUCAAUGCCCAUAAGUAGUAAAAAGUAAAUGUGUGGCUCAAAGUCUAGCAAGCAUGUAUAUAUGGCUGUGGUAGGAAUUUAAACUCUCAUCAUAGAGAAACUCAUCAUGUGAUAUUUUAAAGAUUUUCAAAGAUAAAAUUCUCCAGAAUUCUAGUAUCUCUAGGAAUAGAUAAACAGCAGCUCAACCUUCUCAUAUCAUACCAGUUAACAACUUAGACUUCAGAUCAAGUUCUCUUCCCACAAGUUCAGGUUUAGAGCAAGAUUUAAAUUAUAACAAUUAUGACUAAACUAGAGAAAGAACUCAAAUUUGAAAAUUAGGCAGAGCAACUAUUCAUCAUAUCCAUACUAGAGUUUUAUUAAGAUUUAGUUUAGCAUAGCCACUUUAUUUAUUUAUUUAUUAAGCACACUAAGCAAAAGAUAUAUAUAAGAACAAAAUCUUUAUUUGGUUUUUCAUGGUUAUGUAUAUUUUUAUUUUAAUAUAGUAUAAGUAUAUAGAUAGAUAGAAAUACUUAGCGGGAUAAAUAGGGGUGCUCUCCCCCAAGCUGAAUUUUGACGUAAUUUCUCCUGAUGUAGCUAGCAGGUGGCAGAGGUGUAUUUGAAAAUCGGCAGCACCCUAACAGCGAUUAGAAUGUCCUCCGUCUGCUAGUCUUCUUGAUCCUUGAAUCCUGUGGAGCUCAAAUAGACAACAAAGCUUUGUGGAACUGAUUAAGUGUUAGCAUAAAUAUCUAGCCUUUAUCAUGUUGAGCUUCCUCAAUAAAUGUUACUCUCUAUUUUUUUAUAUUUUCAUUUUAUAAAGCAGAAAAAAUAUUUAUUUUAUAUUUAUGCCACCACAGUGAAUGUGCUUAUGGGUUUUAUGCUACUCGUAUUCUCACAUGCGGCUUACUAUUUUUUAACAUUUUUAUUUUCUUUUUAAGAUAGUAUGAACCUGAUUAACUAAGCAAACUAUUUGAAAUAAUUGAAAGGAAAAGAGUAACUACCAAGUUUACCUCUUGGCAAGGGGUUCGGUGUUUUUAUGUCCUCCGAACGGGACUCUCUAUUUUCUCAGUCGUCCUCGGAUGCGUUGGAUGGCGUAGUCGGUGGUUUCGGCGGCACCUCCUCUUCGUGUAUAACUAUCUUCUCUCUCCACACUUGACUCGGUGCUACGGUCUCCUUAGGACAAUUCUGUUCAAGCUGUAUGUCUUCAGACCUUACCACUUCUCCUUCAUAGUCUGCCCAUCCGUCCUUGAUGAUUUGCCUCUUCUGGUUGUCGUUGCGUCGUCUUCUUCUUGUUCUGACCUGCUUAGAAUCUUCAACGAUAUAGUUAGGGUCAGUAAAAUAGCGGCGUACCUUCUCAGAUGGGAAGUGCAUAUGGACUUCUCUGGUUCCAAUGUAGAUGAUUGCUUUAACGGUGCUGAGGAACAGUCUCCCAAGGAUGAUGGGUGGAUCGUAUUCGUCUUCUCCCAUGUCAAUAACCUGAAAGUCUGUAUGGACAAAAUGAUCGUCUAUUUUGAUAGGGACAUCAGUUACUAUACCUUCAACCUUUCGGAAUGUCUGAUCUGCCAUCUGGAGCGGAAUGUAUGUCAGUUUUAGGGGCAUGGUUUUGAACAAGAGCCGAUAGGUGAUUGCGGCCAUUAUGUUGACGCCCGAUCCGGUGUCGCAAAGUGUCUUGUAGAAGUUGUACCCAUUAAUGGAGCAAUGGAUGCUUGGCAUAACUGGGUCGUCCUUCUUUGUCAGGAACGGUGACUUAAGUCGAUGAUCUUGACCUCCAUGAACUGCAGUGACCAUCUUAGCUAACUCGGUCCACACUUGCUUGUUCCUGUUCCUCCUGUUGGUCCUCUUCCUUGGUUCAUGUCGGGAUUGCUCUGGGAUUUGUGUAGUCUUGUUCUUGAAGGAAAACGUCUCCUUCCUCCCUUUGAUGUAGAAACUGAUCUUGGCAGCACUAGCGUAGAUGACAGCUCCCGAGGUGUUCAGGAAUGGCCUCCCUAAGAUGAUGGGUGCCCUUUCAUCAUUACCGGUCUUUAUCACCACGAAGUCUGCUGGGGCA